rnacentral:lncRNA from 1 species
AUAUCAGUUUGAUGUGAUGAUUUUUCAAACAUUUUGUAAUAAUUGAUGAAAACAGCCGCUACUGUAAAUUUCAGCAGAAACUCGGAUUAAUCAUGACAGGGAAACCAUUAAAUUUCCAUAAUAUAUUCAGAAAUUCCCUGAGAAUUCCUCCAAAGUUCCUGCACUGAAGGAUUAGGGAGCUCAGAUUCAUGAGAAAAUUCAAAAAAGUCGUUAGAGGCUUUAUAUCUGGGCAUCCAUAGUCUAAAUUAAGGAAAGAUCUCCAUAAAAACAACCACAAAAUAUAAACUCUACCAACUCGGUUUUGUCGUCCCAAAACUGCCAAGAAUUGGCCAUAAUGUUUUUGACCUUCUUCAUAGUCUUGGAGCAAAGAUGAAUCACACUGCCAUUGUUCAUAGAAACAGCUUAAGCAACCAUUAGUGUACAAGAAAAGAAGAGAUUACAGCCUUCUUUCUUCAAACCCAACUUUAUAUCAAGGAGAAUAAAACUUUUGCAUUAGCUUUCUGAUAUGUCCUUUCAUAAUUUAUACACUUCCAUCAAUUAUCUGAAAUUAAAUGGACCUCGAGUGCCCUUUUGCAGCUAGUUUGGCAAUGUCCAUGAACCAAUUGUUGAACGGCAGCUCCUGUAUCCCACCAAAAUCAAAUUCUCGUACUUUUGCACCGAGGAAGGACUACAAGAAUGAAAAGAAAGGUCAGCAAAGAAUGCUAUAGGCGAGGUCAUAGAUGCAUAUAUGUAUACAAUUUAUAUAGUUACACAUUAAUGUAAUAUCAUGUAUAUAAUCCAAUUAUAAUUUGUGACAUAAGAGAGAAUGAAAAAAUCAAGUUCAUGUUUGUGUAUUAUUUUCAAUUAUACUCUAAAGCUCUAACCUCUCCGCAUUUUUAUUUCUUUAAUUUAUUGAGUCCACGAGCAAGCCAAAAGAGACUAUCCAUGAUUUGUUUGUCCACAAACAUGUCUAUCUCUUCUCACGUGGGUAUGGGGACAUGUGAGAGAAGGUGUUAGAGAGCAUGAUAUACAUUAUGAACCUAAAUCCUAACAACUUAAGAUUCUACAAAAAUUGAUUAUUCAACAUGGUAUCAAAGCAAGUUCAAAACCCUAACUCCUAGUUGCAAAACUAAUUUCAAUUGGACAUUGCCCUUUGCUCAUUUUUUUACUCAAGUUACUUCAAUCUAUCAUUUGGUUAAAUGACUUCUAAUGAUAGCCUCCUUAUCGGAAAUCAAACUCAAGACAAUAUUGAUAUCCAUUUGCUAUGAUAAAAUUAAAUGAAUCCAAUAAUCCACUAGUCUAAAGUUGUGAAAUAUAUCUUAAUACAAAGGACAUGUUAUAAUUUUUUUCUGAUGGUAUUGAAUUCAAAAAGUUUGUUGCAGAAGCAACGAUGUGACCAUGGAAGAAGCAAGGUCGAAGGAGGGGUCUCUUGUUGGAAGUUGUUGUUUUGAUGUGGAAUCGAAGUCCUUUGAAAUCUUUUUUGAGCACAUUAAAGGUAAGUCAGUGGGGAAGAUUGUUGAGAGGAGUUGGGGUUUUUCCUCUUACAUCAGAUUUGGGGAGAGGGGUCUUUCUUGGCUCCUUGAGUGGGUGGAAGAUUGUUGUGAAGGGAAUUUCAGGGGCCCUUUCAGAAGGUUGUGGAAUAAAGGGGGAAAGGGCUACAAGUUGGAGUUGCACUGCAACAAAACUGAAAGGUUUUUGUUAUGCCCAGUUGUGUGCGUAGAGGAAAAGAAAAAAGGUUUUCUUUAGUUCUCCCAAAAGAAAACCCCCCAAGGGGAUUGGAAGAUUCUUGCUACAAGUCUUAGGAGCAUUAGAGUAGUCCCUGUGUCUAGACCUUUGGAGGAGUCAAAGGAGCCAAUCAGGUGUUGGGAGGAAAAGAGAGGCGACAACCUAUCUAAGUUUGCUUCCUUUGCAGAGGUGCUGAACAGAGAUAAGAGGGAUUUGGGAAAUGAUGUGUGGAUAGAAAGUGAGUUAAGAGAGGUUUAAGUAAUUUGGGGUUCCUCAAGAAGUGCCUGGUGAGGAGGUGGGAUGGUUCUUCAGACCGAUUGCCUGCUCUAGACAUGCUGAAUUUCUGUGCUCAUCAUUCUUGGAGUUUGAAAGGGGAUUUGAAGUUGUCUUUGUUAGGUGGAAAUCUCAUUUUAUUUGAGUUUGAAUCUGUUUCCAAGGCUGAAAGAGUUUUGAUUUUGGCGUCUAGCUUAUUUAAGGGAAGAAGUUUGUAGCUUGACUGGUGGGAGCCGGAGGUUGGGUGCUUCAGAGAAGGCACUUGUGUUAGUGUAGUGUGGGUAAGGUGAUGGGUCUACCAGUGGGUUAUGCCUGUGGAGGUUUUAUGCUGAUGGACAUGGAGACAGAGGAUUGAGAGGAGAGGUGUCACCUGAAAUGGGCUAGGUUACUCAUUAAAUUUAGUGGAAGAAAGGUGCCUACUUGGUUAUUGGUUGUGGAAAGAGAUGUUGUCCUUGUCGUCUGCUUGUGGGAAUUUCUUCCACAGUUGUGGAUGUUGGUUUCUAAGAAGAAUUGUAAAAGCCAAAUGGUAGGGAUAACAAGGAGGGAUGCUUGCACACAACUAGGAGAGUGGAUGGGAAAGAAGAGAGGAAUAAUGCGGUAGACUUGCAGGCCAGAGCAUUUGUCUAACCGGCUUUGGGAGUUAUGCCCGGUCGCAGUGUGCAAGUUUUGGAGGAUCGUAGCAGUCAAAGUUGGUCAAUAAUUUGGGUGGGGCCUUUUUUGGGCCCCCUUAUGGGUCAUUGGGUAAAGGGCUUUCAUUAACGCUAAUGAUGGUGAGGCCCCUUUUUUCUUAGGCCGACCCAAAUCCCCCUCUUUAAGUUUGUGCAAAGGGAGUCAGUAUUGGCUUCAUAAGUCUAGGCCACUUGAAACCCAACCCAUGUCUUUUGAAACAUUAAGUAUUCGUUUCAUUUUAAGGGUUCCUUUCGUUGGCGACACUUCUUCCUCAUUAGAGCUCUUCAACAAUCUUCUCCUAAAGGCAGCGGAGCAAGGGUCGGCAAGGUGGGUUUUGGGGGUGAAUGAAGCCCUUUUGGCUAAAGAAAUAGGCUUCGAAGGUAGGCCCACCAUUUCGACUCCUUCUUCAUCUCCGAUUGGGCCUCCCGCUGUCAUUGAUGGAUCGACAGGUAAGGCAAAGGCGAUGCCUCCUUUGGAGACUCUUUCUUCUAGAUCUCGGUCGCUUUGAAUGUUGCUAUAAGAUGAAAGGUUGUUAGAUCUUACUGGAAGUGAAGAAAAAGGUCCUUCGGGUACUUGUUGGUGGGUAGGGAUGAAGAUCUCGAAGUCAACAAAGCCUUGGAGGCUUGUUGCUUGUCGCAAGGGGAGGAGCUUAGCUCUACAAGUCUUCCUAGUAAGUUUGCAAAGUUUAGUAGUUUUUUGGGGUUGUAAGUGGUGGGGUUUGAAAAGGAAAUUAAUUCCAUUUUGAGGAAAAUGGAAUCAAGAAAAGGACAUGAGGUUAAAGUCUCAAGGGGAAGUAGGAAAUUUUCGUCUACUUGUUUGGAGAGGGAAAUAUGAAAGCUUGAAUUCUCGGUGAAUUACAAUUGUUCUCCCCUCUCAGUUAGGGGGAAGUGCGGGGAGCAAUAGGGUUUGAGUUCUUUGGCUAUGAGGUCGUUGUCUUCACUCACAACUUGUUUAUUGGUUUUUGGUUAUAGAAGGGCUCUCGGAUGGCUUCUUAUCCAUCCAAGGUUUUACUUAGGUUUCUAAGGUGUUAGGGUUGGCUGCUAUUGAGUGGUUUGUUUUUGCUCUACCCUUUUCUCUUGCUAGCAUUUAGGUCUUUUCAGUAUACUUUGUGUGUUUUUAGUUGCGUCUUUUGCUAGCGCUCUUUAAUAUAUUCUCCUAUUUACCCAUCAAAAAACAAUAAAUUGUUUCUGAUGAUCCUCCUCUUAGUGAUCCAAAAGACAUGAACAAUGGCAUAAGGAGAAAUCAAUGAUCAUGACAUGAUUAUGGAAUAGCAUGAUGGCAUAGGGAGAAAUCAAUAAUCAUGACCUGAUUAUAGAAUAGCAUGAAACCUAGUAUCAAUGUUAUUGGUAUGCUCUUUGACACUGCCAAACGAAUUUAGGAAAUAUUAUGGGAAAGGUGCUCGUAAGAUAAAAAUAUUUCAAGGAUUUAAGAUAUGCAAGUAUUUAUUCUAGCACACGGAUUUUGUUAGUGAAUAUUAUGGUCAACUACAAGGUAUGUGAGAGAAACUCAAUGUGUAUCACUAUCAUCCUAUCAUUAAUGAUAUUGACUGUUACAAAAGCAACAAGAAGAAUUCAGAGUAGUAAAGUUUCUCUCUAGUCUAUGUCUAAGGCAUUCUUGUGCCAAGAUUAAUACCCUCUUUCGUUAACAGUUACCUACCCUGAGUAGUGUCUACUCUUGCCUUCAACAUGUUAAUCUAGAUUCUUUUGUGGAGUAUUCUUCUAUGGAAAACAAAGAAAUUACAGCUAUUGUUACUUCAACUAGUCAUGAGAAAGGUGAAUCUACAAAGCAAGUUAGAGGCUGAGAUCUAGUGAGAGAACAUGGUACAUGUUUAACAUAUAGAUAUCAUAACCACUGUGGUAAAGUUAUUCAUAUGUCAGACAAAUGUCAGAUUUAAGUUUGGUCAAACUGUUUAGGCAAAGUCAGGUGGUUUGUGACAAAGUGGAGAACUCUUUCAAGCCCAUGGUUUCCUCCUUUAGUAAUGUUUAUACUCCUAUCAUGCUUACACAAGAAGAGUAUACUUGUUUAGUUUCACAAAGAUUGCUCUUUUGGCUCACUGAGGUGCUACAAUUGCUUUAUUUUCUACUACCUUCCAUUCUCCUUAGAUUAUAAAUUUGAGAGCCUCUUCUCAUAUGACUAGUAAGUCUUUUGGUUUUUCUAACCUUUCUAAUUUUUCCAUGCAUUCAUCUGUUAUCCUGACUAAUGGUUCAUCCUAAGUACUACAAGAAGGAACUGACUAUCCUGCUCCUAACUUCUCAUUGUCCCCUAUAUCAUAUGUCUCUUAACUUUCCUAUGAAUCUUUUAUCUGUAAGCAAAUUAACCAAGUCUCCUAGUUGUUCUGUAAAAUUCUUCCCUUCCUAUUAUGUACUUCAGGAUCUCUCCACGAAGAAGGCAAUUGGUGGAGGGCGUAAAGCUAAUGAAGUUUAUCACCUUACUGGCCCACCUCUUGCUCCAAUUGCUCUACAUACUUCUAUUUCUUCCACCCAAUGAUUGUAUUGAUUGGAUCACACUCCAGUGAACUUUCUUUAACUUAUGAGAUUUCCAGUUAUAUCAAAAUCCUAGUUGCAGUGUCAUACCUAUGAGUUAGGCAUGCUAGAGUCAACAAGAGGAGUUCUAGUCCUCUUUCAUCUUGUUCAUUCAAACAUUUAGGGUCCAUGUCAUGCUCCUAAUGUUUUAAGAUUGAAGGAUCCCCUAAGUUUUGUUAAUAAUUAUUCAAGAGUCAUUUAGUUAUUUUUCUUUAAAGAUAGAUCAGAACUUGGUUUUGUAGUUCAAUCCUUGUUUCAUGCAAUAAAAACUUAGUUUGGCAUGCCUAUUAAAACAUUUUGUUUUGAUAAUCCUUUGGAAGUCUUAUAUUUUUCAGUUUCCAAUUUUUGUGAGAAUAAUGGGAUUAUUUAUCAGACAUCUUGCUAUGACACUCCAUAGCAAAAUGAAGUGGCAAAGAGAAGAAAUAGACACCUUUUGAAAUUUGCCCUUUUACUGCUUUUUCAUAUGCAAGUUCCAAAAAGAUUUUAGGGCAAUGUUGUCCUUAGUGCUUGUUUUCUCAUUAAUCCUCUCCCAUCCAAUGCCCUUAAUAAUCAAUCCCCAUUUUGCUGUUUUAUAUCUAUAUCUUUCUUUGUUUUUUUUUUUUUUUAAUUUUUUUAUUUGGUUUUUGGUUUUUGGUUUUUGUUUCUUUUCCUUCCUUUUCUUCAUGAAUAUUUGCAUGUGUUGUUUUAUGCAUUAUGUGGCUACAUGUUCAAAUACACUUUCUCUGUGGACCACAAAGUGCAUCUUCUUUGGGUAUUCCAAACUCAAAAAAGGAUACAAAUGCUUUGAUCCCACUUUACGUAGAUACUUAAUUAGUGCAUAUGUAACAAUUUUUUUUAGUGUCCUUGUUUUUUCUUUUAGAGGGUUGACUCCUGAUACACAACUCUUGUUUUCGCCUUCAGAUCCUCCUCUUUUCAUUAUUCCUAUAACUAAACUGGUUGUGUCAUCAGCUCCCACUGUUCACGUGUCUAAGAAACUUUUGAAGCCUAUACAAGAAGGAAAGUGGCCACGAUUGAGAUUACUCUGCUAGUGGAGCAACCCACCAUUAUAACAGAGGUUUAUCUCCUAUAACUAGUCCUUUGACUUAAUUUGAUCUAUAUCCUCACCAUUGCUCUUUGAACAGGUAAUAGAACUACUAGUCAAUAUACUUUUUUUUUCUUUUUUUAUCAUAAACAAAAUAGAUGUAUUAAUAGAGAAAAGAAACAUGAGAAGGAUGAGAAAUCCUCCCCAUGAAGUACAAGUCUGAUAAAAAGAACUAAAUAAACCUCCACUAACCAAGGAAGGUUAUACAAAAGGUACAAAAGGCCACUUGAUUGAAAUGACUAAGUAAACCUCCACUAAACCAGGGAGGGCUAUACAAAAGGAACAAAAGGCCUAUACAAGAAAAAGAAUCCUAACCCUAUAAACCCAACCCUAGGGUGUACAUAAUGGAAGUCAACCAGGCUGGAUUACACUCAGAAAGACACAUAAAAAAGAAGCUGAUCCCACAUCAUCUCUGGCGUCUUUCAAAUGUCCUAAAAAACCUUAGCAUUUCUCUUUCUCCACACAAUCCACAACAGAGAGAGACAUGGGAUCCUCCAAAGGGUCUUACCUCUAAUAGAAUUCCCAAAACACUUGAGGAAAUCACCAACAUAUCACAAAUACUGCUAAGUUGAACCCAUUCCAUCCCAGACCUUGAUUUUGCCCAUUUUUCUUGUCUUUUCUCAAUCUUUUAUUUUGUCUUUAUCAGCUAUUGCCAUUCUUAAGACUUAUCAGGGGCCUCUCUCUCAUCAUGGUUGGAAAGUUGCUAUAAAAAGGGGAGAUGACUACUUUAUGUAAUUGUGGCACAUGGGAUUUAACUACUUUAACAAAGGGGAAAAAAAUUUGUUGGUUGCAGGUGGAUUUUUGACGUUAAACACCAUGUAAAUAAUACUAUCUAUUGAAAGGUUGAAAGCACAACCACUUUGAAACUUUUUCACCGGUGGCUAGACUCGAUUCAAUAUGCUUGUUAAUUUCGUUGGUUAUUAAUUUUGAUUGGCAUUUAUCCUAACUUAAAGUCAAAAUUGCAUUUUUAUAUAAUGAUAUACAAGAAAUCAAUUUUUUUUUUCCCUUUUGAUGGGCAAAUGAAAUUAUAUUAAAAGUGCCAAACAAAAAAAGGGCGCACACCUAGAAUACAAGAAGUACAUAUCUAAAACAUAAAAAGAAACAACAAACAACCACAACCACAUUCUAAUUACUUUGAACACAACCAUCUAGGUUUGUUGCUCAAGUGGAGUUAAGAAAGGUGUGUAAGUUGAAGAAAGUCAUAUAUGGGUUGAAACACUCCCCUUGGCAUCUUUAGAUAAGCUUUGUAAAGUACUAGUCUCUCUUGGCUUUUCUAGAUGCCAUUAAGAUCAUCUAAUCUUUGUGAAGAAUACAAUUAAGUACAUUGGUUCUAAUUAUUCAUGUUGACGGUAUAUUCAUGUAUGGCAAUACUUUGAGUGUGAUUGAAGAGUUAAAAACACAGUUGAAUAAUACAUUUUAAACUAAAAACCUGGGGUUGCUUAGAUAUUUCUUGGGCAUUGAAGUUGCACUUAUUGGUUUUGUCUCAAAAGAAAAUAUAUGUAAGAUUUAUUAGGACUAGUAUGUUAUGAUCUAAACCUAUAAAUACACCUAUGAAUCCUAAUGUGACUAGGUUGAUUGUGUAGAUUAUGUUGAUACAAGAAGAAUAGAUGUCUCAUUGGAAACUCAAGUAUUAGACUAUGACUUAUCCUAAUAUUACCUUUGUUAUGGGUUAUCAGUCAAUAUAAGGAGAGUCCUCAAGAAGUGCACUGGGAUGCCUUUAGUUGGAUUCUUAGAUAUCUAAAAGGGAUAGUUUGAAUGGGUAUUUCAUAUAAGAAGAGCACUAAACUUAACAUUUUCAAUUAGUCAUCUGCUGAUUAGGUUGGUUCUAAAUCUAACAAGCGAUCUACUAGUGGGUAUUGGUAUUGUACUUUUGUGGAAGGGUAUAUGAUAACAUGGAAAAACAAGAAGCAAAAUGUUGUGGCCAAAUAUAGCACUAAGGCUGAGGCAGAGUAUCGUGCUAUGGCCCGUGCUGCUUGUAAGCUCAUGUGAAUAUAAAACCUUAUCAAGGAAUUACAUGUUGAAACUAAGAAGCCUACGAUUAUGUUUUGUGAUAAUCAAGUCGCUAAAAGUAUUGCAAGUAAUCUUAUGUUUCAUGAGCACACUAAACAUAUUGAGGUGGAUUGUCAUUUCAUUUGGAAAGUAAUGAUGAUAAGUUACGUGAUCACUUCUUAUGUUAGAAGAGAAAACCAACUUGGAGACAUAUUUACCAAGGUCAUUUUACAAAAAUAUGUUUUUAUAUAUCUGUUCCAAGCCUAGAAUUGAAUAUUUCUUUACUCCAGCUUGAGGGGGAGUGUAAAAGAUUAUUUGAGUGUCAGGAUUAUUAUAGGGGUGUUUUAGUUUAUUAUUUUCUAAUUAAUAAAAAAAAAAGGAGAGGCACUUUACUUCGCUCAUUCCUUGUUCUUUAACAGCACUAAUGCAGAAAACUCUUGCAAAUUAGUCACAUUAUCAAGGCUUCUAUCUCCCAUUGUUUCAUCCUUAUCAUUUAUUUUCCUUAUGGAUUGCAAAGACAUGUAUAUUAUGCACACACCCAUGUAGACAAGAAUAUCCAUAAUCAGCCACAUUAAAGUCCUUUUCCGAUCAAUUUUCCGCACAUAAAACCAUGAUGGCAAAUUAAGAGUUCAGGAGUGCAACCAGAGAAUAUACUCAAUCAAUAUUCUAAAAAGUUCAAGAAUGAAAUUUUGGUGGGGGAAGUUUCCUUACAUGUUUGAAUUUAUAAAAAGGACAACAGUAAGUUAUUUGGAAUAAUUAAGUAGUUUCACAAAUAAAUCUAGAACCAUUUGAAUAACUAAAUGAGAUUUCAUCUAGCCAAUUGCAGGCAUGUGCCAAACUAUCAUCUAGAAAAACUAGAGAGCUCAAAAACACAUGGCUGUCCCUAUGCUAAGUUAUUAGCCAGAAAACAACAAAAAAUUAACAAUAUUUAUCGACAUUACAAACUCAUUUUAUGGAAUCAAAAAUAAUAAAAUAUACCAAUUUCAUUUCUUGAGUUCAAUGCAGUUAAGAAAAAUUAUAUAAUGGUACAAUAAGAAGGAAAAUACACUACUCUGUAAAUAUUAAAUUUUAAACAAACAACAAAAUCACUUAAAUAAAUCCAAGAAAUAGAAAUAGAGCUAAGAAGGUAAUGACAUUCUUAAAAAGUGUGCCUUGAUAUGAGCAUAAUAACAAACUGCAAAAUCACUUGAAUAAAUCCUUGAAGAACGAGGGAUUGAGAGAAGGGAAUCAAAUCCCGUAGGUUUGAAGCUACAUUCAAAGAAUCAGUGUUAAGACAAUUAGUAUGAGCUCCCAUCUUCAUAAUGAUACUGGUAUUUUGUGGGAAGGACCUUUUAUCCUUCUCUUGAACUUUACUAUAAUCAAUAUAUAUUUUGUUUAUGAUAAAAAUAAAUAAAUAAGGAUAUUGGCGUAGAUUAAGAAAUAGUUUUUGAAGGCCCCUGGGGCUAAGGCUAGGCUCAAGGAAAAUGCCUCAAGGCAUAACCAAUAGGCUCAAGCGAACAAAAGGCUCAUAUCCCAAUGUGUAGGGACAGUGUUAGACAUUCACCUCAACACACUCAAAAAAGACUUCUCUUUGAAAUAUUCUUUCCAAGUCCCAACCAAAUAUAAUCCUUGAUGAAUAGAUGGGCUUAAUACCAUUUCCCAUCUUCUCUUUUUCUUUAAUUUCUUUUAAUUGCUUCAUGGGCUUGAAAUUCCUAAAACUUCACAUCAAUGAUUUCUUUUUAACAUUAGAUUUAUUCCUAAAUAUUGAAGUAACACUCACCAAAAAUAAGUUAUGUUUGGAUUUGAUAAAAUCAAAAUAUGAAAUUUUGGCAUUUCCAUGAAAAGAUUGAGUUGUAAUGUAGUCCAAGUCAAUUCUCACCAAUCCAGUCCAUGAAGACUAGAAUUUUUGAAGAAAACACUAAUGCUGCAUUUGAAGAGGACUCAUCCAAGCUUCCCUUGAGCAACAUUUCUAGUGAGACCUUUCCAAAUUAUUUAAUCCUUCUAAAAUUCCUUUAAAGACAGUCUAAAUUAAUCAUAAAAUAAAUUAAAACUAGAUACAACUAUAAAUGUAUCCAGAACCAAAAAUAUUUUUGGUUCUAAUAAUAAUUAGUUGGGUCUUGAUUUAAAUUGAGCUUCCAAAGAUGAAAGUGAACCAAAUUAAGCUUUGAUUGAUAGAAUUGCUGAAGUGCACAUCAAUUAAUCGAGUAGUUUGAUCUCAGUCUUUCUUUAAAAAGUUCUAUUUUGCAAGAAAUAUACUCGAUACAGCCCCAUCCAAGCCCAAGUUCAUAUCUUCUCACUAAUUUGAGAUUGAGGAUUUAUUUCUUAGAGAUAUUCCCUGAGAUUUUAAGAGAAAAUUCUUAAGAAAAAUUAAUCCUUUAUCAAGAACCUGUUCAUACAAUGAAGUCAUGUUCAAUUCCUUUAAUUGAAGUGUAGGUCAAUUGUUCAAUCAAUGUUGAUGAGAUUUUGCUUCUAUUAAGUGGUAUAGAAGGCACUCUUCUAGUAGGUAGCAACAAGACUAGCAGUACCAAUAACAGGCUACAUCAAUAGCUGAAACUUGCUUUCAGGAAGGGUAGGUAAGUCUGAGUUAGAUGUCCUACUUUUCCCAACAUAAGCAUUUUGCAAAGUUCACCAGCCCACAGACAAAACAACACUUGCAGAUAACAAUCAGGCUUUAACAGGGACCAGGACCGGAGUAUAAAACCUAAUUCAAAAGAAUUAGGGCUUGCUUUCCCAAUUACAUGUGUCAGUGAUGAUUCUUGUAUCUCUUGCUCACUUUGAUUGGACUCUGAUAGCUUAGAAAUGAUAGAUAGCUACCAAGGUCCCAAAAUAACCACUUAGACGGCCUACCUAUUUCUUUCCUAAUCCAUCACUUGCUAGUCUCUCUCUCAUGAAAGAUUGUUUCUCCCCUCCCGGAGGCUUUUACUCAUAAGGCUAUAACCAGUCGCUAAGAUAAUUCCCAUUCAAGCAUUUUCAUUCAACAGUCUAUUAAUACUGUCUUAUUUUGUUUCAAAUUCCUUUAUUUCCACUAGUUCUUACACAAGGUGAUUUGCAGGAAGUAAACAACCUUUCGAAAUCCACUCCUGAAGUCAAGUCCUUCGGUACUGGGAUUGAAGUGAAGUUCUUUCAAGUUGCCCUUUGCCCCAAUCCUUCCUUCCAACUUAGAAGUACCAACUGUAAAUAGCUUUAGCAUCUCUUGACAAGAAAACGUCUUUAAAAAUGUGCAUGGAAGGUGCUCAACACCCCUAAGAGACCAUUCUCACUGGGUUUUUCACGUCAUAUACAAUUCGAAGAACCUCUUAUGUUUCUGAAUAGAGCUUUCAUAUUUAUUUCAAAAUAUAGGAAUGAAACAUUCUGCAAUAGCAUUUCCUUGAUCAUAGGAUAAAUAUUUCAGAAAAGAGUCACAAGCUUUCAUUUUGAUGGCUACAUGUUAAGUACGAAUUGCAGUUGACUUUGAUCUUAAUGAAUCAAACAAGAUUGGCAGUGUCUCUCUGACAGCAACACUGUUUAACAUUCACAGAAAGUGAAGAAAAGCUUAAUACUCACCCUCUUCACCUAAGAAAUGGACAGUGAAGAUGAAAGGCCCUACCAUUAUUGAAAUACAAAUGAAUUAGAGAAAGUCGAUGCAGUGUCCAAAUCCUGGAAAUUCAGGCCACAUUGAGCAUGAGAGUAGAAAAUGUGAGAAUCAGUGAAGUGAUGCAUAAUUAGUAGCUACAUUCAUUAGGAAAAAAUUAUAAAUCAAGGGAAGUCCCAAUAAUUUGCAGUUGUGGGUUAUUUGAUGUUGACUGAGAGCACGUUUUUGACAAUUGAACACUUAAAAAUGAACCAUGGUUCUGACUUGCUUUCAAUUCCUUUAGUGAAAGAAAUGUGCUUGGAAUAUGCCUCUGACUAGACUGAUCUUUGUAACAUUGGCCAGAGAGGCCCAUGUUAUUUUGGUGAUUCAAGACAGGAGUUGUUCAGCUACACUUGAAUUGCAAUUAUUCUAAGCUACUAAACAAAUUUUAUGCUAGAAAAAGCAUCCAUUUAUAAAUGGAACAUAAAAAAUUUCUACUGCACUACGAGCAAGAUCACCAUAAAAGUUUAGGGACACAAUGAAGAUUGAUGAAUCGGCACGUACCAUGUGUUAAACAACAGGUGGAUAGUGGUGUUAAGGUCAUCCUUCCAAUGCCGGCCCUUUAUUAUUUCCAACUUCUACUCUGUCUAGCCUUGGUGUAACCAAGAGGCCCUGAGAGAAAAUUUUCAUCUUAGGGCAUUCUUCCACCACCACACGUUCCAAGACUGGGAAUGAUAAUGUAUAAACCCCUGAACAGAAGCUUGUGAGGUUUGGCAAACGACAAAGCUCCAUCUCUUCCAAUUUUCAGAAAGUAAUUUCAUCUCCUGCGUCCUCUCCUUCAUUGGCAACUACUUCCUUCAUCAUAUCUGAUCUACCUAUUUUGAAUAUUUUGAGUUGCACCAGACUUUUUAGCUAUCAAGGGUGGUAGCAAAUUUAUCAGACUGCAACAGUAGGAUAUGUCUAGACUUGCUAUGUCACGCCCCAAGACCCACUCCAAGGGCGUGACGGUCAUUUCACACCUCAAACCCGAAGGCUUAAAGUAUAAUCUGACCCAAACAAUCAUAUUGUAACUGGAUGUUACCAAUUACCAAAUACCUAUUCAGAGUAGCGGAACAAAAUCUAAAAUCCUCAAAAUUCAAUUUCCAAAUAACUUUCAAAUACCAAAUGAUCCAAAAUAACAUAACUAAUAGUUAAACAAAAUCCAACAUAAAAUCCUAAGUCAAAUCCUAAAGAUGACCAUUCCUCAGCCUAGCCAUCACUCCUCACCCGAACUAAGAGUACCUGAAAAAUUUUCAACAAUUGGGAAUGAGCUCACAGCCCAAUAAGGAAUAUUAAUGCAAUUCAUGGAUCAAAUAUUUUCAUUUCAAAUAGGGAUAUCAAAUUUUUUUUUUUUUUUUUCAUCAAAUAUCAGAGUUUCAAAAAUACCAAAAUAUUCAAAAUUCAACCAACCAAUUUCAUAUCAAAUUCAAAUACUUUCACAUCAGAUUCAAUCAAAUCCAUUCAAUUUUUCAUUACUCUGGUUAUCAAAUGUCAAAUGCCCAGUUAGGUGGGACUUUUCAAAUGGGUGGCUAGCCUCAAAUUGUUCCUGGUGGACGGAACCAAACACUACUAGUACUAGUAACCUCUAACCGAAACCCCUAGAGGCUGGGGUCCAAAUCAAUUACAUUCCCACCAUGAAAUGUAAAGGUCAACUAUUAUAUCCCGUUGACAGGGCCGAAUAGUCAACUAUUAUAUCCCGUUGACAAGGGCCAAACAAACCAGAGUGAUGUUUUUGUUCAAGUAUUCAAAUUUACACAACAUAAUAUCUCCAUAUUUUGUGUCAUAAAUAAAACAAAAUAUUCCAACAUAAUAUUCAGUGCAAAACAAUUUGAUCCAUGCAUGGUAACAAAAUAUCAUUUUCUUUUCCACAAUUCAAAAUAACAUAUAAAAUAAUUUAAUUUUAUAAAUAUUGCAUUAACUUCCCUUACCUCAAAAGAAGUCCUUGAAAGCUUGGGAGAAGAAUAAUUCUGAAAAAGAUAUAAUCUACUCUUCACCUAAUAUAAUAUAAGAGAAACAAUUAAUACUAUUUAUUUAUAAUUUAACUAAUCUAUUCCUUAUUUAAAUAAAACUAAAUAAAUUCCCAAUUUGUUUCUAANNNNNNNNNNNNNNNNNNNNNNNNNNNNNNNNNNNNNNNNNNNNNNNNNNNNNNNNNNNNNNNNNNNNNNNNNNNNNNNNNNNNNNNNNNNNNNNNNNNNUCAACUGUGGGGAAAAACGUGAUAACUCUGUAAAUUUGGCCUCAUACUGAGCCACAGUCAUAUCCCCCUGUUCCAAACGAAUAAACUCUCCCACCUUCUGCCGCCUAACACUGUCAGGGAAAUACUUCUUGUAGAAAGCCUCCCUAAAUUGUCUCCAUGUUAUGGGUCCUUGAUCCUCCAAAAGUCUCCUAGUCAUACGCCACCAAUGAUCUGCCUCUUUAUCCAACAUAAAAGCUGCAUAAGAGGCUUUUUGCUCCUCAGAGCAAUCUAUGACACCAAAGAAUUUCUCCAUCUUAAGGAUCCAAGCCUCUGCCUCUGUGGGAUCUGUAGCACCAGAAAAGUAAGGAGGACCCAAUUUCUUGAAGUCAUCAAAAGAGCUACCCCUAGAAGAUGAAGACUGUCCUUGAACAUUAGUCCCAACAGCUCGAGCUUGGCGUUCAACUAAACCAGCUAGUGUCCCAAGAUACCUAUAGAUCCCUUCUGCACUCACGGGAGGCAAACCCUCAACUGGAGGUACAUCAUCAUUAGCCUGACUGUUUUGGGAAGAUGUAGGUCUCCUUGGUGGCAUGGUGUCCUAUAAAGCAAUAGGUGUAACUAAAUUAGUCACUAAGAAGUCAAAUAAACAAAUCAGAAUUGUAAGGAAUAAAAGGAAUCAGACUAGAUGAAGUUGAAACUUAAACUAAUACGUUACUCAUCUAUUCCCAAAGGUACACUAAACAAGUUCCCAUCAAGAUCACAACCUGGCUCUGAUACCACUCUGUCACGCCCCAAGACCCACUCCAAGGGCGUGACGGUCAUUUCACACCUCAAACCCGAAGGCUUAAAGUAUAAUCUGACCCAAACAAUCAUAUUGUAACUGGAUGUUACCAAUUACCAAAUACCUGUUCAGAGUAGCGGAACAAAAUCUAAAAUCCUCAAAAUUCAAUUUCCAAAUAACUUUCAAAUACCAAAUGAUCCAAAAUAACAUAACUAAUAGUUAAACAAAAUCCAACAUAAAAUCCUAAGUCAAAUCCUAAAGAUGACCAUUCCUCAGCCUAGCCAUCACUCCUCACCCGAACUAAGAGUACCUGAAAAAUUUUCAACAAUUGGGAAUGAGCUCACAGCCCAAUAAGAAUAUUAAUGCAAUUCAUGGAUCAAUAUUUUCAUUUCAAUAGGGAUAUCAAAUUUUUUUUUUUUUUUUCAUCAAAUAUCNNNNNNNNNNNNNNNNNNNNNNNNNNNNNNNNNNNNNNNNNNNNNNNNNNNNNNNNNNNNNNNNNNNNNNNNNNNNNNNNNNNNNNNNNNNNNNNNNNNNCUAAAUCAACUGGCAUUUCCCUAUAAGCAAUCAUCACAAUACAAUUUCUAAGCAUUCUACUAGCCACAACAGAAUCUCCCACAGGAGUAGCAACAAUCAAAUCAAAGUCCAUGCUACCAACAGGCAAACCCAACAAACCAGCAAAAGAUACUGAAACAAAAGAGUGUGUUGAUCCAGGAUCAAUCAAGACUCUAGCAAAUAAGGUGUGGAUUCGGAGAGUACCUGUCACCACAUCAGAAGUGGCCUGAGCAUCUCGAUGAGUCAUAGCAAACACCCGUCCUUGGGCUUUGGGUUUCUGUUUAUCCUCCUUAUUUUCCUCUUUAGGCUUCCCAAUGAUAAACUUCCUAUUCUCUGGACAAUCUCUGAUCAAAUGUCCUUGCUUCCCACAACCAAAGCAAGCUCCAGUUUCUCUAUAGCAUGGCCUACCCCCAUGCUUCUUACCACAAGUAGGACAAGCCCCAUCUAAAUUCUGCGCUGCCUUCCCUUUAUUCUGAUUUCUUCCUGAUGUAGACCUUCGCUGUGCUUGAUUACCAUGAGCACCAUCACUCCUAUUUCGCUUCCUUUGCUGUUCCCUAUACUGAUGAAGCUCUUCAUUAUCUUUCUCUGCUAUAAGGGCUCUAUCAACAACCUCUGAAUAGACACCAAGCUUCAGAAUAGAUAUCUUGUUCUUCAAAUAAGGCUUCAAUCCAUCCUGAAACUUUAAUGCCUUUUCCUCCUCUGUAGCAAUCAACUGUGGGGAAAAACGUGAUAACUCUGUAAAUUUGGCCUCAUACUGAGCCACAGUCAUAUCCCCCUGUUCCAAACGAAUAAACUCUCCCACCUUCUGCCGCCUAACACUGUCAGGGAAAUACUUCUUGUAGAAAGCCUCCCUAAAUUGUCUCCAUGUUAUGGGUCCUUGAUCCUCCAAAAGUCUCCUAGUCAUACGCCACCAAUGAUCUGCCUCUUUAUCCAACAUAAAAGCUGCAUAAGAGGCUUUNNNNNNNNNNNNNNNNNNNNNNNNNNNNNNNNNNNNNNNNNNNNNNNNNNNNNNNNNNNNNNNNNNNNNNNNNNNNNNNNNNNNNNNNNNNNNNNNNNNNGCAUCACUAUACACCACAAAUCCUCCUGAACCUGAAGGAAUAGUCAAAAUAGGAGCUGACACUAAUCUAUUCUUCAACUCUUGGAAGCUACAUUCACAAUCAUCAGACCACUCAAACUUAACUCCCUUCUGUGUCAACUUAGUUAAAGGUAGGGCAAUCUUAGAGAACCCUUCUAUAAACCGCCUAUAGUAACCAGCAAGUCCCAAGAAACUUCGAAUCUCAGUCACAGUACUAGGUCUUCUCCAAUUAGCUACAGCAUCUACCUUGCCAGGGUCAAUUGAGAUGCCAUCAUUGCUUACCACAUGCCCAAGGAAAGAAAUUCGGUCUAACCAAAACUCACACUUCUUCAGUUUAGCAUACAACUGCUUAUCUCUGAGGGUCUGUAAUACAAUACUCAAAUGGCCCUCAUGCUCCUCUCUACUUCUUGAGUAAACCAAGAUGUCAUCUAUAAAAACCACCACAAACUGAUCUAAAUAGGGUUUGAAUACCCUAUUCAUCAAGUCCAUAAAAGCAGCAGGUGCAUUAGUCAAACCAAAAGGCAUAACAAGAAACUCAUAGUGCCCAUACCUAGUUCGAAAAGCAGUCUUGGGUACAUCUUCCCCUCUAACCCUCAACUGGUGAUAACCCGAUCGAAGAUCUAUCUUAGAGAACACACAAGCACCUUGUAGCUGAUCAAACAAAUCAUCAAUCCGAGGAAGGGGAUACUUAUUCCUCACUGUCACCUUAUUCAACUCCCUAUAGUCAAUGCAAAGUCUCAUUGAGCCAUCCUUCUUUUUCACAAAUAGAACAGGAGCUCCCCAAGGUGAAACACUAGGCCUGAUAAAACCCUUGUCUAAUAACUCCUGAAGCUGAACUUUCAACUCCUUAAGCUCCACAGGUGCCAUCCUGUAUGGGGCCUUAGACAUAGGACCUGUUCCUGGUACCAGAUCGAUGGUGAACUCCACCUCUCUCUCUGGUGGCAAGCCAGGCAAAUCCUCUGGAAAGACAUCAGGAUACUCCUUUACUAUGGGUAUGUCUUCCAACUUCAAAUCACUUUCAUUACUCACCACACUAGCCAAAAAUCCUUGGCAACCCUUCUUGAGCAAGCUACUAGCACGCAAGGCUGAGAUCAUACGCAGUGGUCUGUCCACAUGCUUCCCUUCAAAGCUAAACUUAGGCUGACCAGGAAUACUAAAUGUCACUCUUUUCUCAAAACAGUCAACAGAGGCAUGGUAGGAAGCUAACCAAUCCAUCCCCAAAAUCACAUCAAAAUCCUGAAGGUCAAGGAGUACUAAAUCAACUGGCAUUUCCCUAUAACCAAUCAUCACAAUACAAUUUCUAAGCAUUCUACUAGCCACAACAGAAUCUCCCACAGGAGUAGCAACAAUCAAAUCAAAGUCCAUGCUACCAACAGGCAAACCCAACAAACCAGCAAAAGAUACUGAAACAAAAGAGUGUGUUGAUCCAGGAUCAAUCAAGACUCUAGCAAAUAAGGUGUGGAUUCGGAGAGUACCUGUCACCACAUCAGAAGUGGCCUGAGCAUCUCGAUGAGUCAUAGCAAACACCCGUCCUUGGGCUUUGGGUUUCUGUUUAUCCUCCUUAUUUUCCUCUUUAGGCUUCCCAAUGAUAAACUUCCUAUUCUCUGGAACAUCUCUGAUCAAAUGUCCUUGCUUCNNNNNNNNNNNNNNNNNNNNNNNNNNNNNNNNNNNNNNNNNNNNNNNNNNNNNNNNNNNNNNNNNNNNNNNNNNNNNNNNNNNNNNNNNNNNNNNNNNNNAAAACAAAAUAUUCCAACAUAAUAUUCAGUGCAAAACAAUUUGAUCCAUGCAUGGUAACAAAAUAUCAUUUUCUUUUCCACAAUUCAAAAUAACAUAUAAAAAUAAUUUAAUUUUAUAAAUAUUGCAUUAACUUCCCUUACCUCAAAAGAAGUCCUUGAAAGCUUGGGAGAAGAAUAAUUCUGAAAAAGAUAUAAUCUACUCUUCACCUAAUAUAAUAUAAGAGAAACAAUUAAUACUAUUUAUUUAUAAUUUAACUAAUCUAUUCCUUAUUUAAAUAAAAAUAAUAAAUUCCCAAUUUGUUUUUAAUAACACACUACUAAUUUAAUUAAAUUACAAUUUUAUUUCAUUAUAAAACUCUAUAUAUAUAUAUAUUGCUAAAUCUAUUAUUAAUAUUAUUUUAAUUAUAAAUCUAAAAAUAAAUAUUAUUAUUUUAAUUAAUCAAUUCAAAAGCCACCCAACCAUUCCUCAUUUUGGGUACACACCAAAAAGCAAGUUUUUGUUUGUUUUUUUUUUUUUUUUGUUGCCUAAUGGUUCAUUAUAUCUAUAUCUAUAUAUAUAUAUAUAUAUAUAUAUAUAUACAAAAGCCUCCAUAGCACUGCCACGCCCCACCUGGAGUUUUUUUUUUUUUUUUUUUUUUUUUUGCCAUGCUUCCAGUAGCCCAGUACGCGUACGCCCCCAUUCUUAUUAUUAUUAUUUUUUUCCUUCCUUCCUUCAGUGCUCACGCGUUCUUCUUUUUUUUUUUUUUUUUUUAAUAACCCUAACCUAAAAUCGAAAUAUUCCAAGGAAAUUUUAUUUUAUUUUUUUUUUAAUAAAACUUAAGAUCUCCCAAAUUCCAAUACUAAAAUCAAAAUAUUAAAUUUUCACUAUUUGAUAUUAAAACGAAUUAAAAAAAUAAUCUAACCCUAAUCUAGAUUUGGGGUUUUCCAAAAAAUAUAUCUAAUGUGUUUGAAAUUAAUCAAUGAAUCUAAAAUAUUAAACUAGGUGUUAGAAUCUUACCUAUAAAGAUCUGUUCUUCAACCCUGAAAUCUGACUCCAACUUUACGUUCUCUGGAAUUCUGCGAACAGGAACUCUAUUCAGAAAAGAAGGGAAAGAAUAAAAUUUCUAAUUUAUACCUAGGGUAUUUAUUCGUAAAAUUACACUUUUACCCUUCUUCCACUUUAUUAAAUUAAUUAAUUAACUAAUUAAAUUAUUAAUAACAAUUUCCUAAAUUACCCUUAAAAGAAAUGCCUGGGCGUUACAUGCUAGAUUAUGGAAAGACGCUGAGGAUGGCACCAAAUUCAUCAAGUUGUCACAAUCCCAUAUUUUAAGAAUCUCAAGAUUUUGAAAAUGAGGGCCUACAUUAGAAUUUUCCUUCCACAAAUAUUUCAGCUCAGGCAGAUCAUUCAACUCUAAUUCCCUUAACCUUGCAAGUGCUCUGAAAUGAUUUUCCUCAUCAACGAGUCCCUCAAGUUGGACUACCUCUUUCACAGAACCACAGCUUCUCACAGUGAGUUUUUCCAGCUUAUGUAAUCUUUGAAGCAUAGAGGAAUGACAACCAAAAUAUCUCUAUACUGUAGUCUUUAUAAGUCCAUCUUCAUUUAAUAACCUUUUCCCCUUAUGAAUUAAAACAUUUGUAGAGAUAUUCUUAAUAUUUUAUAAGGAAAUUUAAUAUUACAAUAAUAUAUCACUUUAGGAAGUAUUUUAUAUAAUAUUCUUUACAAAAAGAAAAAGAAAAAGGAAUCUACACUAAUUAGGAAUCUAAGACACUUUCUAACAAUCUUCGCCUUGGAUUAAAUUCCAUUGAGUCAAUUUUUCAUCUUUCCACUGUACACUUUUUAUAUUACAUUUUGACAAGAGAACAAUUGAAUCCACUUUCAACUAAAAUUCUUUUUGCUAUCAUCUUGUGUGCUUUAUUUUCUUUGGUACUUCUAGAAAUCUUCAUCUUGAGCUUUGAUACUAAUUUGUUGUGCUAACAGAAGCUUUGAUGCAAAUAUAUUAGUUUAAAAAAACAAAGAUAAAACAAUUCACACAAAGGUACCCGAGGUUUUAACAUGGUCCGGCCAACCAUGUCUACAUCCACAAAUGAGAAAGAAUCAUUCCAUUAUUACAUAGAGAAUAUUAUAAAAGAUAGAAAAUAAGAUAUCACUCUUAGGUUCUUGAAACCUUCCAUGUUGCCCAACUCUUUGUAUCUACACUUGAAACCAUGAGCUCCUCACUUCAUCGGAUGUCUCUCAUUCUUCCUCACAUUUUUAUCGACCUAUAGUGUUUAUAAGUCCAUCCCCAUUUUAUAACAUUUUUUCCUCAUGACCUAUAAUAUUUAUAAAAAUAUUCCUUAUAACUUUUCUUAGUCUAUAAAGAAAUCUAAUAGUAUAAUAAUAUAUCAACUUUAAUUUGGAAAUAUUAUAUACAAUAUUCUUUACAAAAAGGAAUUUAUAUUAAUUAGGAAUUUGGGACACUUUCUAGAAGUUCUUAUAGACUAAACCCAUUAAUUAUCAAAAUUGCAAAAGAUGUUCAACAAGGCCAUCGGUCCUAUCAUAAAUCAAGAACUUUGAGAAAACAAAUUCCAAAGGCACUUCUACUUCCAUAAUAUGCAAAGUGAAUAGACUUUGGGUCAAUCAAUGCAUUAUUCUACUUAUAAGUUAAAGGGCAUUUUUCCCCACAUGGAGUCAACAUGAUCCUUCAACUUAUCCAAUUAUAUUUCUAAUGUUGCCUUGUCUUUAAAAGACUAUAACUCCCAUUCUUGAAAUACUUGUCAUCUUCUAAAGAGGUGAGUCUACCUAGAAGGACCCUCCAUAGUGGGUGGCAUUGACAAGGUAAUCAAGGAUUAAGAAUGCCUCAUACUUAAUCGAACAUUCAACUCCUCAUUAACGUUCAUGAAAGCUUUGUUUUGUUGCUUUAAUUGUUUAACUACUUAUCAAAAUACACUCUUUGUUGUUUCAUGUAGUCCAAGAUUUGAUGAAAGUACUCUCUUAGAGCAUGCUCAUCCCCUAGAGGCCUUUCCCUCUGCUCCAAUCUUUCUAACAUUAUUGCAUCUUUCCCACAAAAGGUGUCAAAGUGUGGGAGUCGAAUAAAAGCAAUGUGUCUUUUCUUUUUCCUUUCUCUUCUACAUAUGGUCAAGCCUUAAAGGACCCAUAUCUCCACUUUCUCACCACUUUCCUAUUUCUAGGGAGUAAGAGAAUGAGAAGUUUCAUGACAAGCAAUAGUCUUAGAGUAGUACCUAGAUCAAAUCUAUAUUUCACCAUAUUCAUGUUCCAUCCUUGUCUAUUGCCAAGUAGCUUUAGAGUUAAGAUACCAUAAGAUAUACCACAAUAUCACUUUGGAAGAAACCUCAUAAAUUUGAGGGGAGUGUUAAAUUGGUUUUUUUUUUAUAUAUAAACAUUUUCAGUUCAAAAUAUGAUUCAUUAACCAUGUAAAAUUAUUUUAUAAUUUGUCAUCUAAUGUAUAAAAUUCAUAUGUUCUUGACAAAUAUUAAUAGUUUUCAUUUGACAAGCUUUCUUUGCAAAUUGUUACUAUUCCAUUAAUAUUAUAAAAUAUACAUACUAUUAUUCUUUUAUCUCAUCUCCUCAACUCACGAGAAAAAAGUUUAAAUAUAAUUGAAUUGCUAAAACUCCAAAUAAUUUAAUUUUAAUAUGUAAGUAUCGGUAUCGAAUUUGAUGAUAUCAUAAGCAGUAUUGAAUCAUAAGUUUGAAUAUAGAUUUCACAAAUUGUCUAUUUCAUAGUGGAUGAUUCUAGCUUGCAAAGUUUAAGCAGAAACACAUCAAACAAAACUUGAACUUUGUGCAAGGUAUGAAUUCGAAUUUCUAUCAUUCUUGGGGUUUAUACUUAUUUAGGGUUUAUUUGGAAUUGAUUUUGACAAAAGUAUUUUUAAACCUAUAACACUUUUGUUGCUAGUACUUAUAACUCUCAAUCUCAAAUUUGAUGGUCCUCAUAUGAUGAGUCUUGUAGAACCUUAAAUUUAUGUUUUUAUACCUCAAGCCCAAUUGCUUCAAGCCCAACCAACUAUAAGCAAUAAUAAAUCCAUAAAUAGAGAUUUAUACUAUGAUACAAGUGGAGAUUCAUUAUGUGACUCAAAUAGUAACCAUCCAUAAUUAUGAAGAAAUUUCAAUAAUUAUGAACAAUGUGGAAAAUAUCAUACAAUCCAACAAAUCUAUAUAAACCUAAAAUAUAACUAAAUAGAUUAAGAUAGAGUGAUCCAUAUUGCAUUAAAUGCUGAACCAGCUCCCAAUUCCACAAUCUCAGCCUCAACAUUACCUAAAAAAUGUAAAUAAAUUAUUAUGAGCAUUUAAUAAGGUUAAAUAAAGAGAUUACAAUUACUAGUGAUUGCAAAUGGUAUAUAUAUUUAUUCAUACCAUUUGCAGUUUCAGAAUAGAGGAUUUUAGAUCUACUUUAUUUAAUUUCAAAAUACAGAAACAGAACAUUCUGCAAUAUCAUUUCCUUUGAUGAUAGGAUAGAUAUUUCAGAAAAUAGUUGAAAAAAUUUCAAUUUAAUGGUUGCUAAUUGGUAUAAUAAUAAAUGUCUAAGUAUGAAUUGCGCUUGAGAAAUCUAAAAAAGUCUCACAUCAGUACAUACCAUGUGCAUUUAUAAAUGAAUUAUGGAUGGUGGUAUUCAGAUUAUCCUGCUAAGGCCACUCAUCAUCUCCUACUUUUAUUCUUUCUAGCCUUGGUAUAGUUACGAGGCUUGGAGAGAACAUUUUCAUCUUGGGGGCAUUCUUUCACCAGCAUCUGCUCCAAGGAUGGGAAUGAGAAUGUAUAACCACCUGAACUGAAGCUUGUAAGGUUUGGCAAAUACAGAAGCUCCAUGCGUUGUAAUUUGUAUAAAGUAAUCUCAUCUGUUGCUUCCCUUCCUUCAUUAGCAACUACUUCUUCCAUCAUAUCUGAUCCACCUAUUUUGAGUGUUUUGAGUUUUACCAGACUUUUAGCUACCGAGGGUGAUAUCAAACUUCUCAAACUAUCACAAGACUGCACAUCUAGAGUAGCUAGAUUCUGGAAAGAUACCGAGGAUGGUACCAAAUUUAUCAAACUGACACAAUUCCGCACUACAAGACUCUCUAGACUCUGCAAGUCAAGGCCUGGUUUGGAGUUUUCCUUCCACAAAUGUUUUAGCCCAAGAAGAUCAUCCAACUUUAUUUCUCUUAACCGUCCAAGCCUCUUGGCUUGAUUUUCCUCGUCAAGUCCUUCAAGUUGGAAUACCUCUUCGAUUGAACUACAUCUUCCUACGUUAAGUACUUCCAGAUUAUGUAAUCUUUGAAGCAUAAAGGAAGGAAUCACAACCAAAAUAUCUCUAGUCAUAUACAUGCAGAACUCUUAGUCUGGGAAAGGAAUCCACUGGAAAUUGCUCUGGCCAUAUUUCUGUAUCUCUGUUGUGUUGAAUCUUCAGUAAAUUGAGAUGAGAUGUCGAAUCUUCAGUAAAUAUUAGUAGAAGAUUUAGAAAAAAUUUCAACAAUUUUCUUAAACUUUAGAAAGAAUGUGAAAACUUAAAAUUUAUACAAAGGGAACAAUCAUGAAUAUUUGAUGAAACGAUCAAAUGAUCAAGACUAUUUUGAGAGACAAUGCAAAUUCUUGAAUGACAAGCGACUAAGUCUCAUACCAUUUGUCAAAAGAGGCUUUAACACUUAUGCAAGUUCUUUUUAUCCAAGAAGUGGAAGUGUACUAGUCCAUAUCGCAGUUGGAGAUUGACUUAAUUUAAAACCAUUUAUAAUGGCCUACUCAUGUCCUCAUAGCUUUAAAAAAAUAUUUACAAGAUUAAAAGGAAUUCAUACUUAUAUAGUGUUAGGAACUUUCUCCCCUAUUCGAUGUAGGAUAUCAUAAAAAGUUGAUUAACUAUAUUUUUGGUAAUGAGAUAGUUAUGAUUCAAUGUGUAUAAUUGGUUGGAUUUGACUUUGAAACCAUAAAGAGGUAAAGAAUUUGAAUGACAAAAAGUAUAUGUAAUUGUAAUACACUCAAGUCUUUUAAAUAUAUACAUAAACAUGACUAUACAAGAGAUACAUAUAUUAUAUAAAGAAUACAUAUAUUGUUCCUAAACUUAAGGGUUAAUAAUUGAUUGCUCUUGAUUUAUGAGUGAGUUUGAUUCUCCCAUAAAAUACAUUUUUUAAAACUUUCUUCAUAUUUUUAACAUUUUCUCUCUCUCUUUGUUUAGUUCUUUUGAAAAAAUCAAACAUAGCCUAAAAAAUUUAAAAAUAUUCAUAUUUUUGUUUAAAUAGAUCAUAUUUAAGAAUUUUCAAAAAUAAGAAUUAUUUUUUUCUAAUCUGAUGAUUAUUUUAUUUUUUUUAAUCAAAUAUUUCUAAUGAAACUAGGGUUUUUUUUUUUUUAAGUUACCUCUACCAAGUUCAUUUUUCAAACUAACAUUUGGCCAAUCUCAUCACCACAUACAUGUGCAUCAAUAGCUCUAGCACUUCAAUAAAAUUAGUAUGACCAUGAAUUAGAAUAUACAUACAUACAUGCAUACAUAUAUAUAUAUACAUACAUACAUACAUACAUAUAUAUAUAUAUAUAUAUAUAAAAGCAAACAACCUUUCCAUUACCUCAUAACCAAAUCAAAGGUUCGAUCUAUUGCUAAAGUAGUAGUAUAAAAAAAUCACACUUUUCCCUAGUAUAUCUUUUGAUUCCUCAAAAAAUAACUGACAUUUGUUUCUCUUAUGCUAUUUUCCUCAAAAUUAAAUUAUAUGAUUUCAAAAAUGCUAAAAUCAAUCGCUUUAGCCCUUUAGUAAAAUUAGUAUGAGUAAUCAUCAUGAACAAGAAAAAGAGGAUUCAAAUGGUGCACCAAUCUACUAAAGUGAGUCUUCUUCCCAUCUCAUCAACCUAGAUAUAUAGAACCAACCCUCCACCAACCUUCCCAUUACCUCAUAACCAAAUCAAAGGCUCUAUUCCUAAAGCAAGUAAUAGUAUAGAAAAAAAUUACACUUUACUGUGUUUUUCCCUCAAAAGUAGAGUAAAAACAAAGAAACAACUUACCUUUGUUUCCAUUAUGCUAUUUCCAAAAAAAUAAAAAAUAAAAAUUAAGUUUAAUGAUUUCAGAGGAAUAUUAUAAAAGAAAUGAUAAAAAUGUUAAAGGAGUCUUUUUUUUUAGAACUUUUUUAUCGAUAGCCAAACAUCGUAUGAAGUUUUAUUAAUUUUUCUUAUUUUUACUUUUUUUUAAUUUAUCUCCAUUUUUUUUCUUUCAAAUUUUCUAUGGCCUAACCUAACGCAACCUAAAUUUUAAAUGAACUAAAUCUAUUAUUAGAUAUCGAUGUUAGUUGAUUGAAGAUUUAGCUGAGAUAACGAUGAUAUAAUUAAUUGAAGUAUUAGUAAUAAAUUAAAGCAUUAAUUGAAGUUCAAACUAUGGGGAAAGAAAUGGAUGUGCAUAAAAUUAAAUGAGAACAUGGGAAGAGAAAUUGAUGUGCUGCACUUAGAGAACUCAAUCAAACAUGGCAACAAAUAAUGGCUUUACAGGAAUAGGUUAGAUGAAAAAUUAAAUGCAAAUGUAUAUAUAAUAACAAACAUUACAUAGAAACUUGAAAAAAAAUCACAUGGGGAUGUUAGUUAGACUCGAACUUGGGCUAGAAUUGAAGUUGGAACUAAAUUUCAUUUAAAAGAAAUUGAAGUUACAUUAUGAAAAGGUAAGAUGAUUAAUAAUAAAAUAAUAUUGGAUUGUGAAGUCUGAAUCGGUUUUGUUGCGUUUUGUUUAGGAUGUUGGUGGUCGAACUCCCUAUUGAGCUCAUGGGGAUCAAAUCGAUUAGUCAAUUGAAGGGAUAACACAUUCUAUUUUUUUAUUUUAUAUGAUGAAUGACGAGUUUACUCCUAUUAUAUAUUUAACAUUAUUAUGUUUUUUAAGGUUUUUUUAGAAGGCACAACCACAAUUGAGAGGUUUUUUGGAGAUCUUCAUUAUUGUAAUCUUUUUUUUUUCUUUUCUUUUGAUUAGUGAAUUGUUGAGUGUUAGUACUUUUGUGGAUAUAGAGAAAACAUUGUUUGCCUAAUCACCUUCAAAAUCUCGUGUUUUUUAUUUUUUUUAUUUUCUUUUUGUAUGUAUACAUAGUUUUGGUUAACAAAUAAAGAGUAGUGAUCUGUGAAUAGAGUUAGUUUUUUUGAAGUCCUUGAAUUCAAGGGAGGAAACUUACUAAGUUAAAGGAUUUAUUUAGUCAUCAAAAUGUAAGUCAAGUGGGAAAACAUAAGGAAAGACAUUGUAAAUUUAUCCAAGGGUCAAAGGAAUAUUUUAAAGAAUUGAUGUAAAAAAAAAAACAAAAAAACAAAUGACUUAAUCUUAUAGAUCAAAUUAACCAUGAAUAAAAGGCACUUUUUGAAAAAAAAAAUUAUAUGUGAAAUCACUAUUUAAAAGUAAAAAGAAUUUAAAAGUAAGGAGAGGAAAAGUGAUAUAAUUUUAGAGGUAGCAAAUAUGUAUUUUUUGUACAUGAAUUUAGCAAAUUUGUAUUUUUUACGUAUGAAUAUUUUAUUUAAAAUCAUGGUAUUUUUCAAGUUUUUGAUAGUUCUUAUUAAGACAUGUCAAGUAUUUCAUUGGGAAGUAUACAAAAUCUAUUCUCACUUUCUUAAAACUUUUUUUUUUUUUUUAAUCUUUAGAAAUGCUUAAUUACUUUAUAUUAUUGAAAAAAAAGCUUCAUCUAUAAGGUUUAGUGUAAACUAGUUUGAACAAAAAUGUCAUUCAUUAUGGUCAUAGUUGACUUAAAGUUAGUGAAAGAGAAAGAAAAUUAUACCUUCCUAACUUUUUCUUUCACAAUGAAUCAAAGUAAUUAAGUUAAAUUAUUUAGGAUUUCAAAGGUAAUAAAAAUGAUAAUUAUAAUAUUCUAAUCAAAGAAAGAGAUUAUGUGUAUUUUUGAAACCAAAAAACCUAUUUUUUAAUUGAAACAUAUUUUCUUAUUUUUUAUUCUCAAAAACAUAAACUAGUAUAGACCCCAUUUUUGCAAACAAAAUUUUAUUAGUUUUUUUAUUUGCUUUUAUUAAGGAGUUGGAGAGCAUUUCAUUGGAAGUGGGGGACAUCUCCCAUGAAGCUCCAUGCAUGGACAUGUGGCAGACAUCAGCAGCUUGCCUAUGGUGGUGGUUGAUGAGAGAGACAUCUCUGAGCAAGAGAUAAUGGAUGGAGACUUGUUGAACCAGGAAAAGUGGAGCGGGUAGGAGAAGGUGGUACCAGCUUGGAAGGAAAACGAGCUGGUGAAAAGGGGGCCCAGGAAAGGCUUUCAGGGGGGGUUCGGUUCUUUUAGGUGAGAUCUGGAAGGAACAAGAGGAGGAAAAAAGACUUUUGGCUAAGUUGAAGGAAGCUAGGAGAAGAAGGGAAGCGGAAGUCAAACAAACUACUGUUGGAGGAGAGCAUUACCUGGUAAGAUUGAUCAGGUUUAUGGAUUAUUAAUGAUCAUCACAUUCUCUUAUUACUUCUUCAUGUGAUUAUUUUGCAUUGUUCGUGAGGUCACAUUGGUUGGUCAUGGUGGCUAGUUUCUAUUUCUCUGACUCCAUUUUGGAAUAAUCUAAUUGUGCUUUGUUUGGUCAUUUCAUAUUUAAAAAAAAAAAAAAAAACCUUCUUUCAUCCUGGUUUUUGUUUUUUUUUUUUCUCUCUUAAGAUAUUUUCUUGGUUCAAUCUACUAACCUUUAAAUCCAAAUAUAAAGAAAAAUGAAUCUGGUCUCUUCAUAUUUAUUGGGUGUUUGGUCUAUGUUCAUUCUCUUUCAAAGCUUCAUUUCAUUGUAUCAUCUGUUUCUCUCUAUUCUAUACGCGGGUGUUCCAAUCUGGGUCUCUGUUUUGACUUCCGUACUUGAGUUUCUUUCUAUGAAUGGAAACCGAGAAAUAUAGAUUGGCUUCUUGUAACUGAUAAAACAACUGGAGUCCACUAUCAACUUGAAGGAAGCAGGGGUGUUAAUCGGGUUGGGAUCAUGGAUGCUCUGUUUUUUUGGAACCUUUAGCUCUCUGCUCCUGGUCUUCCAAUCCUCUCUUAGUUUCAUUAUUUUUUAAGAUAAUGACUGGUAAUGCUUGUUGCUUAUUUUAUAGCUUUAGUGGUUUGCUUGUUUGUUCUUGACUAUCAUCGAUACUAGCAAUGGAAAAGAGAAUAGUAUUGGUUUUGUUUCUUACGAAUUUGGAGGCGAUCAAAAGGGUCCAGUGAAGAGGAGGUAGGCGGUGAGGAAAACUUUAGAUGAAUGGUAUGAGGUGAUAUAUCUUGUAAGACUUGGACCUGCUCCUACGGGUUUCUUGUAUGAUUGGGGAACCUUGUCGUCAAUACCCGUCUAAGCGAGCCAGAGAUAGAAAUUUCUUGUUGGAUAAAUCUAGAGAAUGGCGAUUAGACUGAACAUACCAGGCACAGGUCCAAAACUUAAGUCGGAUGAUUCUUAGGAUGAAGGUCAAGCUCUCCUUUUUGGCUGAUCAUCCGCCCUUGUACGUCAUCGCGACAGCCAAAGUUACCUGAGUUCCCAUUACAGAAGAUUCAUUUCUAUUAGGUUGCAAGCAUUCUCAUUUUUUUUAUGGGCAAGAUGCAUUUGAACCUUGCCCGAGAUGGAGAAAUUUACCUGCCCCACUAGCUACCCAUACCCCUCAUCAUUCAUGUCCUACACUAUUAAUACCAUCAUACCCAUUUUACCUAUCUCCUGCACAUAUAAAUUCCUUAAAUGAUUCAUUUCAAUGUUAAAGCAAAACCAACAAACUUUAAUUUACCACGUAUAGUAACCACAUGCCAUUUUUCUUUUGUUUUUUUUUUUAAAACUUUUAAUGUUAAAAGUUUUGUUCUUUAUUUAUUUUAUUUAUUCUUUUUUUAUAUCCUCAAACAGCUCUUUAAAAUUUCCUAAAAUUCCAAAGUUCCAAAUUUAUUUAUUUACUUUUAAAAAAUACCAUUUUCAAAUUAAUUUUUUAAAAUUUUGAUUUUAAAUUUAGUUUACAAACUUUAAUUCUCGAAAUUCACUUUUCCAAAACUCCAUUUUUUUAAUUUAAUUCUUCAAAAUUCAAAUCUUGAAAUAAUUUUUUAAAAUUCUAAUUUUAAGUUUAACUUCCUAGGAUUCAAAUUUUUAAAUUUAAUUUUCCAAAAACCCCACAAUUCCGAAUUUAAUUUUUAAAAUGCUACCUUCAAAUAAAUUUUCGCAACUCCAAUUCCUUUCAAAUCAAAGUUUCAAAAGUUCCAUCCUCAAAUAAUUCUUCAAAACAUCAUUUUCUUAAAUUUAAUUUUCAAAUAAUUCUUCAAAAUUCCCUUUUCUUAGAUUUAAUCUUCAAAUUUCCAUUUUCAAAUUAUUUUAUUUUAUUUCAUUUUAUUUUAUUUGAAAAUUCCAUCUUCAUUUAAUUUCUAAAAUCUCAAUUCUCACUUUUUUUUAGUCAUUAUUAUUUUCGUUAUUAUUUAAUUAUUCAUUUAUUUAGUUAUUAAUUUUAAAAUCCAUUCUUUAAACAAUUUUUCAAAUUUUCGAUUUCUGAAUUUAAUUUCCAAUUUCAAAAUUCCAANNNNNNNNNNNNNNNNNNNNNNNAAUUUUCCGAUUUUUGAAUUUAAUUUCCAAUUUCCAAAAUUCCAAUUUUCACAUUUAUUUAUUUUGUACUAUUAUUAUUAUUAUUAUUAUUAUUAUUAUUAUUAUUAUCAUCAUCAUCAUCAAAUAAUUUUGCAAAAUUCUGAUUUCCAAAUUUAACUCUCAAUUUCUGAAAUUCCAAUUUUCCAAUUUCCAAAUUUAAUUUCUAAUUUCCAAAAUUCCAAUUUUCACAUUUAUUUAUUAUUAUUAUUAUUAUUAUUAUUAUUAUCAUCAUCAUCAUCAUUUUAUUUAUUAAUUUUUAAAACUCCAAACUCUCAAAUAAUUUUCAUAAUUCUAAUUUAUUUCAAUUUUAAUCUCCAAAAUUCCAAUUCUUAAAUCUAAUUUUCAAAACUCCAAUUCUCAAAUAAUUUGCUAAUUUCUUUCAAAUUUAAUUUCCAAAGUUCCAAUUUCUUAAUUUAAUUUUCAAAACUCUAAUUCUCAAAUAAUUUUAAAAUUUCCAAUUUCUUUCAAAUUUAAUUUCCGAAAUUCCAAUCCUUAAAUUUAACUCCCAAGACGUCAAUUUUCAAGUAAUAUUUCGAGACUCCAAUUUUCAAAUAAAUCUCAAAAAUCCAGUUUUCUCUCGAAUAGUUUUAAUUCCACUCUGGUUUUCAAAUAAUCUUUCGUUUUCUUUGAUUUUUUUAAUAAGCAUGAAUGAAUCUUUCAUAAUUCCAAAAUAAUGGAAUUUGUGAUAUUAAUUCAUGCAAAAUAAAUUGGGUUUUGGUGGGGGCCCUGCAUAUGAGUUUUCUUUUCUGAUUGUCAGUUGUUAUACUUAUUGAGUAUUGUUUGAUCUUUGUUUUGCUCUUUGAUAUACAUGUAAUGAUUUUGUACUUGAGCUAACCUUGUUUCUAUGAUAGCGCACUAUUAAUUGCUGCUAAUAUACGAUCUCAUUCCCACUUCGCUUAUUCUGAUGCAUGAUUCACUUUAUUAUUUGAUUAUUUCACUGGUAUCCAUUGAUUUUCUCACCAAUUGCCACAUCUGUCUCACCUUAUUUAGUAGAAACCCGUUUUUUAGGGAUUUAGAGGGGUGCUACGGUCUUUAUCAUACCUUUCCAAUAAGUAAUCUAACCCCUGAACCCAUAUUUGGUUUCUCACAUACUGUAUUUUCCAAAUGAGGAGUCACACUUAGGGUUUUCUUUCUUAUUUUGUUUAUCCUUUAAAAAUAAAACAAAAAUAAGUAAUGACUCAAAGUCAUUUUCUAAACAAUAAAUCAUUUUUAAAAUAAAAAGCGAGUUUACCAACGAGUGGAAGCGCAUGAGCCGAAAUAUGGGGUCCACAAUUAGUCUUUAUAAAUGUUAACAAACAAACCCUUAAUAUUUUUAAAACUAAAGUUUAUUCUUUUAUUUAAGAAUUAUUUUAUCCUUUAAAUAUCUAUUAUUAACAAAAUUCUAUUUUCUUGCUUAUUUUAAAUUUUAAAGUUUAAACUUUAAAAACAUUUCAAGUUCUUAAAAAUACUUUUGUUUUACAAAACAUUAAAGAACAAAUUUCAAAACCUAUUUUUAAAAAACUAUUUUUUAAAACAACUUUAAAAAACAAUUAUCAAACAAGCUUUAAACUUUACUUAUUUCAUUCUCUCAAAAGCCCAAUAAUUAUACAACCCCUAAAAGCCAUAUAUAAUUUCUUAUUUGAAAAAGAUAAGUUUAUGAAUUAAAAACAAAUUCAAAUGUUAGAUUACCUAUUAUGAAGGUAUGAGGAUAAGUCGUAGUACCCUUCUAAAUUUUUAAAUCUAUGAUCUCUAAUAUAAAAGCAAAAAAAACUCACAUUCAAUUAAUUAAUCAAUCAAUACAAAAAUAAAUAAGACUUAAUAUAAAAGAAUAGACAACCAUACUACAAAGAUAGAUUAUAAAAUCUACAAGACAAUGAAUAUGAGAAUUAUACGAGUUGAUUCAUUAAAUUAAUUAAAAAAUGAUUUAAUUAUUUCUAAAAGAUUGCAACAAAUCUUCAAAAUAUUUCAAAAGACUUUAUUUGCAAGAGAAAAAAAAAAAAGAUUCUAGAUGAUUUCUAUUUAAUUUAUUUUAUUUACAAAGAAUGCUUCAAUUUAUAAAAGAAAAAAAAAUGAUUUGAUUUAUUUUUAUUUACAAAAAAUUUGUCAACAUAUUUUUAUUUAUGGGCUAAUUUUUUUUAACUUAUUUUUAUUAAAAGAAAUGAUUUUUACAAUCCAAUUUGAUUUUAUUUACAAGAAAAUAAUUUUUAAAACUCUUAUUUGAAAAAUUAUUUUUACAAUUCUAAUUAAAAAAAGUUUGAUUUCAUUUGGGAAAAAAAAGUUUUAGGAUUCAAUUUUAUUAAGAAAAAUGAUUUUUACAUUUUUAUUAAAUAUUGAAAUCAAUUUUUAUUAAAAGAAAUGGUUCCGGUUUAAUUUAUAUUUACAAAAGCUCAGCGAAUAUUUCUUCAAGCUCUCUCAUUGUAAUAUUUAUCUGUUUGUUUUCUUGUAGCAUAUUUCAUGGAAGCUUUAUUGGGUUAAUUUCUUCCUCUUUGCAUGGAAAUCCAUAUUUUUAAUUAAUAAGCUCACUGAAUUUGUAAUACCCAUAUUUUUAAUGACACAUAUCCAAAAAAUUUCAUAAAAUUAUUGGUAAAAUAGUAGAAAGGGAGAUGAAAAUUCAUGUGUUAAUAUUUAAUUAGAAUAAAUUUUAAAAAAUCAGUUAAAAGUCAAUAAUUUGAAAUUUUUUACCACAUUAAAUUUAAAGAGUGAAUUUAAAAAAUUAGAUUUAAAUUUGAAAAAAAUUUAACCGUUAAAUGAUUAAGAAUAGAUUUUGAAAAUUUUAAUAUUAAAUAUAUUAUAAGAAUUAAUUUAAUUAUUACUAGGUAAUUGCCCGAAAAUCUUAGUGAAAAAAACUUGAUGAAAUUUAAUUUAUAUUAUGUUGAAAUAUUAUGAUAUAUUAUUAAAAGAGAAAUGAAUUUAAUAUCAUAACGAAUCGAUUUAAUUUAUAGUACGUUGAAAUGUUAUAAUUAAUAGUUGCAAGUUGAAUGAUUAAAUAAUGAAGGUGGUAAUUUAUGGAUUAAAAUUGAGAUAUUUGAAAAAUAAAGUAUUAAAUCGUGAGUAUGAUAGGAAAUAUAUUUUUUGAUAUUAUUUUUUUUUUAUGGUAAUUGAAUUUGAUUUGUGAAUACUAAAAUUAAAGAUAAAAAUAAAAUAAAAUUAAAGGAAAUUAUAAGGACUUGUAUUUUAGGUAUAAGGAUAUAUAUAUACAUAUAGAGGGACUGGACACCAAAAGUGGUGCGAAAGCCACUGCCAGGAAAGAGGAGAAGAAAAACAGAGAGAACAAGAGAAAUGGAGAUGCAGUGGAGGGCCAUGGGUUCUCCAUGACGGAAAGCCUGCAUUUUGAGCCACCAAACCUGCUCCGAUCUGUAUCAAAUUUUGCGAGGAAGUUCAAUUCGUCGAGGUGAACAUCGCUACCGAGGGAGGAGACAGUGGAGUUGAAGCUGAGCUACCAUCUCCAUGGGGAUAUGGGAGAGAUUGUGUGUUCAAGUCUCAUCUAAUGAAAUUUUUUUUAUCCAUGUAAAAAAAGGUAAUAGAAUCCUUGUUCCUUUUCCUUCUGGUAAUUAUAUCUACAUAAGAAAAUUCAGAUCAUCUGAUGGCUUGCUUUUUGCAAAUGAAACUGUAGUAGUUGGUCCCUUCCAAAUGUCUUCAAGUCACAUGAAAUGCUUCAACCCCAUCUCCAUUCAACAAAGCUACCUAUGCUUCCAGGUACUGUUAUUUCCACAUUAAAAAUUAAGUGGGUGGCCCACUAACCUAGUAUUUAGCCAAUUAAAAGAAUACCCAAUAUCUUUAAAUUGUUAUAAAGAUAUUUACCCUUGAUGGAGUGGGUAAAUUGUAAUAAUUAUAAUAUUAUUAUUUGAAAUAAAAAACAGUUAUUCGAAUAACACGUUCAGAACGGUUUUUGAACGUGUAUUCUUGGCCCUCUUCUCCUAUCAAUAAGAUAUAUAUACAGAAACCCAUUCAUGUGCUGUGAGUACUCUCUUCCAUCAAUUACAGAAAACAAUUCUGUGUAUUAAGGUUUGAUAAGGAGAAGAAGAGAUCAAGGAUUUAAGAUCUAUAAACUGAAGGAAAAUCUCUCAUGGCAGCGUGUUCUUCAAACGGUAUGUAAUCUAUUUAUUAAUUAAUGUUUUUUUAUUAUUUUAUUAUCAGAGAUGAGUUUGAAUUCAAUGAUCUAGAUUAUUGUGUGUUAAUUUCCGUAUUAAAUCUCAACAAGUGGUAUCAAAGCAAGGUUGAAUUUAAAUAUUAAGAAUCAUUGUUUUAUAAAGAUUAAAUUUUUGAGAUUUAUCUUCAAUUAAUUCGUCUCACUAAAAUGAAUAAAAUAAAAUAAAAUAAUAAUAAUUAAACAAACGACCAGCCUCAACACGUAGAAGGAAGAUUUUUUAUUUUUCCUUGCAACGUUGACUAGAUCAAUGCGGGUGUGGGGCUCUGGUUUGGCGGACUAGUUUGGCAUCAGUCCGGUGGCCGUUUUCAGGUGCCAUUGCUGGCCGUUUUCAGGCGCCAUUGCUGGCCAUUUUCAGGCACCAUGGCUGGCCGUUUUUAGGCGCCAUUGCUGGCCAUUAAAGGCGCCAUCUCGCUAGUUUCAGGCUCUAGUCCAAACUCCAUUGUCGGCGCCAUUAAAAGACACCGUUUCUCCAACUUUCAGGCGGCAGUCAAGGCGCCAUUUCCGGCGCCAUCGCACUAUUUUCAGGCACCAGUCCAGGCGCCAUUGAAGGCGCCAUUUUGCCGGUUUCAGGCUCCAGUCAAGGCGCCAUUGUCGGUGCCAUUGAAGGCGCCGUUUUCAGGCGCCAUCUGCUGGUUACAGGCGCCAUUGAAGGCGCCGUUUUCAGGCUCCAUCUGCUGGUUGCAGGCACCAUUGCCGGCGCCAUUGAAGGCGCUGUUUUCAGGCGCCAUCUCCUGGUUGCAGGCGCCGUUUCUCAGGCGCCAUUAGAGGCGCUGGUUGCAGGCGCCAUUAGAGGCGCUAUUUGCAGGCGCUGUUUUCUUACCGUUUGCAGUGCCGUUUUAGGUGCGCUUCAGGCAUCCUUUUCGGGCUCUCCAAAAGUGCCAUUUCAGGCACUAAUCCAAAGAUCUUGAUUGAUUUUAUUAUUUUAUUUGAACCUUUGUGAAAUUAUUAUUAUAUAUGAUGAAUGCAGAUUUCUUUGAUUUUAUGAUGAUUGAUUAUUGAAUCAGAUGAUUAUUAAAGAUACUAUCUCCUUGAUUUUUAACUCAAAUAAAAGAAUUAAUUUCAUCUUGUGAAUAUUUUAUCUAAAGACAAUUUAUAAAUGUAAGGUUAACUAAUUUGGAUAGUUGCCAAAGUAACCUAAAUUAGUGAGCCUUGUAUUUAUUGAAUUGCAUAAAAGAAUAAAGGGAGACUUGUAAAAUUCUUAAUAAUUCUCUUUAUAAUUAGGAGAAUGAGACUAACCCAAAGGAGAGUCAAUUUCUGCUAAUUAUUAAUUAAUGUUUUUAUUUUGUGUUGCUUAGAAAGGUAAAAUGGAUACCCAAAGGUAACAUAUAAAUGACACAAAAUAGUAAAGUGUUUUAAGCUCCCUCCAAGUGAACACUGGAUAUGUUAAAAUUUACCUAAAGGAGAAUUUUAAUGAUAUCAAUAGUUCAUUGCUUUUUAUUUUAUACUUGAGGCCUUAUUGUGAUCAUUGUUCUAUUUUGUACAGUUCCCACUUCAUUACACUCUCUUGCAUCUGGAAUGACUGUUUUUGAUGGGUCGAACUUUUCUGAAUGGUAUGAAAGGGUUCAAUUCUCACUGGGUGUAUUGGAUCUUGACUUGGCUUUAAUAACUGAUAAACCUCCUGAAGCUACGGAUGACAGUACUCCGGAGCAGGUGGAACAAUCAAAAUCCUGGGCAAAAUCAAACAGACUCAGUCUGAUGUUUAUGAGAAUGACUAUUGCCAAUAAUAUCAAGACCUCUCUCUCUCAAACCAAGUUUGCCUCAGAAUUUCUGAAAUCUGUUGAGGAGCGCUUCAAACGCGCUGAUAAGUCCCUUGCAGGCACAUUGAUGGCUGAAUUGACCACCAUGAAAUAUGAUGGUCAGAAAGGUAUUCAGCAACAUAUUUUAAACAUGACUGGAAAGGCUGCAAAGCUUAAGGCACUAGGCAUGGGUAUGGAUGAGUCCUUCUUGGUACAGUUUGUCCUUAACUCACUUCCAUCAUAGUUUGCUCCAUUCAAAAUCCACUAUAAUACUAACAGUGAUCAGUGGAACUUGAAUGAGCUCACCAGUAAAUGUAUACAAGAGGAAGUGAGAUUAAGACAAGAAGGACAUAAUCUUGCUCUUGCUGUAACUCAUGAAGUCACGAAGAAGAAAGGAAAAUUCAAAAAGGGAAAGAACUUUCCACCUAAGAAAAGCGGACCUGGGGAAGGUAGCCAGAGUCAUGAUGGAAAAUUCACGGUAAGUUGCUAUUUUUGUGGCAAGAAAGGGCAUGUGAAGAAGGACUGUAUCAAGCGCAAGGCUUGGUUCGAAAAGAAAGGUAUAAAUCUUUCUUUUGUAUGUUAUGAAUCUAAUCUUGCUGAAGUUCCUUCAAAUACUUGGUGGAUUGAUUCUGGAGCCAUAACUCAUGUGACUAAUUUAAUGCAGGGAUUCCUUACAACCAGGAAACCAAAGGAAAGUGAAAAGUUCCUCUAUAUGGGAAACUGUUUCAAGGUUGAAGUGGUAGCUGUUGGUACCUAUCGCUUACUAUUAGAGACGGGUCAUCGGAUGGAUCUUUUAAACACUUUUUAUGUACCUUCUAUCUCUAGGAAUUUAGUUUCCUUGUCCAAAUUAGAUGCUACUGGAUAUUCUGUUUUAUUCAGUUUUGGACAAUUAAGUUUGAUGUUAAAUUCUGUUACAGUUGGUUCUGGUAUUUUAUGUGAUGGUUUAUAUAAAAUUUCCUUGAAUCAUCAAUUUGCACAAGCUUUGAUAACCCUGCAUUCAAAUGUUGGUUCAAAACGUGGCUUAAUUAAUGAAAAUUCUUCAAUCUUGUGGCACAGAAGACUAGGGCACAUCUCUAGGGAAAGAAUUGAAAGAUUAGUGAAGGAAGGAAUUUUACAAAAUCUUGACUUCACUGAUUUUCAUGUAUGCGUGGAUUGCAUAAAGGGAAAGCAAACUAAACAUACAAAGAAAGGUGCCACAAGAAGUAAUGAGCUCCUUGAGAUAAUUCAUACAGAUAUUUGUGGACCACUCUCUGUUCCAUGUUUCACAGGAGAGAAAUAUUUUAUCACCUUUAUAGAUGAUCUAUCUCGUUAUGGUUAUGUUUAUCUAAUGCAUGAAAAGUCUCAGGCCAUUGACAUCUUCGAGAUGUUCAUAACAGAGGUCGAGAGACAAUUAGAUAAAAAGAUUAAAAUUGUGAGAUCAGAUCGAGGCGGUGAAUAUUAUGGCAGAUAUGAUGAAUCAGGACAAAAUCCUGGUCCUUUUGCCAAAUUCCUUGAAAAGCAUGGCAUUCGUGCUCAGUACACAAUGCCUGGUACGCCACAGCAGAAUGAUGUUGCUGAAAGGCGUAAUCGCACAUUAAUGGAAAUGGUUAGGAGUAUGAUGAGUUACUCUUCUGUACCUAUUUCAUUGUGGGGUGAAGCCUUAAAAACCGCAAUGUAUAUCUUGAACAGAGUUCCUAGUAAGGCAGUUCCAAAAACUUCUUUCGAGUUAUGGACUGGUAGGAAACCUAGCUUGAGACAUAUACAUAUAUGGGGUUGUUCAGCGGAGGCAAGAAUCUAUAACCCACAUGAGAAAAAGCUUGAUUCAAGAACGAUAUCUGGAUAUUUCAUUGGCUAUCCGGAUAAAUCGAAAGGGUACAGAUUUUAUUGUCCUAACCACAGUGUGAGAAUAGUUGAAACCGGUAAUGCCAGAUUCUUAGAGAAUGGCGAAAUCAAUGGGUGUAAUGAACCAAGAAAGGUAGAUAUUGAGGAGAUAAGAGUGGAUAUCCCACCACCUUUUUUACCUCAAGAAAUUAUUGUCCCUCAACCUGUUCAACAAGUUGAGGAUAAUGAGCAACAUAAUAGAGAUGGUUCAUUACCACUAGAAAAUAUUGCCAUUGAAAAUGCUGUAGAGCCACCACAACCGGCACCUUUGAGGAGAUCUCAAAGAGAAAGGAGACCUGCCAUUACAGAUGAUUAUGUGGUGUAUCUACAGGAAUCUGAUUUUGAUUUGGGAUAAGGAAGGAUCUGGUUUCGUUUUCACAAGCCAUGGAAAGUGAUGAUUCUAGUAAAUGGAUGGAAGCUAUGAAUGAAGAGUUGAAAUCUAUGGCCCAUAACGGUGUCUGGGAUCUCAUCGAAUUGCCUAAUAAUUGUAAACCCGUCGACUGUAAAUGGGUCUUUAAGACAAAGCGUGACGCUAAAGGCAAUAUCGAACGAUUUAAGGCCAGACUUGUGGCCAAAGGUUUCACUCAAAAGGAAGGUAUCGAUUACAAAGAUACCUUCUCUCCAGUUUCCAAGAAAGAUUCGCUUAGAAUCAUCAUGGCACUUGUAGCUCAUUUUGAUUUAGAGUUACAUCAAAUGGAUGUGAAAACUGCAUUCUUAAAUGGGAAUUUGGAUGAAGAUAUCUAUAUGGAACAACCUGAAGGGUUCGCAAAGAAAGGAAAUGAACACCUAGUUUGCAAAUUAAAGAAAUCCAUUUACGGUCUUAAACAAGCUUCCAGACAAUGGUAUAUUAAGUUCAAUAAUACCAUUACAUAUUUCGGAUUUAAAGAGAACAUUGUUGAUCAAUGUAUAUAUCUGAAAGUUAGUGGGAGCAAGUUUAUAUUUCUGAUACUGUAUGUGGAUGAUAUUUUGCUUGCUAGCAGUGAUCUUGGUUUAUAAUGUGAAACCAAGGAAUAUCUCUCUAAAAACUUUCAUAUGGUUGCUAUGGGUGAGGCAAACUAUGUUAUUGGCAUUGAGAUCUUUAGGGAUCGAUCUCGAGGAGUGCUAGGUUUAUCUCAGAAAGGAUAUAUCGAUCGGGUUUUAGAGAGAUUUAAUAUGCAGUCAUGUUCAUCGGGUAUUGCACCUAUAUUGAAAGGUGACAAAUUAAGUAAAAUUCAGUGCCCAAGGAAUAACAUGGAAAAGGAGCAAAUGAAGAAAAUUCCUUAUGCAUCAGCUGUGGGGAGUUUGAUGUACGCUCAAACAUGUACAAGACCAGAUAUCAGCUUUGUUGUAGGCAUGUUAGGAAGAUACCAAAGUGAUCCAGGAUUCGAACACUGGAAAGCUGCAAAGAAGGUGAUGAGGUACUUACAAGGGACAAAAGAUUAUAUGCUCACAUAUAAAAGAUUAGAACAAUUAGAGGUUGUCAGUUACUCGGAUUCUGAUUAUGGUGGUUGUCUCGAUAGCUUAAAGUCAACUUCAGGAUUUGUCUUUAUGCUAGCAAAUGGGGCAAUUUCGUGGAAGAGUGAAAAACAAUCAAUUACUGCUUCAUCCACGAUGGAGGCCGAGUUUGUUGCUUGUUUUGAAGCUUCAAGUCAUGCUUUAUGGUUGCGGAAUUUUAUCUCAGGGCUUGGUGUUGUCGACUCUAUUGCUAAACCUUUGAGAAUAUACUGUGAUAACACCGCGGCUAUUUUCUUCUCUAAGAAUGGAAAAUUUUCUAGUGGAUCGAAACACAUAGAUUUAAAGUAUUUAGUUGUUAAAGAAAGAGUCCAGAAACAACAAGUGUCAAUUGAAAAUAUUAGGACCACACUUAUGGUUGUUGAUCCAUUAACAAAGGAUUACCUCCAAAGGCAUAUUUGGAACAUGUUAUGAGGAUGGGCCUUUUGAGUAAUCCAUAAUAUGUAUGAUAAUGAAUGGUGGUUAUGUAAUUGACAAUUUGCGCAUUAAAAUUGUUUCUGUUUAUUCUUGUUUUCAAUUAUGGGUGCACGUUUUAUUGUUUGAUAAACAAGAAUUGUCCUGACAAGACAAAUUAUAGGGGCUAUUUGGCAUUAAGGACUGGGUUAGUAAGGGUUAUUAAUGUGUGGUGCAUGGAAGGAAACAUGACAUUAUGGUCAUGUGACCGCCAUGACUCGCAUUUAUGAUCUAAACUGAUUCAGUAUUAUGGUAUAUGAUUUUGGAUGUAUCAGCUAAGUUUAUUGAAAUCGUGAUCACGUGUCAAAUUUAUUUUCCAGUAUAUAUUUUAUAUAUAAACUAAAUAUAUUAUAGUUUUCAUAAUCGGUUUAGUGGGCCAAGUGGGAGAAUGUUAUUUCCACAUUAAAAAUUAAGUGGAUGGCCCACUAACCUAGUAUUUAGCCAAUUAAAAGAAUACCCAAUAUCUUUAAACUAUUAUAAAGAUAUUUACCCUUGAUGGAGUGGGUAAAUUAUAAUAAUUAUAAUAUUAUUAUUUGAAAUAAAAAACAGUUAUUCGAAUAACACGUUCAGAACGGUUUUUGAACGUGUAUUCUUGGCCCUCUUCUCCUAUCAAUAAGAUAUAUAUACAGAAACCCCUUCAUGUGCGGUGAGUACUCUCUUCCAUCAAUUACAGAAAACAAUUCUGUGUAUUAAGGUUUGAUAAGGAAAAGAAGAGAUCAAGGAUUUAAGAUCUAUAAACUGAAGGGAAAUCUCUCAUGGCAGCGUGUUCUUCAAACGGUAUGUAAUCUAUUUAUUAAUUAAUGUUUUUUUAUUAUUUUAUUAUCAGAGAUGAGUUUGAACUCAAUGAUCUGGAUUAUUGUGUGUUAAUUUCCGUAUUAAAUCUCAACAGGUACCUCAUCCCCAAGAACAUACCAUAAUUUCUCUGUUGGGAUAUUGUCUGCAAUAUUCUUUGAUUUAUUCCACCUUCCACUCGAGGGUCAAACCCAAGUAUUGGUUACCCAUUUCAUAAAGCUAACCAAUUUGACAUAAUUUUCUUUUAACAUCAAAUUAGUCAGUGAAAACAUGGAGGACAUGAUCAUUUUAGAUCUCAACAAAAUUUAAUUGCAAAUAAGUGCAUGCAUAUAAUAUUAUUUUUAUAAAAAACUUUAUAAUUAGAUAUUUUCUUAUAAGAAUAUACCCUAGUGGAAAAAUAUUAUAAACCAAUAAACCAAUAAAUCAAUAAUUUUACUAUCCAAUAUUAAUUAGGAUAUUAAGCAUGUAAUUAAUGAUCAAAAUUAAUAUGCAAUCUUAUUGUCAUUGCAUGCAUAAAUAAAAUCUUCCAAGUAUGAAUGUUAAUGAGAUGUUAGCCUCCCUCACUAUCACUCAACAGAAUAUAAAAGUUUUCAUUAUUUUUUAUUUUAAAAAUAAAAAACAAAAAAGAUAUAUUCCAGCACUUUGUAUUAGUUAAUAAAUUAAAGAAAUCUUCCAACCCUCUUAAGACUAAGGAACCAUAUUAAUUCGUAAACCAAUUUAAUCAUUUAAUAUAAUUUAAUGAUUUAAUUCAAGCCAUUGAGUACGUUAAAUAUAAAUAUAUUUGAUAAAAUAAAUUAAUAAUAUUAUUUAAAGCCAAAAUUAACUUAACCUAAUAAGUAAAAAGGAUUUUUUUUUCAAUAAAAAUAAACUACUCUUGAGCCAUCAUUGCCUAAAAAACUCAAUUGAUUAUCAACUUUCUAUAAUAAUAAUAUAUUAUAUAUAUAUAUAUAUAUAUAUAUAUAUAUAUAUAUAUAUCAAUUACUUGAUAUUAAUAAAACCAAUAAAUAUGUUUGGAUUAAAUAAUUUUAAAACAACUUUCAAAUUUAGUUUUAGCAAAAAAGUUGAUAUUUAAAAUAACAAGAAAUUAAUAACAAAAUUCUCUCAAAUCAGUCAAGAACCUCUCUGGCUUCAAUUCCAGUGGAUCUUCCCACACUUCAGGGUUCCAUGCGAUCUCUGCUACCAUGAAAAAAAUGUUAGCGUUUUGGGGGAUUGUAUAGCCACCCAGAUUUACAUCUUGGUUCACUGCAUGAGGCAAGCCGAAGUGUCCAGGAGGAUGACGCCUCAAACCUUCCAAGAUCACAGCCUUCAAGUAUGGCAUCUUCUGCAAAUCUUCCUGCUUCACGUCGUCCUCUCUUGUCCCCAUAUCCCCACUAAUCUCUUCAAAGACCUUGGCCUGAAUAUGCGGGUACUUCACCAGGUUUGCCAUGAUCCACUGCAGCAAUGUGUAAGUAGUAUGUGUUCCUGCGUUGAGAAACUCGGAGCACAAACUAACCAGUUCGCUGUCAUUGAGCUUCCUCUUCUCGUCAGGCAGUUGCAGAUCCAGCGAAGUAUCAACGUAGACUGUUAUACGACUGCUGUCUUCUUUGUCGGAAUCUUCUUGUUUGCUUUGUAAUUCCUUCUUCAAGCGAUCUCUGGCCCUUAUAAGAGGGAUCAACACAUCUUCUUGAUGCUUGCGAAGCUGCAGGAACUUCUCCCAACGCUUCCGAAACAAGAUCUUUCCUAUGGUAGGCCAGAAAUUGAGCAUAUUGAAGGUGCCAAAACCAGCCAAAACUCGCAGCUGAGCAGCUUGGAUUUCUCUCACUUUCUCCUCCUCAAGCUGAUUCCCGAAGCACAUCAGAACCAGCAAGCAAAACAUGGCGAAGUGGAAGUCAUCCACCACGCGUACCACACCAUCUGCGGUUUUAGAGCUCCUGCGAAGCUGAGAGAAGAGAAUCUCCAGCACCCACUUGUGGGCUCGGGAGUACGCUUUUAGGCGCAAGGGGUUGAAGAUUUUUGUAGUGAGGUUGCGGCGGAGGAGGCACCAGGUGGGACCGUAACCGGCGGAGCUGACGUUGUGCUGGUUGCUUCCAAUGACUUUGUUGGUAACCAGAGGAACGGGGCGGUGGACGAAAACUGCAGCAUUUUGAACUAAUGCUUCGUGAGCCAGGGAGGCACUCGCAACGAAGAUUGCUGGGCUGUUGCCAAGUGGGGGGGAGACGAUUGGACCAUGCUUAGCGUGAAGGUUUCUGAGGAUUGGCUCAAGUUCUGUGUAAGAUUUCCGAAGCCAUAAGUAGCUGCUUAUGAUUGGAAAGGCAAAGGGUCCAGGAGGGAGCUUCUUCUUGGGCUUGGAGAAGAGCAUCUUCAAAUUGAUAAAUGAUAGUUUUUUCAUUAAUUUUAAUUCAUUCGCUCAUGUACAUAGUAUAUAUAGAGGGUAAUCACCAUUCUAAGAAUGGGAAAGAAUGAUACAAGGAAAGAAUGAUAUAAGGAAAUAACAACUAAUAUCCUAAUAUCUCAACUUUCCUAAUAUCUCAAUAUUCCUAAUAUCUCAAUAUUCAUAAUAUCUCAAUAUUCCUAAUAUCUCAACUUUCCUAAUAUCUAAACAUUCCUAAUAUCUCAACACUAAAUGAUAUAAGGAAAGAAUGAUAUAAGGAAAACAUUCCUAAUAUCUCAACACUCCCCCUCAAGUUGGUGCAUAGAUGUAACACAUGCCCAACUUGUCUAAAAAUUUUGAGAACACUUGACUUGAGACAGCUUUGGUGAGGAUAUCGACCAAUUGAUUUUCUGAUCGAAUCUUAGGCAAUUCCACAAUCCUAUCAUCCAACUUUUCCUUAAUGAAGAAUCUAUCCACCUCGACAUGCUUUGUACGAUCAUGUUGUACUGGAUUAUGAGCAAUGUCACAUGCGGCUUUAUUGUCACAAAACAAUCGGAUUGGUUGCCUAGAUAGGUAACCUAAAUCCUGUAAGAGGAGUCUUAGCCAUAAUGCCUCACAAAGUCCUAGAGCCAUACCUCUAAAUUCCGCUUCUGCACUUGAACGGGCGACGACAUUCUGCUUCUUACUUUUCCAUGUCACAAGAUUACCACCUACAAAGGUAAAGUAACCAGAUGUAGAUCGCCUAUCAUCCACUACACCGGCUCAAUCGACAUCAGUAUAUACUUCUAUACUCUGAUGAUCAACAUUUUUAGCNNNNNNNNNNNNNNNNNNNNNNNNNNNNNNNNNNNNNNNNNNNNNNNNNNNNNNNNNNNNNNNNNNNNNNNNNNNNNNNNNNNNNNNNNNNNNNNNNNNNCUUAUCGGUUGAUACUUGAUUAGGCUCAACACACAAUUUCAGACAUUUUUCUAUUGGUGUAUUAACAGGUUGACUGAUUACUACCCAAAAAGUGCUAUUUUACACCUUUAAUUCAUUAUGUUUUAAGCACUUUUGUGUAGUAGUUCUCCAUCUUUAUCCCAAUUGGCAUGUUAAGGACCUAGCAAUGACUUCUAAUCAUAUUUGUGGCUAGUUUUAGUGUUUUGACAGCUUUUUGGAUCAUUAAAACAAGCCAAGUAAAGGAGAGAAGCAAAAAGGAAAAACAAGCAAAGUGAAGAAAAUAGAGGACAACAGCUGCAAUCUUCCUUCGCACUUUUGGAGCACUUUCCGAAGUCCAUUUUCUACAUUCUAUAUACCAUUUCAAAUCUCAGGAAGCCAAAAAUCCAACGCUUCAAACCGUGUACAAUUUGGAGCUGAAAUGAGGAAGAUAUGGCCUUCGGAAGACAACUGCUCCAGGCUUGUGCGAAAUUCGCACAACACCUUCAGCUUGUGCGAAGCUUGUGCGAAACUCGCACAACACUCGCACAACACCUUCAGCUUGUGCGAAGCUUGUGUGAAACUUGCACAACACUCGCACAACACCUUCAAAAUUCGCACAGCCCAUGCAUGGUGCGAAUUUUCCUCUGUUCCGCCGACUCCACUUUAGAUCUUUUCUUUUAGAUAUUUUUGUAUAAAUUUCCAUUCUUCUCCUUGUAAUCCACCAAUCAUAAGAUUUCUUAGCUAGGAAGGUUGGAAAAACUUCUCUAUAUAUAUUCCCGUGCAUCCAUUGUAAAAUAUACAGAGACAGAUGGAGAUGUAAAAUAUAUAAAUAUAUAGACUAUACAGAGCCUUGUUCUGUUUUUCUCUCUUCUCCUGUUCUUCCCCAUUUCUAUUUUCUUAGUAGCCAAAUAGCCUCUGAGGGCUUUUCCUCAGAGGAUGAUGAUUACUACUCAAAAAGUACUAUUUGAUAGCUUAUAAUUAAUCAUUUUAAACACUUUUGAGUAGUAGUUUUGGCCUUUUAACUCAAUUGGCAUGUUAAGGAUCCUUUAAAGCAAUUUUAAUCACUUUGUGUAAGUUUUGGUGUUUUUGUUAGUAAUUUGAUCACCAAAGCAAGUCAAGACUGAGGAGAGUUAUGAGGAAUCUUGGGCAAAGCUUGGAAGUCAUUUGCCAAGAGUAAAUCCGGAUUGCAAGGAGAAAAAGCAAAGAGAAUCUGCCAUAAAGCAUAUUCUUGAUGACAGUCGUAGGAGCCACUUUUGGAGUACUUUCUGAAGUCCAAAUGAUGUAUUCUAUAUACCAUUUCAAAGCUCAGGAAGUCAACAAUCCAAUUCUUUAAACGGUGUGCAAUUCGGAGUUGAAACGAAGAAGUUACAGCCAUUGCAAGCCAAUCACUCCGAGCUGAAGGAAGCAUUUUGCAAAGUGCUGCGAAAUCACCCUUUUAUUGCGAAGUGAUUCCGCAGCCUUUUUGUACAGUAGGGUGUAUUUCCUUCUGAAGUUGCCCGACAUAUACCGCGAGAGGGAAGCUGGGAACCUCAAGGUGGAAGCCAACUUCGCAGCCCUGCGAAGAUAGCAUGUUGUUGCGAAAUGAUUUCGCAGCCCUCUUGAGUGUCUGCGAAAUCUCACAGACACCAUUUUCUCUUGCGAAAUGGUUCCUGAAGCCUCCCGAUAUUUGCUACCGACGUUGGGAGAUAUUUUACAUCAGAUUUUUGUUGUCUAAAUCCCAAAAUACUCCUUGUAAGCCACCAAUUACAAGAUUCCUUAGCUUUUAAGUUAGUAAAAAGACUAAAUAUCUAUGUAAUAAUUAGUUUUAUAUUAUGUACAUAUAUAUACCUCUCGAGAGCCUGUUCUCAGAGAGGAGUUCCUUCUGUAAAAAGUUUGGGUAAGCAAGUAAAGUUUAUUUCUUUCUACUGCCUUACCUUCUCACUUUGUAUUUUUAGUUAAUACUAAGUUAUGAACUCUCUGAGGAGUUUUCCCCAGAGAAUGAGUAACUAAACCUCUAAUUCCUUGGAGCUAAGGUUGCCGGGGGAGGUUCCAAGUGCAAGAAUGCAAAGCUUUGUGGUUUUAGCUAUUAAUGAAGAGGAAGUGAAAUCCUUUAGUGAUUUCUAUGUUUUUAGUUAACUUAAAACACCUUGGAAUCACCUGGGCCAACACUUGGUAAGGCAAGUGAUUUCCAACCAUGGAAAUGCACUAGUUUACCCCUUGCGAGCCUCUGGUAGGUGAUUUCAGGGUAAGAUUUUCUAGAAUAGCCAACACUUGAUAAGCUUUUGGACUCCAAGGAGACAUCCAUUAGUUAUCUCUUGCGAGCUUUUGACGGGUAAUCCAAGGUUAAAGAUCACCUUGAAUGGUUACGGCUUAGUGAGAGGCUUAAACCAUUGCAAGUUGCAUCAGUGAGAGAAUUAAAGUGAAAUCUAAUUGAAGGAUGAAUCUGUACAACACCAGCUAGAGAAUUGACUAUAUGUUGAAUCUCUAACGCGAGGAAAGGAACCAUCUGAUCGGAGCUAUGUCUUUUGCAUGAGGAACCAUCCUAGUGAACCUAACUCUCCAAGGAAUGUUUUUCUUCCUAAGUUAUUCCAAACAUUUGUUAUGUUAGUUAGUUUAAAUCUAAACCUUUACCAAUCAAAGUUUGUGUUUUACUUCUUAAGCUAACCUUGAAAUGAAACAAGACCAAUUCACUUGGAAUUGGUAUCAUUGAGAGCUUGUUAAUUUUUCCCAGUGGAUGAUCCUAGAGCCACUAUACUAUAGUAGCUUUUUCUUUACUACCCUAGUAUAUGGUGUUAUAGGUUAUAAAUUUUGUUGAUUACUCCCUCAAUCAAGGAGAACCAGCUGGACACGAAUCAGUUGAGACACCAAUUGGGCACGAAUCAAAUGGCGUCGUUGCCGGGGAAUAUGUCAAGUUUAUAGUGAUACCAAUUUUUGAGCACUUGUGAUUUUCAUCACAAGUUGGUAACGUUUCUUUCACUUUACUAAUUCUCAUUUUUUCUUUAUUUAUUCUUAAUCCAAGUUUAUCUUUUAAAUUUAGCCUAGUUUAAUUUUGUUGUUGUAGCCCUGUUUUCCUUUUGUUGUCCUUUAUUUUCAUUUAAGUUGCAGAUAGAUACUAGUUGUGUAUGCCAAAGUGGAUACGAGACAGUGGAGGAAGGCUUGUUAAGUGUGAUACACCUCAGAGAAGAGAAUUCGAAUUGAGCUUGAAUAUCAUGGAAACUACACCUGAAGAUCAGCAUAGUCACCAAGGUCGUCAAGACAAUCUCAAUGAAUUCAGAUCAAUGAGGGAUCGUAUGCAUCCACCUCGUAUGAGUGCACCAUCAUGUAUAGUGCCCCCUACCGAGCAGCUAGUGAUCAGACCGUAUCUUGUUCCACUUCUACCAACUUUCCAUGGAAUGGAGAGUGAGAAUCCGUAUGCACACAUCAAGGAAUUUGAAGAUGUUUGUAAUACGUUUCAAGAGGGAGGAGCUUCAAUUGAUCUGAUGAGGCUUAAGUUAUUUCCUUUUACUUUAAAGGAUAAGGCCAAAAUUUGGCUUAAUUCUUUAAGGCCAAGGAGUAUCCGUUCUUGGACUGACUUACAAGCUAAAUUCCUCAAGAAAUUCUUUCCUACUCAUAGAACAAAUGGCUUGAAAAGGCAAAUUUCAAAUUUCUCAGCUAAAGAGAAUGAGAAAUUCUAUGAGUGUUGGGAAAGAUACAUGGAAGCUAUAAAUGCUUGCCCUCACCAUGGCUUUGAUACAUGGCUAUUGGUGAGUUAUUUCUAUGAUGGUAUGUCCUCUUCAAUGAAGCAACUCCUCAAGACAAUGUGUGGAGGAGAUUUCAUGAGCAAAAAUCUAGAGGAAGCUAUGGAUUUCUUGAGCUAUGUAGCUGAUGUUUCAAGGGGAUGGGAUGAACCAACCAAAGGAGAAGUGGGGAAGAUGAAGUCUCAACUGAAUGCUUUCAAUGCAAAGGCUGGGAUGUAUACCUUGAAAGAAGAUGAUGAUAUGAAAGCAAAGUUGGCAGCUAUGAUAAGAAGAUUGGAGGAGCUGGAGCUGAAAAGAAUACAUGAAGUGCAAGUUGUUGCUGAAGCACCAGUGCAAGUGAAGUUGUGUCCUAAUUGUCAACCAUUUGAACAUUUGGUGGAGGAAUGCCCUGCAAUUUCAGCUGAAAGGGAGAUGUAUAGAGAUCAAGCAAAUGUUGUUGGACAAUUCAGGCCCAAUAACAAUGCGCCUUAUGGAAAUACCUACAACUCAAGUUGGAGGAAUCAUCCAAAUUUCUCAUGGAAGGCCAGAGCAACUCAGUACCAACAGCCGGAUCCACCAUCUCAACAAUCUUCAAGUCUUGAACAAGCAAUGGCUAAUCUUAGCAAGGUAGUGAGAGAUUUUGUUGGAAAGCAAGAAGCAACCAACGCUCAAAUCUAUCAAAGAAUUGAUAGAGUAGAGAGUAUGUUGAAUAAAAGGAUGGAUGGAAUGCAAAAUGAUAUGAACCAAAAGUUUGAUAACAUUCAAUAUUCAAUUUCAAGGCUUACAAAUUUGAAUACACUGCAAGAAAAGGGAAGAUUUCCUUCUCAACCUCACCAAAAUCCCAAAGGUGUCCAUGAAGUGGAAAGCCAAGAGGGAGAAUCAUCAUAGAUGAAAGAUGUCAAAGCUUUGAUCACUCUAAGGAGUGGUAAAAAAAUUGAGCAGCCAACACCCAAGCCACAUGUUGAGAAAGAAGAAGAGAUAAAGAAAGGGAAGGAAAUGGAAGAUAAAGAGAGUAAGAUCAGUGAAGAAAAGAAGGAAUCUGAUUCAACAAUGAAUGCAAUUCCAGAGAAGGAACUUCUGAAGGAAGAAAGGCUGAAGAAAUCAACUUCUCCACCUUUUCCUCAAGCAUUACAUGGGAAAAAGAGGAUUAGAAAUGUAGCUGAAAUCCUUGAAGUAUUGAGGCAAGUGAAAGUUAAUAUUCCACUGCUGGAUAUGAUUAAACAAGUUCCAACGUAUGCAAAAUUCCUAAAGGAUUUAUGUACUAUCAAAAGAGGUUGACUGUAAACAAGAAAGCCUUCUUGACUGAGCAAGUAAGUGCAAUCUUACAAUGUAAGUCUCCUUUGAAGUACAAAGACCCGGGAAGUCCUACCAUUUCAGUCAUGAUUGGAGGAAAGGUAGUGGAGAAAGCCUUGUUAGAUUUGGGGGCAAGUGAGAAUUUGCUUCCAUAUUCCGUCUACAAGCAAUUGGGACUUGGGGAAUUGAAGCCAACAACAAUCACUCUAUCUCUAGCAGAUAGAUCAGUGAAAAUUCCAAGAGGGGUAAUUGAAGAUGUAUUGGUUCAAGUAGAUAAUUUCUACUAUCCAGUAGAUUUUAUUGUUCUUGAUACAGAUCCUAUUGUAAAGGAAGCUAAUUUAGUUCCUAUCAUCCUUGGAAGGCCAUUUCUUGCUACUUCAAAUGCAAUCAUCAACUGCAGGAAUGGGCUGAUGCAACUCACUUUUGGCAACAUGACACUGGAUCUCAAUAUUUUCUACAUGUCUAAAAAGCAACUCACUCCGGAAGAAGAAGAAGGACCAGAAGAGCUGUGCAUUAUUGAUACUUUGGUGGAGGAGCACUGUAAUCAAAAUAUGCAAGACAAGUUGAAUGAAAGUCUUGUGAAUUUUGAGGAAGGUUUGUCUGAAUCUCCUACUGUGCUUGCUACUUUACAAAGUUGGAGAAAGAUAGAAGAAAUUCUACCUUUGUUCAAUAAAGAAGAGGAGGCAGCUGCUGAAAAAGAAACUCCAAAACUCAAUCUGAAACCUUUACCUGUGGAGCUGAAAUAUAUAUAUCUUGAAGAAAAUAAUCAAUGUCCUGUUGUGAUAUCUUCAUCUCUGACCAAUCAUCAAGAGAAUUGUUUAAUGGAAGUUCUCAAGAGGUGUAAGAAGGCAAUAGGAUGGCAAAUAUCUGACUUGAAAGGCAUUAGUCCUUUAGUUUGUACUCAUCAUAUAUAUAUGGAGGAGGAAGCAAAGCCAAUUCGUCAAUUUCAAAGAAGGUUGAAUCCUCAUCUACAAGAGGUGGUGCGAGCUGAGGUGCUGAAGCUACUUCAAGCAGGAAUCAUCUACCCUAUAUCUGAUAGCCCUUGGGUGAGUCCUACUCAAGUGGUACCAAAGAAGUCAGGGAUCACAGUGGUUCAAAAUGAAAAAGGGGAAGAAAUUACUACACGCCUCACUUCAGGUUGGAGGGUGUGUAUUGAUUAUAGAAAGCUGAAUGCUGUCACCAGGAAAGAUCAUUUUCCAUUGCCAUUUAUUGAUCAAGUGCUGGAGAGAGUCUCUGGACAUCCAUUUUAUUGUUUCUUGGAUGGGUAUUUAGGGUAUUUUCAGAAUGAAAUUGAUUUGGCAGAUCAGGAAAAGACCACUUUUACAUGUCCAUUUGGAACAUAUGCUUACAGGAGAAUGCCUUUUGGUUUAUGCAAUGCACCUGCUACAUUUCAAAGAUGUAUGUUGAGUAUUUUCAGUGAUAUGGUGGAGCGAAUUAUGGAGGUUUUCAUGGAUGACAUCACCGUAUAUGGAGGUACAUUUGAGGAAUGUUUGGUUAAUUUGGAAGCAGUUCUUCACAGAUGCAUUGAAAAAGACCUGGUGCUUAAUUGGGAGAAAUGCCAUUUUAUGGUACAUCAAGGAAUUGUCCUUGGCCAUAUCAUCUCUGAAAAAGGCAUUGAAGUUGAUAAAGCAAAGGUGGAGCUUAUUGUCAAAUUACCAUCCCCAACAACUAUAAAAGGAGUAAGGCAGUUCCUUGACCAUGCAGGGUUCUAUAGGCGGUUUAUAAAAGGUUUUUCAAGUCUUUCAAAACCUCUUUAUGAGCUGUUAGCUAAGGAUGCUAAGUUUAUAUGGGAUGAAAGGUGUCAAAAUAGCUUUGAUCAACUGAAGAAAUUUUUAACAACAACUCCAAUAGUGAGAGCCCCUAACUGGCAAUUACCUUUUGAACUGAUGUGUGAUGCCAGUGACUUUGCUAUAGGAGCUGUGCUUGGCCAAAGAGAAGAUGGGAAGCCCUAUGUGAUUUACUAUGCAAGUAAAACACUAAAUGAAGCUCAAAGGAACUACACAACUACAGAAAAAGAAUUGUUAGCUGUGGUAUUUGCUUUGGACAAAUUUCGUGCUUAUUUAGUGGGGUCUUUCAUCAUUGUCUUCACUGACCAUUCAGCCUUGAAGUAUUUAUUGACAAAGCAAGAUGCAAAAGCAAGGUUGAUUAGAUGGAUUCUUUUGUUACAAGAAUUCAAUCUUCAAAUCAAAGAUAAGAAAGGAGUGGAGAAUGUGGUAGUUGACCACCUUUCAAGGUUAGUUAUAGCACAUAAUUCCCACCCCUUGCCUAUUAAUGAUGAUUUUCCUGAAGAAUCACUCAUGUUCUUAGUAAAAACUCCAUGGUAUGCUCAUAUUGCUAAUUAUUUAGUAACUGGAGAAAUUCCAAGUGAGUGGAAUGCACAGGAUAGGAAGCACUUCUUUGCCAAAAUUCAUGCUUAUUAUUGGGAAGAGCCCUUUCUUUUUAAGUAUUGUGCAGAUCAUAUAAUAAGGAAGUGUGUCCUUGAAGAUGAGCAGCAAGGGAUUCUAUCCCAUUGUCAUGAGAAAGCAUGUGGAGGCCACUUUGCCUCUCAGAAAACAGCCAUGAAGGUAUUGCAAUCAGGGUUUACUUGGCCAUCUCUUUUCAAAGAUGCCCACAUCAUGUGUAGGAGUUGUGAUAGAUGCCAAAGGCUUGGAAAGCUAACAAAAAGAAAUCAAAUGCCUAUGAACCCCAUUCUAAUAGUUGAGUUAUUUGAUGUAUGGGGCAUUGACUUCAUGGGACCUUUCCCAAUGUCUUUUGGUAAUUCUUACAUUUUGGUGGGAGUAGAUUAUGUUUCUAAGUGGGUUGAGGCAAUCCCCUGUAAACAAAAUGAUCACAGGGUGGUUCUCAAGUUUCUUAAAGAGAACAUAUUCUCAAGAUUUGGGGUGCCCAAAGCCAUAAUCAGUGAUGGAGGUGCUCAUUUUUGCAACAAACCCUUUGAAACUUUGUUAUCCAAGUAUGGAGUGAAGCAUAAGGUGGCUACACCUUAUCAUCCUCAGACUUCCGGGCAAGUUGAGCUAGCUAACAGGGAAAUAAAGAACAUAUUGAUGAAAGUGGUGAAUUCCAACAGAAAAGAUUGGUCUAUUAGGCUUCAUGAUUCAUUGUGGGCAUAUAGAACAGCUUAUAAGACUAUUCUUGGGAUGUCUCCCUAUCGUCUAGUCUAUGGUAAAGCAUGCCAUCUCCCUGUGGAAGUUGAAUACAAAGCUUGGUGGGCAAUAAAGAAGCUGAAUAUGGACUUGAUCAAGGCAGGAGAAAAGAGAUAUCUAGACCUUAAUGAGAUGGAGGAAUUAAGAAAUAAUGCUUAUAUCAAUUCCAAAGUUGCAAAACAAAGGAUGAAGAAGUGGCAUGAUCAACUCAUCUCCAACAAGGAAUUUCAGGAAGGGCAAAGAGCUUUACUAUAUGACACAAGACUCCAUAUCUUUCCUGGGAAGCUCAAGUCAAGGUGGAUAGGCCCGUUCAUAAUUCACCGAGUAUAUUCCAAUGGAGUGGUGGAAUUAUUGAAUUCAAAUGGCAAGGACACCUUCAAAGUCAAUGGAUAUCGUCUCAAGCCAUUCAUGGAGCCAUUCAAACCAGAAAAGGAGGAGAUUAACCUCCUUGAGCCUCAAAAAGCCUAAGCAAAUAAGGGUUUGCUGGACGUGGUUUACCACAGUCCAAAAUUUUUGUAAAUUUUGUAAAUUUUCAAGUUUUUUCCAUACAUUUGAUCUUAGUUUUUUAUCUUAAAUCAUGUUUUUAGAUGUGUUUUAAUCUUUUUGAAUGCUCUCAGGUGGAAGAAAUUUCAAGGAAAUUGAAAGAAAAAAAAAUCGGGGAGAAAUCGGAGCAAAAACAGAGGAAAAACAAAGCUCUGCGAAAUUUCGCAGGCUGAAGAAAGCCUCUGCCAAAUCAGCACUAUGCUGCAAAACCAUUUCGCAACACUUUGGAGUUCUCUGCGAGAAUUUUCGCAGCUGCGAAGGCGAUUUUGGCACACGAGUGCCACUUCGCAGCACAGGAGCCCUCGUUUGGCAGUUGCGAAACGCAUUGCGAAGUGGUAAAGCCCAAAUUUCGCAACAAAAAUCCCAUUCCGCAGGGUAUUUCGCAAUUGCGAAAACGAUUUUGGCACACGUGUGCCACUUCGCAGCACAGUAACAUUAAUUUCGCAGCUGCGAAACGCAUUGAGAAGUGGCUGCGAAAUUGGCAUUUUGCUGCGAAAUUGGCGUUUUGUUGCGAAACUCAAACUGACCCUUAGGCUUCCGUUUUUCCUAUUUAUACCGGUCAUUUGAGCUGCGAAAAGGGUUUCAAAAAUCAGAGCGCCAUUCUCGCAAGCUGUUCGUCUUCUUCAGUGGGCCACGCCGUCCAACCCUCCGGUCAUCUUCUCCGAUCAGCAACGUCGGCCAAAUUUCGGUAUCCCGAAAUGGCGCGAACACGAGGGGCUAAAUCUUCAUCUCCUGCGAAUCGCAAGAAGAGUCUGCGAAAGGAGCCAGUUCCAGAUUCUGCUCCAGAGCCUUCGCCGUCAAAAGCAAUUCCUCAUCUGGUGAAGCCAGCGCCGCCAAAGCCUUCGGCGAAACGUUACCUUACCAGGUCAGGGGGUCGGCCACUGCAAAAGAGACUCAGGGUGGAGAGCUUAGAACCCAUCGAUUUGACUGAGCAAUCUCCAGAGCCUUCACCAAUUCCAUCACCGAUUCCAACUCCAGUUACGUCGCCGAUUUCCAUGCCAGUUCCGUCGCCGGUGCCAUCUCCAACGCCGUAAGAAAAAUCUCAGGAGCCUCAAGCGCCACUUCCCGAGCCCCCAAUUCCAUCAGAAACAGCUCUGGAAGAAGUAAUCAGGCGGCCAAUGCUACCUCAGCCCCCAAUUGAGGGAAACUUGGACUGUAGAGCUCAGCCAUUUCAUUCCGAGCUAUGCUUCGACAUAUCCGCAUUCAGAGUGAGGCCGGAGCUUGCACAGUCAUUCAACUUGCUGAGAAGGUACCAUAUGGAGCAUCUGCUAGCUCCGAGAGACUUUUUCUAUCCCCGGGUAGCCAUGGAUUCAUAUCAAUCCAUGACAACCAACCAGGUCAGGGAUCCAACUUUGAUUCAUUUCACUAUCGAUGGGAGACAUGGCAUAUUGGGAGCACGCCAUAUUGCUGAAGCCCUGCAAAUUCCCUAUAAGCCAACCUAAUUCGAUAAUUUUAGAGCUUGGGCAAAUCCUACUGAGCUGGAGAUGGUGCGCACCAUUUCCAGAGGAGCUGCAAAUCGAUCACAUCUGCUGAGGGGGGAGCUUCCUCCAGUUAUGUUUUUGAUUGAUGCAUUUUUGCGUCAUAAUAUCUACCCAUUGCAGCAUUGGACCCAAAGAAGGGGAGUCCUCUUAGAAGCUCUUUACAAGAUGUCAGAAGGAUUUUUCUUUAGGCCUCAUCAUCUGAUCCUGGCAGCCCUUCUCUAUUUCGAAGAGAAGGUUCAUAAAAAGAAGCUUCAGAGAGCUGAUUGCAUUCCUCUCCUCUUUCCAAGGCUGCUAUGCCAAAUUUUGGAGCACUUGGGAUAUCCUUCUGAGCCUCAGCUGGAGAGAAAGCGAAUUUUCCGUGAGCCAUUCACUCUUGAUAAAUGGAACAACAUGACGGCCUACAAAGUUGAUCAGCCUGAGCAGCCUCAGCCAGCUGCAAGGAGAGCAUCCCCACGACAUAUACCUGAGGGUAUAACAGUUGCUGCUCCUACCAUUUCCAGAGCUCCACCAGCUGCACCAGCUUCAUCUCAGCCAUCCACUUCAGCUGAACCAAGGAUGGCCAUUCCUAUAUCUGAAUAUAGAGAGUUGUGUCGUGCAUUGGAGACUCUCACAGCUUCUCAGAGCAGUCUUGCUCAAGAGAUGGCAGCCAUUAGAGCAUGCCAAGAGCAGAUGUUGGCCACUCAGGCUCAACAAGCUGCCAUCUUAAGGCAGCUUCAGCUUCAUUUCGAUCUGCCACCAGCUGUAGAGCCCUCCACUUCUACUCCAGCAAAGCCACACUCUCAUUCCUCAGAGUCUCAUCCUCCAGAGCCCCAAGCCCCAGCUGAUGCACCCACUGAAGAGGCAGACCCAUCUGCCUAGCCCCAGCACCACCCAACUCAUCAGACUAUUAUCUAUCUAAUAUUUUUAUGUAUUUUGUUUUUUUUAGUUGAAAAGAAGUCCCAGUAUUUUGGUACUAUAUUUGGGAUUCCUUGUGUUACUUGUCUUUUGCAUUGUAAUCAAAUGAAUUUAAAGUAAUACAAGUUUAAUAUUUCUUAUUAACAAUUAGCAUUAAGUUAUCCUUAUUUCCUUUUCUCACAUAUUCUAUUCUUUUUGAAACAUGUGGUUUCCCCAAUCAAUAAUCGAAUUUGAUAUCAGCCAGGAGGUACCACUUCCUCCCUUUAAAUACAGUCACUCAUAUCACAUUGAGGACAAUGCUUAGUUCGGUUAGGGGGAAUGAGGAAGGAAGUAUGCUAAAUCUUUUUGGUAAUGCAAUUAUAUUGGUUAAUUAGUUGUAGUUUUUACUUUUUACUCUUGUUACUCUAUUCUCCAGGAAUUUUGAGGAAAAAUUUUCAAAUUAAACCAAGAGAAAUUGAUGUGUUGUUUUUCACUUGACUUAGAGUAUGGAUUAUGCUUACUAAAGUGGCUCAAUUGUUGAAACUUCUCCUGAAAUUGAAUUUAAUUCUUCCACUUUAAGCUAUUCACACACUGUGCACAUUAGAUUCCGAUUAUAAGAUGAAAAACUAUUUCCCUCUUGACUUAGGAUAAUUUUGGGACUUGGUAUAUUUGACCUCAUUUGAUAAAAAUUGAAACACCCUGCAAAAGGCCAAUGAGCCUUUGAAAUAAAGAAAGUUGUUUGCUUGCCUUGAAACCCGAGCAAGGUCUGAGGGGUAUAUGGUGAAAAUCUUUAAAGCCUGGUGCCCUAAGCCUUAAUUGGUUGGGAGUCACCGACCUCGAUGCUCGUUAUAAGGGUGAAUAGGUAGAGUUAGCAUAUGGUAGAUGCUUGGGUAUUAGAAAUUCAUUCUUAAAAGUCCAGGGAAAAAUCCGAGGAGUUAGUGGUUGAAAGAUCCUUAAAGCUUGGUGCCCUAAACCUUAAUUGGUUGGGAGUCAUCGAUGGACCCCCAUUACAUGGACAAUUCAGGAAGAGUACCCCAUAAAGCUACCUUAAAAAAAAAAAAAAAAAAAAAAAAUGAAGGUGUGUUCUUUUCUUAUUGAUUUUGGUCAGAUUGCUAAAGUAUUGAAAAGAGAUAGGUUGGGGGGAGAGAUUAGUUUAGCAUAUUAUUCUCGGAAGCUAAGGAACCAAUACACAUAGAUUUUUGUGGAAGAUUAAAGUUUGGUUCUUAGAAAGUGGAAAUGAUUUUAAAACUUCAGUUUGCAUAAUACAUUCCCUUGAUUGACAGUGUUUAGCAUAGUUUGUUAAGACUCUUGUUGAAAUUUGGGUUUAUAUUUCUUUAAUUUUUCAUGAGAGAAUUAAAUCAUCAUGCCACUUGAGAAUUAUUUUCUUUCAGCAUGAUGUUGUAAAUUUUAGAUUAGUUUACUAUUUAUUUUUAUUUUUCUCUCCUAUAUUGCUAAGGGACUAGCAAUAUGUCGAUUGGGGGGAGUGAUUACUACUCAAAAAGUGCUAUUUGAUAGCUUAUAAUUAAUCCUUUUAAACACUUUUGAGUAGUAGUUUUGGCCUUUUAACUCAAUUGGCAUGUUAAGGAUCCUUUAAAGCAAUUUUAAUCACUUUGUGUAAGUUUUGGUGUUUUUGUUAGUAAUUUGAUCACCAAAGCAAGUCAAGACUGAGGAGAGUUAUGAGGAAUAUUGGGCAAAGCUUGGAAGUCAUUUGCCAAGAGUAAAUCCGGAUUGCAAGGAGAAAAAGCAAAGAGAAUCUGCCAUAAAGCAUAUUCUUGAUGACAGUCGUAGGAGCCACUUUUGGAGUACUUUCUGAAGUCCAAAUGAUGUAUUCUAUAUACCAUUUCAAAGCUCAGGAAGUCAACAAUCCAAUGCUUUAAACGGUGUGCAAUUCGGAGUUGAAACGAAGAAGUUGCAGCCAUUGCAAGCCAAUCACUCUAAGCUGAAGGAAGCAUUUUGCAAAGUGCUGCGAAAUCACCCUUUUGUUGCGAAGUGAUUCCGCAACCUUUUUGUACAGUAGGGUGUAUUUCCUUCUGAAGUUGCCCGACAUAUACCGCUAGAGGGAAGCUGGGAACCUCAAGGUGGAAUCCAACUUCGCAGCCUUGUGAAGAUAGCAUGUUGUUGCGAAAUGAUUUCGCAGCCCUCUUGAGUGUCUGCGAAAUCUCACAGACACCAUUUUCUCUUGCGAAAUGGUUCCUGAAGCCUCCCGAUAUUUGCUACCGACAUUGGGAGAUAUUUUACAUCAGAUUUUUGUUGUCUAAAUCCCAAAAUACUCCUUGUAAGCCACCAAUUACAAGAUUCCUUAGCUUUUAAGUUAGUAAAAAGACUAAAUAUCUAUGUAAUAAUUAGUUUUAUAUUAUGUACAUAUAUAUACCUCUCGGGAGCCUGUUCUCAGAGAGGAGUUCCUUCUGUAAAAAGUUUGGGUAAGCAAGUAAAGUUUAUUUCUUUCUACUGCCUUACCUUCUCACUUUGUAUUUUUAGUUAAUACUAAGUUAUGAACUCUCUGAGGAGUUUUCCCCAGAGAAUGAGUAACUAAACCUCUAAUUCCUUGGAGCUAAGGUUGCCGGGGGAGGUUCCAAGUGCAAGAAUGCAAAGCUUUGUGGUUUUAGCUAUUAAUGAAGAGGAAGUGAAAUCCUUUAGUGAUUUCUAUGUUUUUAGUUAACUUAAAACACCUUGGAAUCACCUGGGCCAACACUUGGUAAGGCAAGUGAUUUCCAACCAUGGAAAUGCACUAGUUUACCCCUUGCGAGCCUCUGGUAGGUGAUUUCAGGGUAGGAUUUUCUAGAAUAGCCAACACUUGAUAAGCUUUUGGACUCCAAGGAGACAUCCAUUAGUUAUCUCUUGCGAGCUUUUGACGGGUAAUCUAAGGUUAAAGAUCACCUUGAAUGGUUACGGCUUAGUGAGAGGCUUAAACCAUUGCAAGUUGCAUCAGUGAGAGAAUUAAAGUGAAAUCUAAUUGAAGGAUGAAUCUGUACAACACCGGCUAGAGAAUUGACUAUAUGUUGAAUCUCUAACGCGAGGAAAGGAACCAUCUGAUCGGAGCUAUGUCUUUUGCAUGAGGAACCAUCCUAGUGAACCUAACUCUCCAAGGAAUGUUUUUCUUCCUAAGUUAUUCCAAACAUUUGUUAUGUUAGUUAGUUUAAGUCUAAACCUUUACCAAUCAAAGUUUGUGUUUUACUUCUUAAGCUAACCUUGAAAUGAAACAAGACCAAUUCACUUGGAAUUGGUAUCAUUGAGAGCUUGUUAAUUUUUCCCAGUGGACGAUCCUAGAGCCACUAUACUAUAGUAGCUUUUUCUUUGCUACCCUAGUAUAUGGUGUUAUAGGUUAUAAAUUUUGUUGAUUACUACCUCAAUCAAGGAGAACCAGCUGGACACGAAUCAGCUGAGACACCAAUUGGGCACGAAUCAGAUGAUUGGCUAAAACUUUUAGUUUCUCAAAGUAUGGAUGUUAUGUGAUGGCUUGGAUGCAAUCCCAUGGAAAUUUCUCGCACCUGGAAGGUAAGGUAGUCGUUUUUCAUUAAAGGUUCAUUAAUGCAAAGUUUGGUUUUUUAUUUCCUUUAGACAACUUCCAACGGCCAAUACUUGAUAAGCUUUUGGAUUUCUAUACAUUAGUUAUCUCCUACGAGCUAUUCGAAGGUGAGGUUUUCAAUUCCAAGUUUUGCAUUAAUCCGUUAGAACCAAUUUCAAUGACCAUUGAAAGGUGAGUUUAUCACCUGGAAUGACUUUGAGUUGCCAAUAUUUGGUAAGCUUUUGGCUUUAGACCAUUAGUUAUCUCUUACGAGCCAUUCAAAGGAAGUCUAAGGUGAAUAACCAUUGAUGAAAUUCACUACCAUCUGUUUUGCCAUUUUAAAGUAUUAAAACUUGAUUUGCUAAAUCCAUACCGGUUCGGGAAGCAAGCAUCACCAUAGUUGCAACCCCAACGCGAGGAGCCUAUCCUGAGAUUUCCAAUUUGCAUAAGAUCCAGAGCAUAGCUAUCCUAUCUUUGAAAAACUUGUUUUUACACCCUUUCAUUUUAGUCUUUAAUGUUAGCUUAAAUUAGUUUAAAUCUUUCUAAAACAUUUACAUCUUCUUUUAAAGCUAACAACCAUAAGAAAAUCACCUAUUUUCCUAAUUUGAAUAUCACUAGUGUUUGCGAAAACCCUUCCCAGUGAACGAUCCUAGAACCACUAUGCUAUAGUAGCUUAGCUACUUUAGUAAUAGUAUUUAAGGUAUAAAUUUUGUUGAUACGCCUUUAAAGCUAAGCUACCAUGAGUCGAAUCAUUGACAUCCCGACAUUCCAGUCUCCUGUAAAAGAUCUAAGGCAUACUUUCUUUGAGACAGAAAAAUUCCUUCACUUGAUCUUUCAUUUCUAAUUCACUAGAUAGAUAAUUUUGCAGAGCUUUUCUUUCUUCAGGAUCAUUUCCUGUAACUACCAUGUCAUCCACAUAUACGAUGAGUGCCGUAAUCUUACCAUGUUGCUUUUUCAGGAACAAAGUGUGAUCUGAAUUACUUUGAUGAUAGCCAAAAGCUCUCAUUGACUUUGUGAACCUUCCAAACCAUGCUCUCGGGGAUUGCUUCAACCCAUACAAUGACUUCUUCAAUUUGCACACCUUCUGACAUUGUUUUUCUGACACCAUGCAUCCUGGUGGAAGAUCCAUGUAUACUUCUUCAGAUAACUCGCCAUGCAGAAAGACAUUUUUCACAUCGAACUGUUGUAAUGGCCAAUCUAGGUUUGCAGCUAAAGAUAGUAAUACUCGAACUGUGUUGAUCUUAGCUACAGGUGCAAAUGUCUCUGUGUAGUCAAUUCCAUAAGUUUGAGUGUACCCUUUUGCUACCAGUCUUGCUUUAAAUCGUUCAAUACUACCAUCUGCCUUGUACUUCACAGUAUAGAUCCAACAACACCCAACUGGCUUCUUUCCUGGUGGACAUUCUACGAGUUCCCAUGUUUCAUUCUUCUGUAAUGAUUUCAUUUCUUCAUUCAUGGCUGCUUUCCACCUUGGAUCAGUUAAGGCUUCCUGCACACUGUUAGGAAUAGCUACAGUAGAUAAUUGAUUUAUAAAUGACUUAUUUGAUUCAGACAAACGAUGGUUAGACACAUAGUUGCUCAUGGGAUAUUUGACUUUGGUAGACAAUUCAGGUUCAUAUGUGGGUUUAGGAAUACCUCUAUUAUGACGGUGUGGUAACCGUUUCAUGAAUGGAUCAGGUUCCAAAUUAAUAACACCCUCAGCAGACGACGAUUGGUUUGGUAUUUCAGUGAAGACAUCUUCGAACCCAAAUUGUUGACCACUCAUAUUCAACUCACCCGCUUCCUGGUUCACUAGCUCAGAUUUUCCAAAUUCAUCCUCCUCAUAGAUAUGAUAAUCAUAAUUGAGAGUCUGAAUUUCCUUAUGGUACUCCCCCUGAAGUUCAGACUCAGCNNNNNNNNNNNNNNNNNNNNNNNNNNNNNNNNNNNNNNNNNNNNNNNNNNNNNNNNNNNNNNNNNNNNNNNNNNNNNNNNNNNNNNNNNNNNNNNNNNNNUCUGAAUUUCCUUAUGGUACUCCCCCUGAAGUUCAGACUCAGAUGAAAAAUACAUCGAAUCUUCAUGAAACACCACAUCCAUUGUAAUAAACAUUCGUCGAGUUGGAGGAUGGUAACAUCGAUAUCCCUUUUUGUGCAAUGCAUAUCCAACAAACACACAUUGCAAUGCAUGGGAAGUUAACUUGGUGCGUUGGUGUUUGUGUAGAUGCACAAAUGCCAUGCAACCAAAAACACGAUGAGGUAGAUUUGGGACGGUUGGGGCAACUAUGGCAUUAGUAAGAGCUUGGAGAGGUGUUUGGAAGUUAAUUGGGCUAGAAGGUACCCGAUUGAUCAAGUAUGUGGCAAAUGUGAUUGCUUCUCCCCAAUAAGAUAUCGGUAUUUUUGCUGCUAUCAAGGAAGCACGAACAACCUCUAACAAGUGACGAUUUUUCCGUUCAGCCACUCCAUUUUGUUGGGGUGUAUUGGAACAAGUAGUCUAAUGAAUGAUGCCAUGUUCUUCCAAAUACUUUUGAAGAUCAGAACUCUGAAAUUCUCCACCAUUAUCACUACGCAAAACCCAAACCUUUGCAUUGUACUGAGUUUCAAUCAUUUUAUGAAAUUUUUGAAACAACAAGUUCACUUCAUCUUUGGUCUUCAUCAAGCAUAACCAUGUCAUUCUGGUACAAUCAUCAAUAAAAGUAACAAACCAACGUGAGCCACUCAAAGUUGGGACUUUGGAUGGGCCCCAAACAUCAGAAUGUAUAACCAUAAAAGGAAGCGAACUUUUAUUCAAAAUUAACGGAAAUGAAGCACGAUGACUUUUAGCCAAUUCACAAAUAUCAUAACGGAAACCAGAAAUAUCACUAUUUGCGAACAAACUAGGAAACAAUUUUUUUAAAUAACCAAAGGAAGCAUGUCCCAAACGUCGAUGCCACAACCAAAUUUCAGACUUUUUCUUCUCCUCCUCAGAUCCAUCUGCCAUCAAGGUUUGUUGCAACUUAUUUGAAUCCUUUAACUGCAAGUCCAAGUAAUAGAGUUUUCCCCUCUUAAUACCACAACCAAUCGUCUGUCUUGUUUGGAUGUCCUUAAUCAUACAAAAUUCAGGCCAAAAAAUGACAAUACAAGAUAAGGCUACAGUAAUUUGAGAAACUGACAAAAGAUUGUAAUCUAAAGAUGGAACAACUAAAACAGAAUCCAAAUUCAAAGUAUCAGUAAGAGUUAAGGAUCCUUCCCCAAUGACUGGGGUUGUGUUACCAUUGGCUGUGGAAACAAUUUUUUGUGAGGAAGGUCUAAGGGGUGAAACCUGUCUAGAAUCAAAAGUCAUAUGAUCUGUAGCACCAGAAUCAAUUAUCCAUGCACUAUUAAUAACAGAUGUAAAAGUAUUUAAAAACUUACCACCAUGAUCUAUAGCGGCUACCAAUGCAAGGGCUUUCUCAACAACAUUAGCCUUUGUUUUUAUUUCGGCAACAGUUGCAGUCGAGGUUUUCUUGGAAUCCUUCUUUCGUUGAUCAUGAUUAUUAUCAUUAAUAACAAAGUGGUGAUAGCCUAAACAUGAUCUAAAGGUCCAUGGUUCAAACCCUCGGUUCCUCAUUGUUUUCCUAGUCAUACCAAGAGUCGUUGCUUUGAAAUUGUGGGAUAUCCAGACUAGUGGGAUCAGUCUUAUUGCAAUGAGUGCAUUUGAAGGUUGACUUAUCAAUAUUAGGGCUUGUCUUAGGAUGGUUGAUCGCUGUCGGACUACCAUAGCGACAAAAUAUCUAGGAUUUCAAUUUCAUGGCUCUGAUACCAUCUUCAAAUUGAUAAAUAAUAGUUUUUUCAUUAAUUUUAAUUCAUUCGCUCAUGUACAGAGUAUAUAUAGAGGGUAAUCACCAUUCUAAGAAUGGUAAAAAAUGAUACAAGGAAAGAAUGAUAUAAGGAAAUAACAACUAAUAUCCUAAUAUCUCAAUAUUCCUAAUAUCUCAACUUUCCUAAUAUCUAAACAUUCCUAAUAUCUCAACACUAAAUGAUAUAAGGAAAGAAUGAUAUAAGGAAAACAUUCCUAAUAUCUCAACAGAGCAAUGGGAAGAAGAAAGCAGCAAUGCAGAGAGAGACGAGGACCUCGAACCAGGUCUCCAUUGUUGGCCUUAGAUCUUCUUUGGUUGCUGACAAGAUAUAUAAUGGUAAGCUACCAUAUGGGAGACUUUGUUCCACAUUGAAUAAAAGACUGCUAAAAUUAUUAAAAUUCUUCAAAUAAUAUUAAACCCUUUUUUCUAUAUUGAAACUAGAGAGUAUAUGCUUUAAAAUUAGAAAAGUGAGAUGACCUAGUCUAUAAACUGCCAAAUAGAUAGGUUAAUGAAAUUUUAAAAAAAUCUUAAGUGACAAUGUAUAGAAAAUCAAGAAGACAACCUCCUAUACUUGUCAAAUUUUAUUAAAUUUUUUUGAAGGUUAUUAAUUUUUAGGUUAUUUUUUGUUGAUAAAAAAUUUAAAGGGAAAAAUAAAGAGUAAAAAAGAAAAGAAAAGAAAAAAAAAGAAUAAUUAAUAAAUUAUUUUUAUAUAUUAUUUCACAUCUACCUAAUUAAAAUUCAACUUUUUAUAUAAAAAUUAAAUAAUUUUAAAAUAUAUGAGUUUUAAAUAAAUUUUAAUUACAUUUAAUUUUAUAUUAUAUUUUUAUAGUAAAAUUAAAUAUGGAAAUAAUAUUUUUUAUUAAUUUUUUAAAACCGUAUUAGUUUAUGAAUAUUGAGAGAGGAAGAGGGCCUUAUCCGAUAGGCAUUGUUGGAGAGAAUGUGACAUGGUCCUAUCAUCAAAAGAAAAAGGACGAAAAGUGACAAGGUUAUGUCAUAUCAAAGAAAAAAAAUCAUACAAUAAAUUUGGAGUUAUAAACUGGGAUAAAAAAGGUUACUUCGAAGAAACUUGGGAAACUUGUGUUUCCAGCCUAUGAUUAGGAAAAUAUAUGGUUUUGUAAUCCUAUAUAAGUGAAAUAUGAGAUUUCUCUAUUAAUGGGGAAAAUAUUAUAUUUCUCGUGCACUAUAUACUGUUUAGGUAUGCAUUUCCAAAAUUGCUCUUUAAUGUUUCCCUGUUAGCAACCACCGGUGUCCAUGUCAUCAGGAAGGUGUGCAAUUUAAUAAGCACCAAAAUUUGAAACUUGAAGUUAUCAAAUCUUAAACUCACAAAACACUCAACCCGAGAAAUAUUUGAAAUUUGUGAAACUCUCUCUAUCACUUCCUCUCGUUUUGCCCUAACUCGAUCUCAAAAAAUUCUCAUUUUCAUAGCUCGUUUGAUACACGAAGGUAGGCAAUCGAUUUGUUUAUUUAUGUCCUGACCAGGCGAUGGAUACCCAUCUUCCCAAAGUUGUCUUCAUCUCAUUUUAGCCUAACCCUAGUGUCUCUCUCUUCACGAGUUGACCACCCAAACCCAAUAGACAUCUUCUGAAAACCUUCAACGAAGCCAAAGUCAAGGCAUAUCUUCAUAUUUCUUCAUCAAAGGUGGAAUUUUUUUAAGGUUUUUGGAAACCAAACUGGAGCUUCCUCUUGUUGUGGAUUAAUCAAUUACAGGUGAGUUUUCCAUUUAAAGAUUCAUUUGGUUGUUGAGAAAAUAUUAGGCCGAAGGUCUUAUAUUUUGGGGUUUGUUUUAUUUCGAUUCAUUUUUGCAUGAAUGAAAUAGAGGGAAAAUUUGUUUUGGUUAAAGAAAUUUUCAGAUGGAAUGAAUUUUGAAAAUGAGAAUGGUUGUUUUUCGUUGUUAACGACCCUGUGAUUUAGAAUAUUUGGGAUUUUUUUUUGUUAUAUAUUAAAUUUUUAUGUUUACAGGAACGACUGCUUGUGGGGAAUUGUUUAGGGAAAAUUUUUUGAGAACCACACACAUCAUUAAUUUGUUUUAUGUUCCUUUUUAGUUUUGAAAAUGGAAGAUAUUUUUCUGAAUGUGAAUGGGAGCCUUAGCUUAAUAGCUUGUGUGUAAUAAAGGAACGAGACUAUGUUGAAAUAGUGAAAAAGAUGUUUCUGGGUUAUGUACUUUCAAGAAUCAUAUACAAUUAACAAUGUAACUUUUUAGUUUGAUCCAAAAAUAGCUUGUUGUAGGACUUUAUUGUUCUUACAAGACAUUUUUUUUGGUAACCUGUAAUCUAUUUAUCAUUAGCUCAUGGAUGUUACAUACUGCAAAGGAUUUAAACCAAGGGAGUUGUGGAUGAGUGGCAAAGUUUGAACUCUUUGAAAUUUUAUUUUUUUAUCCCAUUGAGAGAAAACUAUCUUGGCGUUGACAUUUUAAAUGCAAGUAAGUGACAUAGGCCUUAUGGGUGAAAAUAGGUGGAUUAAGUUUAUCAAUACUACAAUCAAAUUCUCUAUAGUGAAAAAAUAAAAUUCUCCUUUUGGUUUUUCACCAAUCUUACUAGUUUUGAGACAAGGCAAUCCAUUUUCCUCAUAUUUGUUUAUGUACUCAUAGAAGCCUUGAGUUAUAUGAUUCAAAGAGCCAUCAAUAAUGGUUUCCUUCAAGGCUUUAUGACUAGCGAAAUAAUGUUGAAGGGUUAUAAUUUUUUCAUUUAUUCUUUGUUAAGGGUUGUAUUCUUUCCUUUGAUAGGAAAUGGUAAUGAUUAAUUGUUAGUUGUGGGGUGAACCUUCUUUUCUUUUUGGUGGUUCUUUGAAUGAAUAGAAAAUUUUAUUUCCGAAGUAGAAUAUCAGAACAUGGAAUUACUACUUUAAUUGUUGGUUAAAGGGUAGGGCGUUUGACAUUUAUGUACUUAGGCUUACCUUUAGAUGUUCCUUUUAGAUUGAUGUUAAUUAGGGAUUUAGUAGAAGAAAGGAUCAUAAGAAAGUAACUUCUUAAAGAAGACAAUAUUUAUCUAAGGAUAGAGACCAACUUUGAUUAAAAGUUACCCUUACUAACUUCUCAAUUUAUUUCAUAUAUAUAUUUUUUUAUCUUGAAGUAGACAAUUCUUUGGAGAAUAAAGUUUAUUUUACAAAGUGUCUACCAUUUGUUUAGGGAAACGAGUAGGAGUUUUGAAAGUUAGAAAUCUUUUAAUACUAAACAAGUUGUUCCUUAGAAAGUAGCUUCUGUGAUUGCAUGGUUGUAAUUUCUAAAUUAAUUCUCAUCCUGAAAUUGGCAUUGUGUACAAAAAUUGUAUCUGAUGAUGUGGUGACAUUUAGGUUAAUUCAAACAUAGGAUAGUUGACUUGAUGUUGAUCACUUGUUAAAGAGGUUUAAUGGUUACAUGUUUUGUAGAUUUUUCUUAUCUUGAUCAAAUUAGCAUAGCGACGAUUACCGACUAGCCAAAUGCUUAUAAAAUAUUACUUUGUACUUGUCUGAGCUGACUUGAUUAAUUAAUGAAAACCCUUCAAAAAUCAGGAUUUAUCGUUGUGUACGCAUUUAUUAAUAUUUGGAGGUUCGCUAGGUUCUUUAUGAUACAAGUGGCUUAUUGGAAAAGAACAUAGAUCCUCUUCACUCUGAUUUGAUCCAGCUCCUCUUAUCAUGUAGUUACAAGCUUCAUCAGUUGUUUGCCUCCAAUUUGCUCGACCACUCCUAGAAGCAAGCUAGUCAUUUAUCCUUAGGUGCAUUUGAUUCGCAGAAGCGAAGUGUUGGGACAAAGUUUAAGGUAAAGAUGUUUGUUUCCUGGAAUUGCAUAUACUGUGCAUUUAGCUAGAAACUAUUUUUCAAUUACAAGCCACCAAAUAUGAAAUGUGGAACAAUACUACAGUAUGUGAAGUAAUAAUGUGUAAAACCUACUCUCUUUUGACAAUUUAAUUGAUUUAAAAUUGUAAAUAGUAUUUGCAUAAGUACCUAUUAAUGUGGUUAUUUGGAUUAUUGCCUGCAUAUAUGGUAGUUUGGAGAUCAUAAAGAGUUUUUUUUGUUGUUUGAUGAAGGUCCUUUAUGCGUCUAUGAUGAGAUGAAUAUCAUUUGUUCACCCCAUAGUAUUUUAUGUAAUGCUAGGUUUUUAACUAGUUUGUGUAUAAAUGUUAUUUAAUUUAUAACAAAUUACAUGUUUAGCAAACUUGUCAUAGAAAACAUGUUUACCGGUCAUGAAAAUUUAAAUAUUCAAACUGUUUUCUUGUUCCUAUAUAUUUUCUAAUAAAACAAACAUAGAUAUGAAUAUGUAAAAAUAAAUUUUAGGUCUAGAGAAAAGGUUAAGCAUGCAGUUAGAAUGAGAUAUAUUUGGUUUUACUUAAAUGUGGUAUUGUCAGGAGAUGUCUUAAUUAGUUGUCAUUGUGAAUUAGAAGCUUAAUAGUUGAUGUCAAAAAAUUUGAGGUUGGUAUAUGUGAUCAUCUCAGUCUUGAAGAACUUUUCCCCUAUCUAGUUAUGGCAUGAAUCCAAGGACUUCAAAAGCCAGUCCAACACUCCUCUACUCAUUUUGAUCCAUCUCUGAUAACCUUUGCCUUUUUCCAUUAUAUAUACACUCCUCUACCCCUUGACUCGUCUAGCUUUAAGCUCAAAACACUUGGACUCAGUAAGGACCAACCUUGAGUUUUUUACACCCCUUGGAUCCAUUUCCUUUCUCUCUAUAUUCCUCAUUACUUCUAAAUGUGCAACACUAGCUAGCUACCUAUGUCUAGUAUUUAUUGAUACAAACACAAACAUUUAUUUAUUUAUUUAUUUUUGAGGAAUUUGAUACAAACACAAACACAUGCAACCACAAACAUAUUUAGGUGUACCUUAGGUUAAGGAUGGUAGUAGAUGUGUUGAUAUGGGUGGAAAAAGGAAAGAAAUAAAUAGGUUUGAAAUGUAAAAUAGCCCUACUGUGAGCUCUUCAAGAGUAGAGUGCACAUCAUAAAACACCUUUUUCUUUUGGAGAAAAAUGACACAAUUCUUAUACAUGUCCACAUUGGCAAAAACAUUUAAACAAAUUGAUUGCCUCACUAAAAGAGAAAAGAUUGUACUUGCCAUAAUGUUUCUUGGAACUAAAUUUCCAAUGAAGUUGGUUGCACAAAUUCCCUUAUGAUUCAUCCCCAAUUGGUGGUCUACUUGAUUCAGUCCUCAGACAGGAGUUAUCAACAAAAUUUAUAAACCUAAUUCACCAUAUACUAGGGUAGCGUAGCUAGCAUAGUAUAGUGGUUCUAGGAUCGUCCACAGGGAUGGGUUUUCAUAUCACACGUGACAUAUUUAAAGUACUGAAAUGAUGCUUUUUCUUUUACAAGUUAGCUUUAAAAGAAAACAUAAUUUUGAUUGAAAAGGUUUGGUUUUAAGCUAACCAAAAAUAGUAACUGAUAUUAAUUAUAAAGAAAAGGUUUCUUGGAGUUUUAGGUCAUUAGGUUCAGGUUCCUUAGACAAAAGGGGAAGAUUCUGGAUCUUUUCCUCGCGUUGGGGAUAAUAACAUAAAAAAUGGUUAUCUCCCGAACCGAUGUGUAUUUAGCAAUCAAGUUUUGAUCCCACUGGUCCAUGAAAGAAUGCAGUUGCUUCCCAUUAAUGGUUUCAAACACUAAAGACCUCUCACUAUGAAUCAUCUUUCAAUGGCUCGUACCUCACACCUAGUAUUGGCCAUUCAAGGUGAUCUUAACCUUGGAUUACCCUUCAAAAGCUCGCAAGAGAUAACUAAUGGAUCUCCAGGAAGUCCGAAAAGCUUACUAAGUGUUGGCUAUUCUAGGUAAUCCUACCUUUAAACCAUCUCCUAGAGGCUCGCAAGAGAUAACUAAUGGAUCUCCAAGGAGUCCGAAAAGCUUACCAAGUGUUGGCCCAAGUGAUUUUAAGGGAUUUUAAGUUAAACCUUAAAAAAAAUAUAAACCAUUAACGAGUCACAACUUUCCCCAUUUAAAGGAAGGAAAACUCCCACCUUUGUAUCCGAAUCCCUUACCCAGCUUCAUUCAGUUCAAGAAACAAAAAACCUAGCCACUCAUCCUCAAAGGUUGCUUGACUAGAAAGAAAAUUAAAAACAAAGUGAGAAGGUAAGGCAGAGCAAAGCUCUAUGUAUUUCUUACUACAAUAAUUUACAAGUGAUCCCCUGGAAUUUCUUCUGAUAUUCCGAGAUAUUACAAAAGAGAUAUUUUAAGACAUAUAUAAAGAGAUAUUUUUAACCCCUCAUUUAGAUAUCCUAAAUAUCUAAAAAUAUCUUUAGCUGAUUACAAGGAGAGAAUAGGUAAUUACAUAAAAUAUCUCGAGAUAAAAAUCUAAUGGAGUCGACGCAAAAAUAUUUGAAGAUUACACAGGAAGAUUUCGUAAUGCUUGCGAAAUUUCGCACAGGGUGCGAAAUUGAUUUUCCUCAGCUUUGGUUUUGCAAGGCUUGCAAAAUUUCGCAAGAGGUUGCGAAAUUCAUUUUCCAAAGUCUUCCUCUCUGUCCUGCAACUUGUACUCCUUUUGGCAUUUCGCAAGGCUUGCGAAAAUUUCACAUAACCAUGCAAAAUUGUUGGAUGUUAGAUUUCUUCUCUGAUUCUCUUCCUUGCAUACUUGAUUAAUUUGGUGAAGGCUACGAAGCUCUCCAAAACUUGGAUUCUUCAUGUGUUUGAGCUUCAACUUGCUUUGCUAUGGACUAUACACAAUUCUCCCUCAUUCUUGGCUCAUUUUAAUGAUAAAAAAGCUAUCAAAAACACCAAAACUUGCCAAAAACUAAUUAGAAACAUUUGCAAGGGUUCUUAAUGUGCCCAUUGAGUUAAAAUGUAAUAAAUACUACUCAAAAGUGUUUAAAAGAGUUUAUAACAAGCUAUAAAAGAGUACUUUUUGAGUAGUAAUCACCUUACUUUUGUCUAAACUAUGUUCAAGCAAAUGAGUUUGUUGCAUAAAAUUUUCAAAGAAUUUCUUAUUUUCUGAAAAAUAAAAACCUAAGAUGAUCUCUUGAUGAAGACUUUCUUGGACACCACCUAGUAGAGGAGAAUCUGAACCUGUGAUGCCACCAUAUGUGCAAAGUGGAAAUGUACAAAACUUGCAUAUGUUCAAGGUGAACCAAUUGUGGAGGAGAGUUGUAGAAUAUACGAUAUAGCUAAAUUGAAACCUUAUUUUAAUUUGUAACCGGGUCAGGUUCAUAAGGUAAUUUGAUGGCACAUAUGCUUGAACAGUUUAUGAACUUAUUCUCACCCAUGUAUAUACUUGGUCACCAAGAAUCAUGGGUCUCUCUAACUUCCCAAAAAGUUAAAAAAAAAAGUGUUAUAACAAAGUGAUUUGCAUCAGGCUUGUAUUUUAAGAUUGGCUUCUACAUCAAUUGCAUUUCAAGUUGUGAUAAAAUAAAAAAUACUUAACAAUAUCAUGGAUUGGACUUCUAUGUUGGGGUUGAUUUUUUUCGGCAAUUGAGAUAUGAAUAUAUUUAUAUUAUUCAAAAUUGGAACUUGAUCUUGAUUUUUUAUUCAAAAUUAUUGUGGAAAAUUUAAAAUCUUAAUGGAUCUUUUCUGUGAUAUUAUUCAAUGGUAUUACAUCUGUGUAGUUCUCUUACCACUAACUAUUAUAGUUUGAAGUAUAUUGUCCAAAUCUGGAUUGCUUAUAUAUGCACUAACUUUUGUUUCCAACUCACUUUUCAUAAGUUCAAGCGUACUCAGAAUCAUCAAGACAAUCAAAUUCCCAGUCAUCAGAAGAUGGGUCGGUAUCAUUGCAACUAUUUUAUAUGAUUUUAUGUUGAUUUCUAUCUAUUGGAUUCUAGAUUGGUUGUUGCUAAUAGAAAUAUGCAAGUUAAUUAUUUUGACAUUCAUUUUUAUAACAACAGUUGAAGGGGUAAAAUUCUUCAGAUGAAGGGACUGGAAGGGAAAUUGAGAUUCAAGGAUUUAACUAACAUGGUAUGCCAUCAACUCAUGAAGUUCAUUUGUAUAAUUUCUCUGUUGGCUAAACAUGAUCUUUUUUUCAAGUUGAUAACUUGAUAUUGUGCGAUUUCUGAAUCCAUUUUAGUUGGAAAUUAAUUAUUUCAUGUGGGUAGUCUAUUGGAGCCUACCUAAUAGCCUUAUAAAGUGUUAAAAAUACCACACAAAAAAAAAAGAAUAAAAAACUAGUGUUUGCACAUUUGUUAUGUUUGGUGUGUUGCAUAAAUGAACACAAUUCAAUAGGAAAAACGCCGACUCAAUGGAACACUGAUUUUAGAAGAUGCUUACUGCUUGAGGCUUUUAAAUGUAAAAAAUGUCACACUAAGAUGACCCAUUUUUUUUUUGGUUUUUUUGAUUUAUCAAAUUGAGAUGAUCCUUAGCACUAUAAAUCAAUUGCUUGGUUUCCAACUCAUUGAAAGCUAGCCAGUCAUUGACUAUUCAUACACCAUAAUUCUUUAUAAUUUGUAGUUGUUGGAUGUAACAGAAAAUUUCAUACUUAUUACAUGUAGAAGCAGAGUUUAACCCAUUUUUCUAUUUCCCAACUUGGAAGGCAAACCCACCUCCUAAGGAAUGGCUUGCAACACACACAUUGUUGUUUCCAUAGUUGUGUGCAACUUAUUUUAGUGCUUCAAAAGCUCUUUUGAAUCUAACAGAACCCUUUAAGCUUUCCUAAGCCAGAAAGCGGAGAUCAUCCUCAAUGUCUCUUCUAAUAGUUAGGCUCUUGAGUAAUGUCCCUCUUAUUGCUAGAACAGCCCUAGGUGCUCCACUGGGUCUAAUGAGGAUAAUUUAUUAGAUGUAGAAGCCCAAUUAGAUCAUCCUUAAUGUACUUGUUUUAGUCAUGGCUUUGCCAUGACUAAAACAAGUACUUCAACAAAAGAGCAACUGCAAUUUGUUGAAUGAAAAAUGUUGUCAUAGGUCACAUGCUUCAAAGAUUAAGUUAGAAUGCAUUAUUGCCCAAAAAAAGAGGAAUUAAAAGAAAGAAAAAGACAACUGCAAUUUUACAAAUAUUCAGUUAGAAAUUUUACCUAUAUGUGGAGCUUUUGGAAAACUCAUUUCUAGCAUUGAGAAAUAGGCAUAAAACAUUGACCACUUCAUGAGUAGAAUACCAUAAAUGUGACUAAGGCAAAUCAGAACUUGUCUCUUGGAAUAAAAUUUUUCUUCUUCCAAUUUGUGUAGGGAUCUUCUGUAUUAUAUGUUGUUCUUUAGAUAUAUCAAAUCUUGGGUUAAGGGAUGGGUAAAUUCUGGAAAAUUAACCAUGAAAUAUGUGUUAUGAUCCUGCAACAAUUAACAAACCAUAUUUUAAUGUUUAUGCAAAAGGCUUACAUCAACCAAGUGAUGCUUUAUAGUUAUCAAUACACAAAUAGGAGGAGUUGGAAAAUAUGCAUUAUUGCAGUUAAAGUAUAUUUAGUAGAGCAAAUUUAUAAUUUUACAUUCUCGAAGUCUACUUCAAACGAACCUAGUAAGAAAUGAUCAAGGACUCUAAACUAGCUCAAAGGCUAUUUCACAUAUUUUUUCUAAAUUAAACAUUAAAAAAAUUAAAAAAACAUUUGGUCCUUUACAGGUUCCUUGAAAAUUCAUCUCCAUAAGUAUUAGUUUAAUCUAAAUGCACUGGAUAAACAACCAUAAGGAGUAUUCCCCAACUGAGGAGAAAUUCUCAAACACAUGAAAACUUUGGGAUCUUUUCAUCCUUUUUACAAGUGAAGGACUAAAAAUUUACAGGAAGAAAUGAUGAAGUAUCACUGACAAAUUGAGUGCCUUUUUGGUGCUCAAUUCAUUAAACUGAACUUGUGAGAAUGAGAGAUUUUUUAGAUUGUCUUUCCUUGCAACUAGAAUAUACUAAUAUUCUUAAGAAUAAGGUGAAUCUACACAGUCAAGGCAUGACAACAAUACCAUGGAUAUAUGAAUCAUUCCAUAGAAUAUUACUGAUGUUUUGUAAGAUAAUCUUCUAAAAGAGAAACAAAAAAAUUGUGACUAUAACAUGGCCAAUUGAUUUAUCCCAAAAACAUACAACAAUUCCAUAUGUACAGUAGUACAUUGUACGGUAAAGAAUUUCCCAUGUUGCUUUAACAUGAUGAACUGAUUUACCAUAGUGUCUAUAGUAGUAGGUUUUUAGCCAUUCCUACAAGAGAAAUAAGUUAAAAUCACGAUUAUAAAACACCAAAUGUCAUCAAUUAUCAACAAAAAUUCAGACCACUGUUAUACAAGGCUUCAUAUCAAUCAAGUCAUGCACUUGGAAAUUUAAAAUUCUAAUAUUUAAAAUCAAGCAUACAACUCAUAAAGAAUGGGGGUAAGGGAAAGAGACCAUAAUUACAAAUAACAAUGCUUAAACAGUUUGCAGAGCAUGCCAAAAGAUCCUUGUCAUGUUCAUAGGACACAUACUUAUAUAAUGUUAGGAACUUUCUCCCCUAUUCAAUGUAAGAUAUCAUAAAAAGUUGAUUAACUAUAUUUUUGGUAAUGAGAUAGUUAUGAUUCAAUGUGUAUAAUUGGUUGGAUUUGACUUUGAAACCAUAAAGAGGUAAAGAAUUUGAAUGACAAAAAGUAUAUAUAAUUGCAAUACACUCAAGUCUUUUAAAUAUAUACAUAAACAUGACUAUACAAGAGAUACAUAGAUUAUAUAAAGAAUACAUAUAUUGUUCCUAAACUUAAGGGUUAAUAAUUGAUUGCUCUUGAUUUAUGAGUGAGUUUGAUUCUCUUAUAAAAUACAUUUUUUAAAACUUUCUUCAUAUUUUUAACAUUUUCUCUCUUUCUUUGUUUAGUGCUUUUCAAAAAAUCAAACAUAGCCUAAAAAAUUUUAAAAUAUUCAUAUUUUUGUUUAGAUAUAUCGUAUUUAAGAUUUUUCAAAAAUAAGAAUUAUUUUUUUCUAAUUUGAUGAUUAUUUUAUUUUUUUAAUCAAAUAUUUCUAAUGAAACAAGGGUUUUUUUUUUUUUUAAGUUACCUCUACCAAGUUCAUUUUUCAAACUAACAUUUUGCCAAUCUCAUCACCACAUACAUGCAUCAAUCACUCUAGCACUUCAAUAAAAUUAGUAUGACCAUGAAUUAGAAUAUACAUAUAUAUAUAUAUAAAGCAAACAACCUUCCCAUUACCUCAUAACCAAAUCAAAGGUUCGAUAUAUUGCUAAAGUAGUAGUAUAAAAAAUCACACUUUUUCCUAGUAUAUCUUUUGAUUCCUCAAAAAAUAACUGACAUUUCUUUCUCUUAUGCUAUUUUCCUCAAAAAUUAAAUUAUAUGAUUUCAAAAAUGCUAAAAUCAAUCGCUUUAGCCCUUUAGUAAAAUUAGUAUGAGUAAUUAUCAUGAACAAGAAAAAGAGGAUUCAAAUGGUGCACCAAUAUACUAAAGUGAGUCUUCUUCCCAUCUCAUCAACCUAGAUAUAUAGAACCAAUCCUCCACCAACCUUCCCAUUACCUCAUAACCAAAUCAAAGGCUCUAUUCCUAAAGCAAGUAAUAGUAUAGAAAAAAAUUACACUUUUCUUUACUGUGUUUUUCCCUCAAAAGUAGAGUAAAAACAAAGAAACUUACCUUUGUUUCCAUUAUGCUAUUUCCAAAAUAAAUAAAUAAAUAAUUAAGUUUAAUGAUUUCAGAGGAAUAUUAUAAAAGAAAGGAUAAAAAUGUUAAAGGAGUCUUUUUUUUUUUUCAGAACUUUUUUAUCGAUAACCAAACAUCGUAUGAAGUUUUACUAAUUUUUCUUUUUUCUUUUUUACAUUUUUUUUAAUUUAUCUCCAUUUUUUUCUUACAAAUUUUCUAUGGCUUAACCUAACGCAACCUAAAUUUUAAAUGAGCUAAAUCUAUUAUUAGAUAUCGAUGUCAGUUGAUUGAAGAUUUAGCUGAGAUAACGAUUAUAUAGUUAAUUGAAGUAUUAGUAAUAAUUAAAGCAUUAAUUGAAGUUCAAAUUAUGGGGAAAGAAAUGGAUUUACAUAAAAUUAAAUGAGAACAUGGGAAGAGAAAUUGAUGUGCUGCACUUAGAGAACUCAAUAAAACAUGGCAGCAAAUAAUGGCUUUACUGGAAUAGGUUAGAUGAAAAAUGAAAUGCAAAUGUAUAUAUAAUAACAAACAUCACAUAGAAACUUGAAAAAAUCACAUGGGGAUGUUAGUUAGACUGGAACUUGGGCUAGAAUUGAAGUUGGAACCAAAUUCCAUUUAAAAGAAAUUGAAGUUACAUUAUGAAAAGGUAAGAUGAUUAAUAAUAAAAUAAUAUUGGAUUGUGAAGUCUGAAUCGGUUUUGUUGCGUUUUGUUUAGGAUGUUGGUGGUCGAACUCCCUAUUGAGCUCAUGGGGAUCAAACCGAUUGGUCAAUUGUAGGGAUAACACAUUCUAUUUUAUAUAUAUAUAUAUAUAUAUGAUGAAUGACGAGUUUACUCUUAUUAUAUAUUGAACAUUAUUAUGUUUUUUAAGGUUUUUUUAGAGGGCACAACCACAAUUGAGAUGUUUUUUUGGAGAUCAUUAUUGUAAUUUUUUUUUCUUUUCUUUUGAUUAGUGAAUUAUUGAGUGUUAGUACUUUUUUUGGAUAUAGAGAAAACAUUGUUUGCCCAAUCACCUUCAAAAUCUCGUGUUUUUUAUUUUAUUUUAUUUUGUAUUUUCUUUUUGUAUGUAUACAUAGUUUUGGUUAACAAAUAAAGAGUAGUGAUCUGUGAAUAGAGUUAGUUUUUUUGAAGUCCUUGAAUUCAAGGAAGGAAACUUACUAAGUUAAAGGAUUUAUUUAGUCAUCAAAAUAAAAUAUUUAGUCAUCAAAAUGUAAGUCAAGUGGGAAAACAUAAGGAAAGACAUUGUAAAUUUAUCCAAGGGUCAAAGGAAUAUUUUAAAGAAUUGAUGUAAAAAAAAAAAAAAAGAGAGAUGACUUAAUCUUAUAGAUCAAAUUAACCAUGAAUAAAAGACACUUUUUGAAAAAAAAAAAUUAUAUGUGAAAUCACUAUUUAAAAAUAAAAAGAAUUUAAAAGUAAGGAGGGGAAAAGAGAUAAUUUUAGAGGUAGCAAAUAUGUAUUUUUUGUACAUGAAUAUUUAACAAAUUUGUAUUUUUUACAUAUGAAUACUUUAUUUAAAAUCAUGGUAUUUUUCAAGUUUUUGAUAGUGCUUAUUAAGACAUGUCAAGUAUUUCAUUGGGAAGUAUAUAAAAUCUAUUCUCACUUUCUUAAAACUUUUUUUUUAAAAUCUUUAGAAAUGCUUAAUUACUUUAUAUUAGUGAAAAAAAGCUUCAUCUAUAAGGUUUAGUGUAAACUAGUUUGAACAAAAAUUUCAUUCAUUAUGGUCAUGGUUGACUUAAAGUUAGUGAAAGAAAAAGAAAAUUAUACCUUCCUAACUUUUUCUUUCACAAUGAAUCAAAGUAAUUAAGUUAAAUUAUUUAGGAUUUCAAAGGUAAUAAAAAUGAUAAUUAUAAUAUUCUAAUCAAAGAAAGAGAUUAUGUGUAUUUUUGAAACCAGAAAACCUGUUUUUUAAUUGAAACAUAUUUUCUUAUUUUUUAUUCUCAAAAACAUAAACUAGUGUAGACCCCAUUUUUGCAAACAAAAUGUAAUUAGUUUUUUUUAUUUGCUUUUAUUAAGGAAUUGGAGAGCUUUCCAUUGGAAGUGGGGGACAUCUCCCAUGAAGCUCCAUGCAUGGACGUGUGGCGGACAUCAGCAGCUUGCCUAUGGUGGUGGUUGAUGAGAGAGACAUCUCUGAGCAGGAGAUGAUGGAUGGAGACUUGUUAAACCAGGAAUAGUGGAGCGGGUAGGAGAAGAUGGUACCAACUUGGAAGGAAAACGAGCUGGUGAAAAGGGGGUCCAGGAAAGGCUUUCAGGGGAGGUUCUUUUGGGUGAGAUCUGGAAGGAACGAGGAGGAAAAAAGACUUUUGGCUAAGUCGAAGGAAGCUAGGAGAAGAAGGGAAGCGGAAGUCAAACAAACUAUUGUUAGAGGAGAGCAUUACCUGGUAAGAUUGAUCAGGUUUAUGGAUUAUUAAUGAUCAUCACAUUCUCUUAUUACUUCUUCAUGUGAUUAUUUUGCAUUGCUCGUGAGGUCACAUUGGUUGGUCAUGGUGGUUAGUUUCUGUUUCUCUGACUCCAUUUUGGAAUAAUCUAAUUGUGCUUUGUUUGGUCAUUUCAUAUUUAAAAAAAAAAAAACCUUCUUUCAUCCUGGUUUUUUUUUUUUUUUUUUUUCUCUCUUAAGAUAUUUUCCUGGUUCAAUCUGCCGACCUUUAAAUCCAAAUAUAAAGAAAAAUGAAUCUGGUCUCUUCAUAUUUAUUGGGUGUUUGGUCUAUGUUCAUUCUCUUUCAAAGCUCCAUUUAAUUGUAUCCUCUGUUUCUCUCUAUUCUGUACGCGGGUGUUCCAAUCCGGGUCUCUAUUUUGGCUUUCGUACUUGAGUUUCUUUCUAUGAAUGGAAACCGAGAAAUAUAGAUUGGCUUCUUGUAACUGAUAAAACAACUGGAGUCCACUAUCAACUUAAAGGAAGCAAGGGUGUUAAUCGGGUUGGGAUCAUGGAUGCUCUGUUUUUUUGGAACCUUUAGCUCUCUGCUCCUAGUCUUCCAAUCUUCUCUUAGUUUCAUUAUUUUUUAAGAUAAUGACUGGCAAUGCCUGUUGCUUAUUUUAUAGUUUUAGUGGUUUGCUUGUUUGUUUUUGGCUGUCAUCGAUACUAGCAAUGGAAAAGAGAAUAGUAUUGGUUUUGUUUCUUACGAAUUUGGAGGAGAUCAAAAGGGUCAAGUGAGGAGGAGGUAGGCGGUGAGGAAAACUUUAGAUGAAUGGUAUGAGGUGAUAUAUCUUGUAAGACUUGGACCUGCUCCUACAGGUUUCUUGUAUGAUUGGGGAACCUUGUCAUCAAUACCCGUCUAAGCGAGCCAGAGAUAGAAAUUUCUUGUUGGAUAAAUCUGGAGAAUGGCGAUUAGACUGAACAUACCAGGCACGGGUCCAAAACUUAAGUCGGAUGAUUCUUAGGAUGAAGGUUAAGCUCUCAUUUCUGGCGGAUCAUCCGUCCUUGUACGUCAUCAUGACAGCCAAAGUUACCGCAGUUCCCAUUAUAGAAGAUUCAUUUCUGUUGGGUUGCAAUCAUUCUCAUUUUUUUUUAUGGGCAGGAUGCAUUUGAACCUUGCCCGAGAUGGAGAAAUUUACUUGCCCCACUAGCAGCCCAUACCCCUCAUCAUUCAUGUCCUACACUAUUAAUACCAUCAUACCCAUUUUAUCUAUCUCCUGUACAUAUAAAUUCCUUAAAUGAUUCAUUUCAAUGUUAAAAGCAAAACCAACAAACUUUAAUUUACCAUGUACAGUAACCACAUGCCAUUUUUCUUUUGUUUUUUUAAACUUUUAAUGUUAAAAGUUUUGUUCUUUAUUUAUUUUAUUUAUUCUUUUUUUAUAUCCUCAAAUAACUCUUUAAAAUUUCCUAAAAUUCCAAAGUUCCGAAUUUAUUUAUUUAUUUAUUUUUUAAAAAUACCAUUUUCGAAAUAAUUUUUUUAAAAUUUGAUUUUAAAUUUAGUUUGCAAACUUUAAUUCUCGAAAUUCACUUUUCCAAAACUCCAUUUUUUAAAUUUAAUUCUUCAAAAUACAAUUCUCGAAAUAAUUUUUUAAAAUUCUAAUUUUAAGUUUAACUUCCUAGGAUUCAAAUUUUUAAAUUUAAUUUUCCAAAAACCCCACAAUUCCAAAUUUAAUUUUUAAAAUGUCACCUUCAAAUAAAUUUUCGAAACUCCAAUUCCUUUCAAAUCAAAGUUUCAAAAGUUCUAUCCUCAAAUAAUUCUUCAAAAUUCCCUUUUCUUAAAUUUAAUUUUCAAAUAAUUCUUCAAAAUUCCUUUUCUUAGAUUUAAUCUUCAAAUUUCCAUUUUCAAAUUAUUUUAUUUUAUUCGAAAAUUUCAUCUUCAUUGAAUUUCCAAAAUCUCAAUUCUCACUUUUUUUUAAUCAUUAUUAUUUUCGUUAUUAUUUAUUUAUUUAUUUAUUUAGUUAUUUAUUUUAAAAUCCCUUCUUUAAACAAUUUUUCAAAAUUCUGACUUCCAAAUUUUUUCACGUUCAUUUACUUGAUUAUUAUUUUUGUUAUUAUUAUUAAUCUAUUUUAUUUAUUUAUUUAUUUUAAAAUUCCAUCUUUAAACAAUUUUUCAAAAUUCCGACUUUCGAAUUUAAUUUCCAAUUUCCAAAAUUCCAAUUUUUACAUUUAUUUAUUUAUUUAUUUAUUAUCAUCAUCAUCAUUAUCAUUAAAUAAUUCUUCAAAAUUCUGAUUUUCAAAUUUAAUUCUCAAUUUCCAAAAUUCCAAAAUUCCAAUUUUCAAAUUUAAUUUCCAAUUUCCAAAAUUCCAAUUUUCACAUUUAUUUAUUUAUUUAUUUAUUUAUUAUUAUUAUUAUCAUCAAAUAAUUUUUCAAAAUUCUGAUUUCCAAAUUUAACUCUCAAUUUUUGAAUUCCAAUUUUCCAAUUUCCAAAUUUAAUUUCCAAUUUCCAAAAUUUUAAUUUCCAAAAUUCCAAUUUUCAUAUUUAUUUAUUUAUUUAUUAUUAUUAUUAUUAUUAUUAUUAUCAUCAUCAUCAUCAUUUUAUUUAUUAAUUUUUAAAACUCCAAACUUUCAAAUAAUUUGCUAAUUUCUUUCAAAUUUAAUUUCCAAAGUUCCAAUUCCUUAAUUUAAUUUUCAAAACUCUAAUUCUCAAAUAAUUUUAAAAAUUCCAAUUUCUUUCAAAUUUAACUUCCGAAAUUCCAAUCCUUAAAUUUAACUCCUAAGACGUCGAUUUUCAAGUAAUCUUCGAGACUCCAAUUUUCAAAUAAAUCUCAAAAAUCCAGUUUUCUCUCAAAUAGUUUUAAUUCCACUCUGGUUUUCAAAUAAUCUUUCAUUUUCUUUGAUUUUUUUAAUAAGUAUGAAUGAAUAUUUCAUAAUUCGAAAUUAAUGGAAUUUGUGAUAUUAAUUCAUGCAAAAUAAAUUGGGUUUUGGUGGGGGCCCUACAUAUGAGUUUUCUUUUCUGAUUAUCAGUUGUUAUGCUUAAUGAGUAUUACUUGAUCUUUGUUUUGCUCUUUUAUAUACAUGUGAUGAUUUUAUACUUGACCUAACCUUGUUUUCAUGAUAGCGCACUAUUAAUUGCUGCUAAGGUAUGAUCUCAUUUCCACUUCGCUUAUUCUGAUGCAUGAUUCACUUUAUUAUUUUAUUAUUUCACUGGUAUUAAUUGAUUUUCUCACCAAUUGCCACAUCUGUCUCACCUUAUUUAGUAGAGACCCGUUUUUUAGGGACUUAAAGGGGUGCUAUGGUCUUUACCGUACCUUCCCGAUAAAUAACCUGACCCCCAAACCCGUAUUUGGUUUCUCACAGAUUGUCUUUUCCAAAUGAGGAGUCACACUUAGAGUUUUCUCUCUUAUUUUGUUUGUCCUUUAAAAAUAAAACAAAAAUAAGUGGCGAAUCCAAGUCAUUUUUCAAAUUAAAAGGGAGUUCGCCAACGAGUGGAAGUGCAUGAGCCGAAAUGCGGGGUCCACAACUAGUCUUUAUAAACGUUAACAAACAAACCCUUAAUAUUUUUAAAACUAAAGUUUAUUCUUUUAUUUAAGAAUUAUUUUAUCCUUUAAAUAUCUAUUAUUAUCAAAAUUCUGUUUUCUUGCUUAUUUUAAAUUUUAAAGUUCAAACUUUAAAAAUAUUUCAAGCUCUUAAAAAUACUUUUGUUUUACAAAACAUUAAAAAACAAAUUUCAAAACCCAUUUUUAAAAACUAUUUUUUAAAACUACUUUAAAAAAUAAUUAUCAAACAAGCUUUUAACUUUACUUAUUUCAUUUUCUCAAAAGCCCAAUAAUUAUACAACCCUUAAAAGUCAUAUAUAAUUUCUUAUUUGAAAAAGAUAAGUUUAUGAAUUAAAAACAAAUUCAAAUGUCAGAUUACCUAUUAUGAAGGUACGAGGAUAAGUCGUAGUAUCCUUCUAAAUUCGUAAAUCUAUCAUCUCUAAUAUAAAAGCAAAAAAAACUCACAUUCAAUUAAUUAAUCAAUCAAUACAAAAAUAAAUAAGACUUAAUAUAAAAGAAUAGACAACCAUGCUAUAAAGAUAGAUUAUAAAAUCUAGAAGACAGUGAAUAUGAGAACUACACGAGUUGAUUCAUUAAAUUAAUUAAAAAAUGAUUGAAUUAUUUCUAAAAGAUUACAACAAAUCUUCAAAAUAUUUCAAAAGACUUUAUUUGCAACAGAAAAAAAAAUGAUUCUAGAUGAUUUCUAUUUAAUUUAUUUUAUUUACAAAGAAUGCUUCAAUUUAUAAAAGAAAAAAAAAUGAUAUGAUUUAUUUUUAUUUACAAAAAAUUUGUCAACAUAUUUUUAUUUAUGGGCUAAUGUUUUUUUAACUUAUUUUUAUUAAAAGAAAUGAUUUUUACAAUCCAAUUUGAUUUUAUUUACAAGAAAAUAAUUUUUACAACUCUUAUUUGAAAAAUUAUUUUUACAAUUCUAAUUAAAAAAAGUUUGAUUUCAUUUGGGAAAAAAAAGUUUUAGGAUUCAAUUUUAUUAAGAAAAAUGAUUUUUACAUUUUUAUUAAGUAUUGAAAUCAAUUUUUAUUAAAAGAAAUGGUUCCGGUUUAAUUUAUAUUUACAAAAGCUCAGCCAAUAUUUCUUUAAGCUCUCUCAUUGUAAUAUUUAUCUGUUUGUUUUCUUGUAGCAUAUUUCAUGGAAGCUUUAUUGGGUUAAUUUCUUCGUCUUUGCAUGGAAAUCCAUAUUUUUAAUUAAUAAGCUCACUGAAUUUGUAAUACCCAUAUUUUUAAUGACACAUAUCCAAAAAGUUUUCAUUAAAUUAUUGGUAAAAUAGUCGCAAGGGAGAUGAAAAUUCAAGUGUUAAUAUUUAAUUAGAAUAAAUUUUAAAAAAUCAGUUGAAAGUCAAUAAUUUGAAAUUUUUUACCACAUUAAAUUUAAAGAGUGAAUUUCAAGAAUUAGAAUUAAAUUUGAAAAAAAUUUAAUAAGGACUUGUAUUUUAGGUAUAAGGAUAUAUAUAUAUACAUACAGAGGGACUGGACACCAAAAGUGGUGCGAAAGCCACUGCCAGGAAAGAGGAGAAAAAAAACAGAGAGAACAAGAGAAAUGGAGAUGCAGUGGAGGGCCGUGGGUUCUCCAUGACGGAAAGCCUGCAUUUUGAGCCACCAAACCUGCUCCGAUCUGUAUCAAAUUUUGCGAGGGAGUUCAAUUCGUCGAGGUGAACAUCGCUACCGAGGGAGGAGACAGUGGAGCUGAAGCUGAGCUACCAUCUCCAUGGGGAUAUGGGAGAGAUUGUGUGUUCAAGUCUCAUCUAAUGAAAUUUUUUUUAUCCAUGUAAAAAAAGGUAAUAGAAUCCUUGUUCCUUUUCCUUCUGGUAAUUAUAUCUACAUAAGAAAAUUCAGAUCAUCUGAUGGCUUGCUUUUUGCAAAUGAAACUGCAGUAGUUGGUCCCUUCCAAAUGUCUUCAAGUCACAUGAAAUGCUUCAACCCCAUCUCCAUUCAACAAAGCUACCUAUCCUUCCAGGUACCUCAUCCCCAAGAACAUACCAUAAUUUCUCUGUUGGGAUAUUGUCUGCAAUAUUCUUUGAUUUAUUCCACCUUCCACUCGAGGGUCAAACCCAAGUAUUGGUUACCCAUUUCAUAAAGCUAACCAAUUUGACAUAAUUUUCUUUUAACAUCAAAUUAGUUAGUGAGAACAUGGAGGACAUGAUCAUUUUAGAUCUCAACAAAAUUUAAUUGCAAAUAAGUGCAUGCAUAUAAUAUUAUUUUUAUAAAAAACUUUAUAAUUAGAUAUUUUCUUAUAAGAAUGUACCUAGUGGAAAAAUAUUAUAAACCAAUAAAUUGACUCAAGAAAAAAAUUUAGGACACUUUCCCAAUGAUAAAUUAUGCUUUUUAUAUACUCAAAUAAUCAAAGCAUGUUUAACCUAUCAAGAUUUUGGGCCAUUCAUGAUCAAUGUCAAUCCAAAAAAAAUUAUAGUAUAAUAAAAUUUCAAAGGUAGUUAGUGAUGAGGAUAGCUACUUAUCAAUAAACAAGACAAAGUAUAGCUACUGUCCAUUCAAAUAGGUGACGAACACAUGUCCAAUGACAAUAAAAUGACAGAAAUUUUUUUCCUGGGAAUUGGACUUGGACUUUAUUCUCCUUACUCAUCACUUGGACUGACAUGCAAGGAUGACAGAAAAAAGUUCAGCAAGAUUAAAUCAUUAAUUUUACUAUCCAAUAUUAAUUAGGAUAUUAAGCAUGUAAUUAAUGAUCAAAAUUAAUAUGCAAUCUUAUUGUCAUUGCAUGCAUAAAUAAAAUCUUCCAAGUCUGAAUGUUAAUGAGAUGUUAGCCUCCCUCGGUGUCACUAUCACUCUCAACAGGAUAUAUGUCUUCUUUCAUUGAAAAACUAAAUAUUUAUUACAUAACUCACAUGAAUUUUUUUUUUCUAUUUUUAUAUUAAAAUCGGAAACUUUUAUUUAAAAUAAUACAUAAAGUUAUGUUUUUAAAAAUCAUUUUCAAAAAAAUUUUGAAAUUUAAGAUAGUAAAAAUUCGUUGAUACCAUAUUUUUUUUAAAUAGUUUGUAAAAUCAUUAUUAUUAUUAUUUUUUAAUGUGAAUAUCAAAGUUUUUAUAUCUUAUAUAAAAGUUUUCAUUACUUUUUAUUUUAAAAAUAAAAAACAAAAAAGAUAUAUUCCAGCACUUUGUAUUAGUUAAUAAAUUAAAGAAAUCUUCCAACCCUCUUAAGACUAAGGAACCAUAUUUAUUCGUAAACCAAUUUAAUCAUUUAAUAUAAUUUAAUGAUUUAAUUCAAGCCAUUGAGUACGUUAAAUAUAUUAUAAAAUAAAUUAAUAAUAUUAUUUAAAGCCAAAAUUAACUUAACCUAAUAAGUAAAAAGGAUUUUUUUUUUCUCAAUAUAAAAAAACUACUCUUGAGCCAUCAUUGCCUAAAAAACUCAAUUGAUUAUCAACUUUCUAUAAUAAUGAUAAUAAUAUAUAUAUAUAUACAUCAAUUACUUGAUAUUAAUAAAACUAAUAAAUAUGUUUGGAUUAAAUAAUUUUAAAACAACUAUCAAAUUUAGUUUUAGCAAAAAAGUUGACAUUUAAAAUAACAAGAAAUUAAUAGCAAAAUUCUCUCAAAUCAUUUAGAGCUUGUCUAGUGGCGAUUUUAGGAAGCGUUUUUAACCCUUCUAAUAUUUCAAAUGUAAAAAUUUUCAAGUGUUCAAAAGACCAAAAGCGCUUCCUUUAUAUAAUCACUACCAAAGCACUAUUUAAAGUAAUCAAAUAUCAAGUCUCGGGUUUUAUGAAAUGUCAACUUAAUUAGUUGCUCAACCUUGAUAAUAACCAAUAUCAUCACCUCCCAUGGUUUCAUGAAAUUUUUACCUUAUUCAACAAACCUGCAAUGCAUAUGUAUUUCUUCAUUUCAUUUGGCCCUUGGAGAGAUGUGAGCCUUCAAUGGAUUCUGCAUCAGCACUGGCAGAAGGGCUGAAACUUUUUUCUCAGAGAGAUCAACAUCAUCUCCAUCCGCAGCAGUCCAUUUGAACUUCCAAAUCAAAUUGCCACAAAGUACUCCAAAUGAAAAAUUCCUAAACCAUUACCAGGGCAAACCCUCCUUCCUGCACCAAAUGGCAUCAUUUUGAUCUCCUUACUCCCAGUCACAUCGAAUGCUUCUACCCCAUCUCCAGUCAAGAACCUCUCUGGCUUGAACACCAGUGGAUCUUCCCACACUUCAGGGUUCCAUGCGAUCUCUGCUACCAUGAAAAAAAUGUUAGCGUUUAGGGGGAUUGUAUAGCCACCCAGAUUUACAUCUUGGUUCACUGCAUGAGGCAAGCCGAAGUGUCCAGGAGGAUGACGCCUCAAACCUUCCAAGAUCACAGCCUUCAACUAUGGCAUCUUCUGCAAAUCUUCCUGCUUCACCUCGUCCUCUCUUGUCCCCAUAACCCCACUAAUCUCUUCAAAGACAUUGGCCUGAAUAUGCCGGUACUUCACCAGGUUUGCCAUGAUCCACUGCAGCGAUGUGUAAGUAGUAUGUGUCCCUGCGUUGAGAAACUCGGAGGACAAACUAACCAGUUCGCUGUCAUUGAGCUUCCUCUUCUCGUCAGGCAGUUGCAGAUCCAGAAAAGUAUCAACGUAGACUGUUAUACGACUGCUGUCUUCUUUGUCGGAAUCUUCUUGUUGUUUGAUUUGUAAUUCCUUCUUCAAGCGCUCUCUGGCCCUUAUAAGAGGGAUCAGUACAUCUUCUUGAUGCUUGCGAAGCUGCAGGAACUUCUCCCAACGCUUCCGAAACAAGAUCUUUCCUAUGGUAGGCCAGAAAUUGAGCAUUGCCAAAACCGGCCAAAACUUGCAGCUGAGCAGCUUCGAUUUCUCUCACUUUCUCCUCCUCAAGCUGAUCCCCGAAGCACAUCAGAACCAGCAAGCAAUACAUGGCGAAGUGGAAGUCAUCCACCACGCGUACCACACCAUCUCCGGUUUCAGAGCUCCUGCGAAGCCGAGAGAAGAGAAUCUCCAGCACCCACUUGUGGGCUCGGGAGUACGCUUUUAGGCGCAAGGGGUUGAGGAUUUUUGCAGUGAGGUUGCGGCGGAGGAGGCACCAGGUGGGACCGUAACCGGCGGAGCUGACGUUGUGCUGGUUGCUGCCAAUGAUUUUGUUGGUAACCGGAGGAACGGGGCGGUGGGCAAAAACUGCAGCGUUUUGAACUAAUGCUUCGUGAGCCAGGGAGGCACUCGCGACGAAGAUUGCUGGGCUGUUGCCAAGUGGGAGGGAGACGAUUGGACCAUGCUUAGCGUGAAAGGUUUCUGAGGAUUGGCUCAAGUUCUGUGUAAGAUUUCCGAAGCCAUAGGUAGCUGCUUAUGAUUGGAAAGGCAAAGGGUCCAGGAGGGAGCUUCUUCUUGGGCUUGGAGAAGAGCAAUGGGAAGAAGAAAGCAGCAAUGCAGAGAGAGACGAGGACCCCGAACCAGGUCUCCAUUGUUGGCCUUAGAUCUUCUUUGGUUGCUGACAAGAUAUAUAAUGGUAAGCUACCAUAUGGGAGACUUUGUUCCACAUUGAAUAAAAGACUGCUAAAAUUAUUAAAAUGCUUCAAAUAAUAUUAAACCCUUUUUUCUAUAUUGAAACUAGAGAGUAUAUGCUUUAAAUUUAGAAAAGUGAGAUGACCUAGUCUAUAAACUGCCAAAUAGAUAGGUUAAUGAAAUUUAAAAAAAAUCUUAAGUGACAAUGUAUAGAAAAUCAAGAAGACAACCUCCUAUACUUUUCAAAUUUUAUUAAAUUUUUUUGAAGGUUAUUAAUUUUUAGGUUAUUUUUUGUUGAUAAAAAAUUUAAAGGGAAAAAUAAAGAGUAAAAAAUAAAUAAAAGAAAAAAAAUAAAGAAUAAUUAAUAAAUUAUUUUUACAUAUUAUUUCACAUCUACCUAAUUAAAAUUCAACUUUUUAUAUAAAAUUUAAAUAAUUAUAAAAUAUCUGAGUUUUAAAUAAAUUUUAAUUACAUUUAAUUUUAUAUUAUAUUUUUUAUAGUAAAAUUAAAUAUGGAAAUAAUAUUUUUAAUUAAUUUUUUAAAACCGUAUUAGUUUAUGAAUAUUGAGAGAAGGAGAGGGCCUUAUCCGAUAGGCAUUGUUGGAGAGAAUGUGACAUGGUCCUAUCAUCAAAAGAAAAAGGACGAAAAGUGACAGGGAUAUGUCAUAUCAAAGAAAAAAAAUUAUACCAAUAAAUUUGGAGUUAUAAACUGGGAUAAAAGAGGUUACUUCAAAGAAACUUGGGAAACUUAUGUUUCCAGCCUAUGAUUAGAAAAAUAUAUGGUUUUGGAAUCCUAUAUAAGUGAAAUAUGAGAUUUCCCUAUUAAUGGGGAAAAUAUUAUAUUUCUCGUGCACUAUAUACUGUUUAGGUAUGCAUUUCCAAAAUUGCCCUUUAAUGUUUCCCUAUUAGCAACCACCUGUGUCCAUGUCAUCAGGAAGGUGUGCAAUUUAAUAAGUACCAAAAUUUGAAACUUGAAGUUAUCAAAUCUGAAACUCACAGAACACCCAACCCGAGAAACAUUUGAAAUUUGUGAAACUCUCUCUGUCACUUCCUCUCGUUUUGCCCUAACUCGAUCUCAAAAAAUUCUCAUUUUCAUAACUCGUUUGAUACACGAAGGUAGGCAAUCGAUUUGUUUAUUUAUGUCCUAACCAGGCGAUGGAUACCAUCUUCCCAAAGUUGUCUUCAUCUCAUUUUGGCCUAACCCUAGUGUGUCUCUCUUCACGAGUUGACCACCCAAACCCAAUAGACAUCUUCUGAAAACCUUCAACGAAGCCAAAGUCGAGGCAUAUCUUCAUAUUUCUUCAUCAAAGGUGGAAUUUUUUUAAGGUUUUUGGAAACCAAAAUGGAGCUUCCUCUUGCUGUGGAUUAAUCAAUUACAGGUGAGUUUUCCAUUUAAAGAUUUGUUUGGUUGUUGAGAAAAUAUUGGGCCGAAGGUCUUAUAUUUUGGGGUUUGUUGUAUUUCGAUUCAUUUUUGCAUGAAUGAAAUAGAGGGAAAUUUGUUUUGGUUAAAGAAAUUUUCAGAUGGAGUGAAUUUUGGAAACGAGAAUGGUUGUUUUCCGUUGUUAACGACCUUGUGAUUUAGAAUAUUUGGGGUUUUUUUUUGUUAUAUAUUAAAUUUUUAUGUUUACAAGGACGGCUGUUUGUGGGGAAUUGUUUAAGGAAAAAAUUUUGAGAACCACACACAUCAUUAAUUUGUUUUAUGUUCCUUUUUAGUUUUGAAAAUGGAAGAUAUUUUUCUGAAUGUGAAUGGGAGCCUUAGCUUAAUAGCUUGUGUGUAAUAGAGGAACGAGACUAUGUUGAAAUAGUGAAAAAGAUGUUUCUGGGUUAUGUACUUUCAAGAAUCAUAUACAAUUAACAAUGUAACUAUGUAGUUUGAUGCAAAAAUAGCUUGUUGUAGGACUUUAUUAUUCUUACUAGACAUUUUUUUUGGUAACCUGUAAUCUAUUUAUCAUUAGCUCAUGGAUGUUACAUACUACAAAGGAUUUAAACCAAGGGAGUUGUGGAUGAGUGGCAAAGUUUGAACUCUUUGAAAUUUUAUUUUUUUAUCCCAUUGAGAGAAAACUAUUUUGGCGUUGACAUUUUAAAUGCAAGUAAGUGGCAUAGGCCUAAUGGGUGAAAAUAGGUGGAUUAAGUUUAUCAAUACUACAAUCAAAUUCUCUAUAGUGAAAAAAUAAAAUUAUCCUUUUGGUUUUUCACCAAUCUUACUAGUUUUGAGACAAGGCAAUCCCUUUUCCUCAUAUAUGUUUAUGUACUCAUAGAAGCCUCGAGUUAUAUGAUUCAAAGAGCCAUCAAUAAUAGUUUCCUUCAAGGCUUUAUGACUAGCGAAAUAAUGUUGAAGGGUUAUAAUUUUUUCAUUUAUUCUUUGUUAAGGGUUGUAUUCUUUCCUUUGAUAGGAAAUGGUAAUGAUUAAUUGUUAGUUGUGGGGUGAACCUUCUUUUCUUUAUGGUGGUUCUUUGAAUGAAAAGAAAAUUUUAUUUCCGAAGUAGAAUAUUAGAACAUGGAAUUACUACUUUAAUUGUUGGUUAAAGGGUAAGGCGUUUGACAUUUAUGUACUUAGGCUUACCUUUAGAUGUUCCUUUUAGAUUGAUGUUAAUUAGGGAUUUAGUAGAAGAAAGGAUCAUAAGAAAUUAACUUCUUAAAGAAGAAAAUAUUUAUCUAAGGAUAGAGACCAACUUUGAUUAAAAGUUACCCAUACUAACUUCUCAAUUUAUUUCAUAUAUAUAUAUAUAUUUAUCUUGAAGUAGAUAAUUCUUUGGAGAAUAAGGUUUAUCUUACAAAGUGUCCACCAUUUGUUUAGGGAAAUGAGUAGGAGUUUUGAAAGUUAGGAGUCUUUUAAUACUAAACAAGUUGUUCCUUAGAAAGUAGCUUUUGUGAUUUCAUGGUUGUAAUUUCUAAAUUAAUUCUCAUCCUGAAAUUGGCAUUGUGUGUAAAAAUUAUAAUUUAUCUGAUGAUGUGGUAACAUUUAGGUUAAUUCAAACAUAGGGUAGUUGACUUGAUGUUGAUCACUUGUUAAAGAGGUUUAAUGGUUACAUGUUUUGUAGAGUUUUCUUAUCUUGAUCAAAUUAGCAUAGCGACGAUUACCGACUAGCUAAAUGCUUAUAAAAUAUUACUUUGUACUUGUUUGAGCUGACUUGAUUAAUUCAUGAAAACCCUUCAAAAAUCAGGAUUUAUCGUUGUGUACGCAUUUAUUGAUAUUUGGAGGUUUGUUAGGUUCUUUAUGAUACAAGUGGCUUAUUGGAAAAAAACAUAGAUCCUCUUCACUCUGAUUUGAUCUAGCUCCUCUUAUCAUGUAGUUGCAAGCUUCAUCAGUUGUUUGCCUCCAAUUUGCUCGACCACUCCCAGAAGCAAGCUAGUCCUUUAUCCUUAGGUGCAUUUGAUUCGUAGAAGCAAAGUGUUAGGACAAAGUUUAAGGUAAAGAUGUUUGUUUCCUAGAACUGCAUAUACUGUGCAUUUAGCUAGAAACUAUUUUUCAAUUACAAGCCACCGAAUAUGAAAUGUGGAACAAUACUGUAGUAUGUGAAGUAAUAAUGUGUAAAACCUACUCUCUUUUGACAAUUUAAUUGAUUUAAAAUUGUAAAUAGUAUUUGCAUAAGUACCUGUUAAUGUGGUUAUUUGGAUUAUUACCUGCAUAUAUGGUAGUUUGGCAAUCAUAAAGAGUUUUUGUUGUUGUUUGAUGAAGGUCCUUUAUGCGUCUAUGAUGAGAUGAAUAUCAUUUGUUCACCCCAUAGUGUUUUAUGUAAUGCUAGGUUUUUAACUAGUUUGUGUAUAAAUGUUAUUUAAUUUAUAACAAAUUACAUGUCUAGCAAACUUGUCAUAGAAAACAUGUUUACCGCUCAUGAAAAUUUAAAUAUUCAAACUAUUUUCUUGUUCCUAUAUAUUUUCUCAUAAAACAAACAUAGAUAAUACGUAAAAAUAAAUUUUAGGUCUAGAGAAAAGGUUAAGCAUGCAAUUAGAAUGAGAUAUAUUUGGUUUUACUUAAAUAUGGUAUUGUUAAGAGAUGUCUUAAUUAGUUGUCACUAUGAAUUAGAAGCUUAAUAGUUGAUGUCAAAAAUAUUUGAGGUUGGUAUAUGUGGUCAUCUCAGUCUUGAAGAGCUUUUCCCCUAUCUAGUUAUGGCAUGAAUCCAAGGACUUCAAAAUCCAGUCCAACACUCCUCUACUCAUUUUGAUCCAUCUCUGAUAACCUUUUCCUUUUUCCAUUAUAUAUACACUCCUCUACCCCUUGACUCGUCUAGCUCUAAGCUCAAAACGCUUGGACUCAGUAAGGGCCAACCUUGAGUUUUUUACACCCCUUGGAUCCAUUUCCUUUCUCUCUCUAUUCCUCAUUACUUCUAAAUUUGCAACACUAGCUAGCUACCUAUGUCUAGUAUUCAUUGAUACAAACACAAACAUUUAUUUAUUUAUUUGUUUAUUUUUGAGGAAUUUGAUACAAACACAAACACAUGCAACCACAAACAUAUCUAGGUGUACCUCAGGUUAAGGAUGGUAGUAGAUGUGUUGAUAUGGGUGGAAAAAGGAAAGAAAUAAAUAGGUUUGAAAUGUAAAAUAUCCCUACUGUGAGCUCUUCAAGAGUAGAGUGCACAUCAUAAAACACCUUUUUCUUUUGGAGAAAAAGGACACAGUUCUUAUACAUGUCCACAUUGGCAAAAACAUUUAAACAAAUUGGUUGCCUCACUAAAAGAGAAAAGAUUAGACUUACCAUAAUGUUUCUUGGAAAUAAAUUUCCAAUGAAGUUCGUUGCACAAAUGCCCUUACUUUUGUCUAAACUAUGUUCAAGCAAAUGAGUUUGUUGAAUAAAAUUUUCAAAGAAUUUCUUGUUUUCUGAACAAUAAAAACCUAAGAUGAUCUCUUGAUGAAGACAUUCCUGACCACCACCCAGUAGAGGAGAAUCUGAACCUGUGAUGCCACCAUAUGUGCAAAGUGGCAAUGUACAAAACUUGCAUAUGUUCAAGGUGAACCAAUUGUGGAGGAGAGUUGUAGAAUAUACAAUAUAGCUAAAUUGAAACCUUAUUUUAAUUUGUAACCGGGUUAGGUUCAUAGGGUAAUUUGAUGGCACAUAUGCUUGAACAGUUUAUGAACUUAUUCUCACCCUUGUAUAUUCUUGGUCACCAAGAAUCAUGGGUCUCUCCAACUUCCCAAAAAGUUAAAAAAAAGUGCUAUAACAAAGUUAUUUGCAUCAGGCUUGUAUUUUAAGAUUGGUUUCUGCAUCAAUUGCGUUUCAAGUUGUGAUAAGAAUAAAAAAUACUUAACAAUAUCAUGGAUUGGACUUCUAUGUUGGGGUUGAUUUUUUUCGGCAAUUGAGAUAUGAAUAUAUUUAAAUUAUUCAAAAUUGGAACUUGAUCUUGAUUUUUUAUUCAAAAUUAUUGUGGAAAAUUUAAAAUCUCUAUGAAUCUUUUAUGUGAUACAAUUCAAUGGUAUUACAUCUAUGCAGUUCUAUUACCACUAACUAUUAUAGUUUGAAGUAUAUUGUCCAAAUCUGGAUUGCUUAUAUUUGCACUAACUUUUUUUUCCAACUCACUUUUCAUAAGUUCAAGCAUACUCGGAAUCAUCAAGACAAUCAAAUUCCCAGUCAUCAGAAGAUGGGCCGGUAUCAUUGCAACUAUUUUAUAUGAUUUUAUGUUGAUUGAUAUCUAUUGGAUGCUAGAUUGGUUGUUGCUAAUAGAAAUGUGCAAGUUAAUUGUUCUGACAUUCAUUUUUAUAACAAUAGUUGAAGGGGCAAAAUUCUUCAGAUGAAGGGACUGGAAGGGAAAUUGAGAUUCAAGGAUUUAAUUAACAUGGUAUGCCAUCAACUCAUGAAGUUCAUUUGUAUAAUUUCUCUAUUGGCUAAACAUGAUCUUUUUUUCAAGUUGAUAACUUGAUAUUGUGAGAUUUCUGAAUCCAUUUUAGUUGGAAAUUAAUUAUUUCAUGUGGGUAGUCUAUUGGAGCCUAUCUUAUAGCCUUAUAAAGUGUUAAAAAUACCAAAAAAAUAAAAUAAAUAAAAGAAUAAAAAACUAGUGUUUGCAUAUUUGUUAUGUUUGGUGUUUUGCACAAAUGAACACAAUUCAAUAGGAAAAGAGUUGACUCAAUGGAACACUGAUUUUAGAAUAUGCUUAGUGCUUGAGGCUUUUAAAUGUAAAAAAUGUCACACUAAGAUGGCAUUUUUUUUUUGGUUUUUUCGAUUUAGAAAAUUGAGUUGAUCCUUAGCACUAUAAAUCAAUUGCUUGGUUUCCAACUCAUUGAAAGCUAGCCAGUCAUUGACUGUUCAUACACCAUAAUUCUUUAUAUUUUGCAGUUGUUGGAUGUAAUAGAAAAUUUCAUACUUAUUGCAUGUAGAAGCAAAGUUCAACCCAUUUUUCUGUUUCCCCACUUGGAAGGCAAACCCACCUUCUAAGGAAUGGCUCGCAACACACACAUUGCUGUUUCCAUAGCUGUGUGCAACUGAUUUUAGUGCUUCAAAAGCUCUUUUGAAUCAAAUAAAACCCUUUAAGAUUUCCUACGCCAGAAAGCGGAGAUCAUCCUCAAUGUCUCUUCUAAUAGUUAGGCUCUUGAGUAAUGUCCCUCUUAUUGCUAGAACAGCCCUAGGUGCUCCACUGGGUCUGAUGAGGAUUAUUUAUUAGAUGUAGAAGCCCAAUUAGAUCAUCCUCAAUGUACUUGUUUUAGUCAUGGCUUUGCCAUGACUAAAACAAGUACUUCAACAAAAGAGCAAUUGCAAUUUGUUGAAUGAAAAAUGUUGUCAUAGGUCACAUGCUUCAAAUAUUAAGUUGGAAUGCAUAAUUGCCCAAAAAAGAGGAAUUAAAAGAAAGAAAAAGACAACUGCAAUUUUACAAAUAUUCAGUUAGAAAUUUUACCUAUAUGUGGAGUUUUUGGAAAACUCAUUUCCAGCAUCAAGAAAUAGGCGUAAAACAUUGACCACUUCAUGAGUAGAAUACCAUAAAUGUGACUAAGGCAAAUCAGAACUUGUCUCUUUGAAUAAAAUUUUUCUUCUUCCAGUUUGUGUAAGGAUCUUCUGUAUUAUAUGUUGUUCUUUGGAUAUAUCAGAUCUUGGGUUAAGGGAUGGUUCCCAAUCUGGAAAAUUAACCAUGAAAUAUGUGUUAUGAUCCUACAACAAUUAACAAACCAUAUUUUAGUGUUUACACAAAAUGCUUACAUCAACCAGGUGACGCUUUAUAGUUAUCAAUACACAAAUAGGAGGAGUUGGAAAGUAUGCAUUAUUGCAAUUUAAGUAUAUUUAGUAGAGCAAAUUUAUAAUUUUACAUUCUCAAAGUCUACUUCAAACGAACCUAGUAAGAAAUGAUCAAGGACUCUAAACUAGGUCAAAGGCUAUUUCACAUAUUUUUUUCUAAAUUAAACAUUAAAAAAAUUAAAAAAACGUUUGGUUCAAAAAAUACAAAAACUGUAUUUCAUUCUCUUCUUGCACUUGUUUCAGUCAUUUUUUGGGUUUGACACCCAAAUACUCAUUAAGUACUAUAAAUUCAAAGUUCUUGCUAUGAGGGACUCGACACUAAGGAGAAUACAAAACCAAGCUGUAAGCACUCCUUGCCUAUAGAAAUUAAAAUAAUCAAUCCUAAAAUAAAGGGUCAACUAGGACAUGAAAGCUAAUAUAGAAUAAGACUGGAAAUCUCUAAAUAUAUGGUUAGCACUUGUCAACACCAAUCACCCUGCAUGUGGAAUUCAAAGGGAAAGGUAGCUCUGCUAGCAGUUUCAUAAACCAUAAAGCAUUAAUGUUGUUUUUGUCCUUCUUUCAUUGUUCUAGCUAUUCACAAGCAUGGUUAUUUGUCUCAUAUCAACCUUGUGUGUUUUAUAUCAUCUUUAUGUCAUUCAUUUGGAAUAUAUAGAUAUCAUUAAUGGAAUGGUUAGAUGAAUUCUGCAGGUAGUAUUUCCUAGCUUGGAAUUGUUAAAUAUCUCAGGCCUGGAUAAUGUGGAAAAGAUAUGGCACAACCAACUUCUUGAAGAUUCCUUUUCCCAACUAAAAGAGAUUAGGGUAGCAUCCUGUGGAAAACUGCUGAAUAUUUUUCCAUCCAGUAUGCUGAACAGGUUACAGAGUCUAUAGUUUCUGAGAGCGGUGGACUGUAGUUCAUUAAAAGUGGUUUAUGACAUGGAGUGGAUAAAUGUUAAGGAAGCUGUAAUAGCCACUCUGUUGAGUAAACUGGUAUUAUAUUUUCUACCAAGCCUUAAGCAUAUAUGGAAUAAGGAUCCCUAUGGAAUUCUCACCUUUCAAAACUUAAAGUUAUUAGAAGUUGGUCAUUGUCAGAGUCUAAAAUACCUUUUUCCAGCCUCUUUAGUUAGAGACCUUGUGCAACUUCAGGACCUGUGGGUAUCAUCUUAUGGAGUAGAGGAACUUGUUGUGAAGGAAGAUGGAGUGGAGACAGCUCCUAGGUUUGUAUUCCCUAUAAUGACCUCUCUAAGACUGAUGAAUCUGCAACAAUUCAAGAGUUUCUACCCUGGGACACAUACUAUAAUGGCCUUUGUUGAAAAAGCUGGAGGUGCGUGAAUGUGAUAGAAUGAAGAUAUUUGCUUACAAAAUUCCAACAUUCCAAGAAGUACAUCUAGAGGGCAAUGUCGAUAUCACAAUUCAACAGCCACUUGCCUUAUUUGAGACGGUAUGAAUUCCAACAUUUUUGGGUUUAAUUAACCUCAAGUUGCAUACUUGCCAUGUUUCAUUAAAUUUUCCAUUUGGUUAAUGUCAUGUCAACAAUUAGUAUACACAACAUCAGUUACAUCAAUUUGAUUGUUUCAUCUCUUUGAGAAAAUUCAUAUCAAAUCUUUGAAUUGUCAAAUGACUGCUCUGAAUGUUCUGAAGGAAAUGGACUGCAAAAUUGUAAGGUUAGACUUAGUCAUCUGAUCAGAUCUUUCUAAUUUUUUUAUUUUUUAUUUUUACAUUUUGGGUACUAUGUAAGACCCCAUAAAAUAGUAAGCUUGAACCCUUUACUACAAAAAUGGCGUAGCUUUAACUGUAAGUCUUGAGCAUUCUAAGGCUUGAGGUAACCCAUUUUUUAUUUUGAAGUCCAAUCAUUGCACACACCUUCAUGCGGCCCUGUUUGUUAACUGUUCUAAAAAACAGAAACACCCCUUUUAGAUGGAAAACAAGUUUGGCAGGAAGAAGAUUGGAAAACAAUUUUUUGGAAACUCCUCCCAAAACAUGGUGUUUUCAGAGAACACCUUUCAGUUGUUUUUUUUCUUAUUUUUGGUACUGUUCUAAGAACAAAAGAACAACAUGAAGAAAAGAACACACCAGAACCUCUUGUUCUUCAGCCUAGUUCUUGUGAAGGUCCUCAUAGAUCUCAAUUACAGAAAAAAAAUACAUCAUCAAAUAGUUUCUAAGUUGAACAUCGGGAGGUGGGUCUCCAUCAAAAUGCAUCAUCAAAUCUGUUUGGUUUCCUAGAAAAUACAGGAAAAAUUAUAUAUUUCUACUUCUGAAAACAUUUUUUUUGUGUUCUCUCUGUUUUUUCAAAGCACUUUCACUCUAAAAAAGAUUGAAUUUGAAUAUCUUCACCUCCAAACCCAUACUCUUCUUUUCUAAUCCUUUUUUGUUCUCAUUCUUCAACUCCCAUUUUCUCGAAAUCCCUUUCUUUGAAGUAUUUUCAGUUUUAUCUUUUGUCUUUGUUUCUAUUUUUUUUUUGUAAAAAAAUCAUAUAAAAUUCUCAAAUGUUGUCCCUCACUUUUACAGCUUAUAGCCUUAGAACUCUUUACCACUUCUGUCAAAAUGCAUUAUAGUUUUUGUUUCUCAAGACAUGCUUUCAUUUCUAUGACAUCUUGAUUUGUUAUUGUUUGCUUACCUUCACUUGAGUUUUAGUGUUUUCUUGCUAAGAAAAGAAAUGGGAGGAAAGGAAGUGUUGAGUUUUAUGAUGUGGGUUUUGUUAAUAUCCAACAUCAUAUUAACAAAACCAAUUGCUUUUUCUUGAAUUGGUGUUGGUGGUGGUAUUAGUGUUGGUGGUGGCAUUAAAUCUCUGGGUGGAGGCUUUGAUAUGAUUUGAAUUGGUGUUGAUUGAAAAUAGAAAGCAAAUCAAGAAAUUUUGAAUCAUAUCUGAACCAUAGUUGCUGCCGAGUCUUGCAAUUUUCUUGAAGCUAAUAGAAAUCCAGGCUAUUGUAUGUGGGCCAUUGUUUUCUUAUGCUUAUUUAUUAAUUGCAAUGAAUUAUAUAUAGAUAUUUUUCAAGUAAAAUUUUUAUCAAAUAGUAUAAAUGAAGCAAAAUGCGGUUGAAAUUUUGGUCAAUUUAUCAUUUUCAUGCAUGAAUAAGAAUAUUGAAAUUGAAUGUAAAUAGACAUAUCUACGCUAUAAUGAUUUGUUUUGAAAAAAGAUGAAAUUAUUUAAAAAUGGAUGCAUGUAAUUUUUAUGUUUUAAUUAAGUAUAUAUUUAUGGCUAAAAAAAUUUAGUUUUAUGAAUCUAUACAUUAUUUAUUUUGAUCAUGUUAAUCAUUGGAAAAAAACACUCAAUUUUCAAAACUAAAUUCCAAAGGAGUUUUUUCUUUUAUUUGGUUUAUAAAAUUGUUUUUACUAAGUCAAUCUUUUAGACAUUGCUACCCGUCGUGCCCAUUGUCACUUUUAUAUAUAAACAACAUCACAUAUUAUAUUAGUUUUGCCGUGCCUUUUGUUUGAAUUAGAGAAAUAAAAAUGCACUUCUUUAUAUAUACAAACACCUUAUUUAUAUGAUAGUUGUAAUUUGACAGACUAAAUUAUUUUGUUUGAGGGAUUUAUCAGGUUGCAUAACCUAAUUUGGAGGAAUUGACAUUGGAUAGGAACAGUGCCACAGAAAUACAGCAAGAGCAAUUUCCAAUGGAGUCCAUUUGCAAACUUAGAGUUCUGAAUGUACUUAGAUAUGGAGAUAAUUUGGUUGCAAUUCCAUCCUUUAUGCUUCAUACGUUACAUAAUCUGGAAAAGCUCAAUGUGAGAAGAUAUGGUUAAGUCAAAGGGGUUGUACAGCUUGAAGAACAUGUCGAUGAGGAAAGUCAUGCCAUGGCACUUGCUAAGUUAAGAGAAGUACAGCUACACAACCCACCUAAGCUGACGCAUUUGCGCAAGGAAAACUUCAAACGAGGCCCUCGUUUUCAAAAUCUUGAAACUCUUGAAGUAUGGAACUGUGACCGUUUGAUAAGUUUGGUACCAAGCUCAGUGACAUUCCAGAACCUAGCAACUUUAGAUGUAUGGUCUUGUGGCAGUUUGGUUAAUUUGCUACCACCAUCAACAGCUAAAAGUCUCGUGCAACUCAAAAACCUCAAAGUAGGUGGAUGAGAUAUGAUGAAAGAAGUAGUUUCCGGAGGAGGAGGCGAAGCAACAGAUGAGAUUGCUUUUUGCAAAUUAGAACACAUUGCCCUUGUUUGUUUAGCAAACCUCACAAGCUUUUGUUCAGGAGGCUAUACUUUCACAUUCCCAUCCUUGGACCAUCUAGUAGUGGAAGAAUGCCCGAAGAUGAAAGUUUUCUGUCAAGGCUUCUCAACCACACCAAGGCUAGAGAGAGUAGAUGUGGCAGAUAAUGAAUGGCAUUGGGAAGGUGACCUCAGUACCACCAUUCAAAAGUUGUUUAUACAGCUGCAUGGUAUGUACCAAUUCACCAAAUUUGCUUUCCAUGAACAUUUAUAAUGAUCCUUUCCCUCAUGUGUUUGCUAGUUAGGCACCAGGGCACUCUAUCCAUUGCUAUGCUUUUCAUAGCAGAAAUAUUUUUAGUACCUUAAAAUGAUUGUCAUUGUAAUAUGAAUGAAUGCACUACUACAAAAAUUAUAUCCUUGAUGACUAAGGCUCCAAUCUUGAUCUUUAGAAAAUGGGAUGAAUUGUAUAGAGGACCCAAUCUUGGCCCUCUUUAAUAAGCAUAACCUUUGGUUUGGUCUAAUAUUGAUGCUCUUAAUAAGUGCCUAAGUAUAAAAGGCCCAUAUCUGCUCUCAAACACCAUAGCUUGAUACUUUUUAUUUUCAUGGCCCCUUCUUUUUAAACCCUCUCAACGUCUCUCCUGCCAUCAUCCUCAGCUGCUCCAGCUACAUCCUUCACCACUAAAUCCCAUUUCUUUUGGUCCACAGAUGUUAACCAAUUCAGACUUCAGUUCUAUGACCAUGUCUGGUUUCAUCAAAUCAUAAACCGGCUCUCCCUUUCAAGGCCAUCUUUAGUGGAGAUUUCUGUUUUCAGUAAUUCUGAUUGCUUCUUCCCUGCAACAGCUUUCUUCCUUCAAAACCGAGAGUUAUGGAGUUUGGGCUUGUGUUUUCUAUUCUCUUUUGGAAAUGGGUAGGUUUAGAGUUUUGAUUUUUUGAGAUAGGCCAUACAGAACUUGGAUGCAAUGUGAUAGUCUGGGUUAAGGUUUUGGUUUCUUAGUAUGUAUGUGGCUAUGUACAUAUGGUUGUUGCUCCCUGAGGUUGUUUGGUAGUGAUCCUGAAAAAGAUUAGAAGAUGGUAGAGUCUCACUUCCUCAUGUUCAACAUGUGUUUUGUGUAGGCUAUUAGCAGUAUCAAAGAGAAUUUGGGAGGGUUUUUUGGUGUGUGAUGUGAGUUAUGAGUGAGAGCAAACUCGAAACACAACCUGAAACAUAUAAGCAGUGUGAUUUAUUAAGUUUGUCUUGAGAAGUUAAUCCCAUUAUUUUUCAGUUUUCCUUUUGAAAAAUUACUCUAAAAUCCAAAUAUGGUUAGAAGUUUUUCUCUCCUUUAAUGGUCAAUAUAGGAUGCAAUAUUAUUUUAUUAAUAUAGAAAAAACUUGCAUCAGAUUUUCAGAUUUGAGAAUGGAACAAGCAACAUGGUGAUAUGGCAAUUAGACUUACAGCUAAAGAGGCAUCUAAAGUAAUUGAAAAGACCCAAUCACACUGUUAAUUGUAGAGAAAUGGAACUCUACAUAAUUAUAAAACAUAAUAAAUAAGAUCAAUCUCACAUUUGGCUAGAAAAAAGGGAGGGUUGUCAAGGAAAAAAAAAAGGAAAUAAAGCAAAAUAAAGGGAACCUUACAAGACUCUUCUAAAUAUGCAGGGUACAAUGUAUUCCAUUCCCAUUAAUAGAUCAAGCAAAAGCCUAAUGGCAUUUCAUCCUUUUAUUCAUCCUAUCUUUUAAUUUAUUUUUUAUUAGCCCCACUUCCUUGCUUGAGUUAUGGAGCUUAUAAGGAUAAAGGUGGGAUAUAUGAAUGGAGGGGGACUGGAUUCAUAUUGGACCUUGUUGUAUUACAUAUUGGCUUUAUCCUUGGCCAUUACAACCCAUCCAUCUAUAGAUGAGUCACUUCAAGUAGAAUUUGGAAAAUUCUUGUGAAUUGGUUAACCUUUUUGGUGAACGGAAUGUUUUGGUACUCUGCAAAUGGUUGAGUUCCAUAUGCUAAUUUCUAAACAUGCAUUUCUAGGUCUCAUUUGGUUGAUGGAUGCAAAAUAUCAAUUUUGAAGUUCUAUAUAAUAUUGAUCUUAUGUUACAUAUUUUUAGUAUGCAACAUGGGGAUGGAUUUUGUUCUAGGAUGUAAGGGAAAAGUAAAUUCAUUGUGCAGGUUGAGGGAGAAGUUUCUUGGUUCGAAUAGCUGAAAACAAGAAAAAUGAAAGGGCUUGUUCUGAAGAAGAGUUCACAGCUAGAAGAGAUUUGUAGGAAGGCAAAUGUGGUCCUAGAAGCAGAUAGAACAAUGGAAUAUGUAAUUGAUGCUAUGGAGUCUGCCAUUCGAAUUUUAUAAUAUAGAAGUUUAAUAUUGUUGAUAUGUUUAUGAUUUAUUGAUUGCUUUUAUAACAUCCCUUUUGUUGCAGGAGGUGUCCAUGGUUUUUUGUCCUUGAAUAAAUUGAGCACCAAGUUGCCUAGGUUAAAGAGGAAGGUUUUAUCUGGAAAUAAAUACUUGAAACAAUUGAGAAACGGUUAGCAGCAUGUGAGAAAUAGAGCAGCAUGUGAGAAAGAGAGUUGGUUAGAGAAACAAUGUCGGGUGUUUUCUCAUAUUUGUAUUGAUUCUUUGUUCUAUUAUAUCCCUCCUUACUUUUUGAUGGCUGUUCAGGAUGAUAAUUGAUGCAUUGGUGGAAGCAUUACUCAUCUUACUCCCAGUCAUGCUGAGAAAGCUUGUUCUUCGGUUAAUAAACUUCCAGGUACUAUGGUAUCAUACUUUAUACCGAGUACUAUUUUAGUAAUAUUGGCAAACUUGGAAUCAUACUGGUGGUUUCUAUGUUUGUUGAAUUUCAAUUACAUUGAAAUAGUAUCUAUUCUGCUAACCGAUUUACCAGAUCAAUUGCAACUGUUCUCAUUGAUGAAUGUUUCUAUACCUUUUUUUUUUGCCUCAAGCCCAAUUGCUUCGAGCCCAACCAACUAUAAGCAAUAAUAAAUCCAUAAAUAGAGAUUUAUACUAUGAUUCAGGUGGAGAUUCAUUAUGUGACUCAAAUAGUGACCAUCCAUAAUUAUGAAGAAAUUUCAAUAAUUAUGAACAAUGUGGAAAACUUCAUACAAUCCAACAAAUCUAUAUAAACCUAAAAUAUAACCAAAUAGAUUGAGAUAGAGUGAUACAUAUUUCAUUAACAUGGAAUCAAUCCAACCAAAGAGUAACAUUCCCAAGAACAAAACAUGAUGUAAUCAUAAUGCUGAACCAGCUCCCAAUUCCACAAUCUUAGCCUCAACAUUACCUAAAAAACGUAAAUAAAUCAUUAUGAGCAUUUAAUAAGGUUAAAUAAAGAGAUUACAAUUACUAGUGAUUGCAAAUGGUAUAUAUAUUUAUUUAUACCAUUUGCAGUUUCAGAAUAGAGGUUUUGGGAUCUACUUUAUUUAUUUUCAAAAUACAGAAAUAGAACAUUCUGCAAUAUCAUUUCCUUUGAUGAUAGGAUAGAUAUUUCAGAAAAUAGUUCAAAACAUUUGAUUUUAAUGGUUGCUAAUUGGUAUAAUAAUAAAUGUCUAAGUAUGAAUUGCGCUUGAUAAAUCUAAAAAAGUCUCACAUUAGUACAUACCAUGUGCAUUUAUAAACGAAUUAUGGAUGGUGGUAUUUAGAUCAUCCUGCCGAGGCCACUUAUCAUCUCCCACUUUUAUUCUUUCUAGCCUUGGUGUAGUUAGGAGGCUUGGAGAGAACAUUUUCAUCUUGGGGCAUUCUUUCACCAGCAUCUGCUCCAAGGAUGGGAAUGAGAAUAUAUAACCACCUGAACUGAAGCUUGUGAGGCUUGGUGAUUCGACUCAUGGUAUCUUAGCUUUAAAGGCGUAUCAACAAAAUUUAUACCUUGAAUACUAUUACUAAAGUAGCCAAGCUACUAUAGCAUAGUGGUUCUAGGAUCGUUCACUGGGAAGGGUUUUCGCAAACACAAGUGAUAUUCAAAUUAGGAAAAUAGGUGAUUUUCUUAUGGAUGUUAGCUUUAAAAGAAGAUGUAAAUGUUUUAGAAAGAUUUAAACUAAUCUAAGCUAACAUUAAAGACUAAAAUGAAAGGGUGUAAAAACAAGUUUCUCAAAGAUAGGAUAGCUAUGCUCUAGUUCUUAUGCAAAUUGGAAAUCUCAGGAUAGGCUCCUCGCGUUGGGGUUGCAACUAUGGUGAUGCUUGCUUCCCGAACCGGUAUGGAUUUAGCAAAUCAAGUUUUAAUCCUUUAAAAUGGCAAAACAGAUGGUAGUGAAUUUCAUCAAUGGUUAUUCACCUUAGACUUCCUUUGAAUGGCUCGUAAGAGAUAACUAAUGGUCUAAAGCCAAAAGCUUACCAAAUAUUGGCAACUCAAAGUCAUUCCAAGUGAUAAACUCACCUUUCAAUGGCCAUUGAAAUUGGUUCUAACGGAUUAAUGCAAAACUUGGAAUUGAAAACCUCACCUUCCAAUAGCUCGUAGGAGAUAACUAAUGGAUAGAAAUCCAAAAGAUUAUCAAGUAUUGGCCGUUGGAAGUUGUCAAAAGGAAAUAAAAACCAAACUUUGCAUUAAUGAACCAUUAAUGAAAAACGACUACCUUACCUUUCGGGUGCGAGAAAUUUCCAUGGGAUUGCAUCCAAGUCAUCACAUAACAUCCAUACUUUGAGAAACUAAAAGUUUUAGCCAAUCAUCCUCUGAGGAAAAGCCCUCAAAGGCUGUUUGGCUACUAAGAAAAUAAAAUAGUAAAGAGAAAAGAGAAACGAGAGAGCUCUGUAUCUAUUCUCUAAGUGUUAAACGUAAUAUAUCAUAUAUCUAUAUAUCAAUAUAUCAAUAUUUGUUACAACGGAUGCAAGGGGAUAUAAAUAGAGAAGUUUUUCCAACCUUCCUAGCUAAGAAAUCUUAUGAUUGGUGGAUUACAAGGAGAAGAAUGGAAAUUUAUACAAAGAUAUCCAAAAGAAAAGAUCUCAUGUGGAGUCGGCAGAAACAGGGGAAAAUUCGCACCACUCAAGGGGGUGUGCGAAUUUGGAAGGUGUUGUGCGAAAUUUUCGCACAAGCCUGGAGCAGUUGUCUUCCGAAAGCCAUAUCUUCCUCAUUUCAGCUCCAAAUCGUACACGGUUUGAAGCGUUGGAUUCUUGACUUCCUGAUAUUUGAAAUGGUAUAUAGCAUGUAGAAAAUGGACUUCGGAAAGUGCUCUAAAAGUGCGAAAGAAGACUGCAGCUGCUGUCCUCUGUUUUCCUCUUCUCCAUUGUUCCUUCCUUGCAUACUUUGAAUGACUUUGGCAAAGGGCUAUGGAGCUCCAAAGCUUGGUUCUUCAUGAAUUUGAGCUUCCAAAAGCUUUGCCAUAACUUGUCCAAGUAGCUCCUCCAUCAUUUGGCAUGCUUGAAUUGAUUCACAAGCUGAUAAAAACAUGUAAACUUGCCACAAAAUGGUUAAAACCAAUUACUAAGGACCUUAAUGAAUUAAUUGGGUUAAAUGAAUAUGAUUACUACUCAAAGGUGCUUAAAACCAUUAUAAUUAGGUCUACAAAAUAGCACUUUUUGGUAGUAAUCACUUGGCAAAUACAGAAGCUCCAUGUGUUGUAAUUUGUAGAAAGUAAUCUCAUCUGUUGCUUCCCCUCCUUCGUUGGCAACUACUUCUUCCAUCAUAUCUGAUCCACCUAUUUUGAGUGUUUUGAGUUUUACCAGACUUUUAGCUACCGAGGGUGAUAUCAAACUUCUCAGACUACCACAAGACUGCACAUCUAGAGUAGCUAGAUUCUGGAAAGAUACCGAGGAUGGUACCAAAUUUAUCAAACUGACACAGUGUCGUACUACAAGACUCUCUAGACCCUGCAAGUCAAGGCCUGGUUUGGAGUUUUCCUUCCACAAAUGUGUCAGCCCAGGAAGAUCAUACAACUCUAUUUCUCUUAACCGUCCAAGCCUCUUGGCUUGAUUUUCCUCGUCAAGUCCUUCAAGUUGGAAUACCUCGUUGACUGAACUACAUCUUCCUACAUUAAGUACUUCCAGAUUAUGUAAUAUUUGAAGCAUAAAGGAAGGAAUCACAACCAAAAUAUCUCUAUCUUCACAUACAUCCAGUACUCUUAGUCUGGGAAAGGAAUCCACUGGAAAUUGCUCUGGCCAUAUUUCUGUAUCUCUGUUGAGACCCAAUUCUAAUUCCUCCAAAUUUGGGAAUGCAACCUGGGAAAUGGUUGGAAUAAAACAAAUUUGUUCAGUCAAUUAUAACUAAUACAUAAAUAAGAUACGCACAUCUACAAACAAGUGUUGUUUUAUUUCUCUAUUCCAAUUAAAGAACAUGGCAAAAUUAAUAUAAUUUUUUAUGUUGUUUACAGAAGAUGCACUAGACAUCCACCUCCAGAUUUCUAAUUUUAUGCUGUCAUUUACCAUCUGAGAAGUAUGAUGAUGGCAGGUGUAAGUCACUUGAAUAAAAAUCGAUUGGAAAGGUGGUUCACAAUUGUUUACUAUAAGUUGGCUGGUUAUAGAUUAAAUAAUUUUUGGAAACCAAUAAAAUUUACAAUAAAUUGCAAUAUUGGUUUGAACCAUAUACAGGGAGGAAAAAUGGAAAUCAAGGAUGCUCUCUAAAGGAAGUUGUGGAUCAAGUAGGGGCCAAUAAUCAGUUUUGGGUUCUGCAUCCACCUUUUCAUGGGUCAAGUUAUUGAAUGUAAAAUUUAAGGACCCUGCUGGAAAUUGGCCACGGCAUACUUCUUGCAAGUUAAUCAGCUGAUUGAGAGACAAUGUCUCCAUAACAGGAAAGGCACCAUGUGAUGGAGUCAGAUCCAUCGAGUUCACAAUAUAUUGAAUCUCUGGACUGCUUUCGACAUUGAGAUGCUUUAAUUUUAAAAAACCCUCCCCAUCUAAUUUGGAAAGAACAUUUGUACCACCACACAAUUCACGCAAGUGUAGAUCUUCAGUUCUCUUCAACAACUUGCUGAUACCAUCCACCAAAUGAAGGCUUGUAUCGAACUUAUUGAGCUUUAAUGUAUUAUUGGCUUCAAAAAUUCCUCCCCAGCUCCAGACAUCACCUACAAAUAUUCUAUAUCUCACCAAGUUUUCAAAGACUAUGUCUUUUGGCAGCAACUUGGCAUCUGGUAUUUGUAUGUCCAAAGAGGUUAAGUGAGACAAAUGUUCAACUCAGCAAGGCAAUCAUUACUCUUUCCUUCCCCCUCCCAUUGAGUAAAGCUAUUUUCCAUACACAAAUCCUCUAAUUGGGACAAGCUUGAUAUGACACCUGACGGAAUUACUUUUAUCGUGGAAGAAUUCCUCAAAUCUAACAGCCUUAGAUGAGUCAACUGUGCUAUUUCUCUGGGCAACUGUUCAAUAUCAGAAUACAUAAGGCUAAGAAUUUCUAAUUUCUUUAGCUCUGCAAUUAUAACAAUAUCUCCCAACUUGCAUCCAUUCAAACACAAUGUUCAAAGAUUUGCAAGGCACUAAAGUGAUAAGGGCAGCAAUGGAAGUUGCAUUCUAGAAAAAUCUAAUACUUUGAGUUGUUUCAUCCCUUCAAAAAAUGUGUUUGGGAUUUUCACUGCCGAUUUGGUCUUUAGAAAACAUUCAAAAAAAUUCAAGUUUUGGACAUACCAGCCCUUCUGGAAGUUCAUGAAUAUCACAGUCAUGCAGUUUUACCCAGGUGACCUGGAGUUCAUCUAUCCUUGACCUUUCUUCCACUCUUACAGUAGUCUUCUGGUGUGUAAAUACAUGACGUUGCUCGGAUGCAAUUUUUCUGGCAGUACUCUGAACAAGAUCAUGCAUUCUAACAUAUGCAUUAUGGUCAGUUUCUAGUAAAAAAUUUGAGGAUUUGAGGCUGUCAACCAAUGUAUGUAUUCUAUUUUUCGCCUCUUCCAAUGUAUUAGUUCCUUGAAAUAAUCGCAGACCCACACCAUAUUUCAACAAGUCCCUAAUAUGGAUAUGACUAGAAAAUAGGCCACAAAGCAAGCACAAUGACUUGAGUAUACCUUUGUCUCCAUUCCUGUUAUGUUUGUCGAGGUUUGCGAAUUCAGUUGUUGCAGGGCAUCCUUCCAAAUAGACACAUUCUUGUUUUUCAAUGCCUUUGCCACAGUUACUAUUGCAAUUGGCAAACCCGCGCAUUCUUUUACUACAUCAACAGCUAUUGGUUGCAACUCUGGAUUUUCAAUGGAAUCGCCAGCUGUGUUCUUAAAUAAAAUCCAUGUUUCAUCUUCUUGCAAAUGUUGAACUCGAAAAUCUUUUUGAGUACUCAUCUCAUUCGACAAGACCUGUUUAUUUCUAGAAGUUAGCACUAAUUUGCAUCCCUUGUGAUCAUCUGGCGAAGGAAUUCCUACUUUCUCCAACUCAAGUUCGGCCCAAAGAUCAUCCAAGAUGAUGAGGAUGGUAUUCUCUUGCUUGAUCCUCUGAUGUAAUCGACCUGCUCGUCCCUGUUCACUCACUUCCUCAAAUUUCAUACCUAGUUUUUCUGCAAUUUGUUGUUGAAUUUCUUUGUAGUCUGGAGUCUGGAACACAGAUGCCGUGACCACCUUGUGGAAUAACUCCUCUUGUUCGGCUUCUUCAGCCACUCGUUUCACCAGCGUGGACUUCCCGACACCACCCAUCCCCCAUACCCCGAUCCUGUUGAUAUCGGCAUCCCUUAAGGCCUCCAUGACUUCAUUCAAAGUCAACAUUCUUGAUUCUAAAGCUUCGGAAGGUGCAGGAUCUUAUCUCUUGCAGAGGGGCACGAUAUGAUACCCUCUCAAAUUGGCCAGCUCCGUGGAUUUCAACAGCAAUCCCUGCCUUCUUCCUUGCUUCCCUGCUUAGCUGGUACCGGGACUUCAAAUUAGGACACAACCCAUUGAAACAACUCUUCCGCGCCUCCUUCUCAUCUUCAAGGAAUUUACAAGCAUUUUGUAUGAACCCAUCAGCACGUUUCAUCCACUUGCAAACAUCAUCUCCGAUUAUAUGUCCAUUCCCAAUAGCUUCAUCCACAGAGUGCUGCUGCCUAGCCCCGGCAUCCCUCAGCUUCUCAACCUUCUGAGAGAGAUCCUUAAUGUUGGUAAUGUAGUUAAACAGAUAACCCAGCUGACGUACAACUGGAUCAACCAGGUACUCUGAAACUUUUGCUGCAACCGAAACAACAAUUUCUACCAUUUUCUACUUGCUACUCCUUUCUUCUCUUUUGGAACACGAUCAGAUCGAUGAUAGAAAACCAAAAAAAACAGCAGCAGUAAACUAACAACAGGCUGCUAGCUACGGGAAUCGGUGUCGCAAAAACAGAAAUCAAGGAAAUUGAAAGGUUUAGCAAGCAAAGGAGCAGAGCGACAUAGACAUAUGGGCAAAAUGCGUAUGAGGGUGAAGAGAGUUGCACAAAGUUCUAUGGAGGGGAAUCGACAGAAAAAGCAUAUGGAUGUUAUUGGAUUCAACUUGAAGAACAGAAGCAGAGCUGUUAAGGCUGAUGAUGUGAGAAAGGAAACAAGGAAAUGAAAGAUUUCAGCAAUGAAAUGUGAAGAAAGCUCUCACCAGCAAAAUGAAAAUGAAAAUCCCUGGCGAGAAUGAGGAUGCAGGAGACAAUGCUCAAACAAGGCCUCUCAAUUAUU